rnacentral:lncRNA from 1 species
GUCAUCAUCUUCUCAGGCUUCUCGAUCCCUUUGACCCUUAUCCCUUCUUGUGACCCUGAGGUUGAUGCUGAGGCUGGGCAUGGUUGCAUAGUGUUCGAGGUUGUUGUCCUAGCAGCCUUGGAGGACUCUUUUGCAGUAAGCAGAGAAGACCUAGAUGACGGGUGGCCUCGAGGAGGCAGCCUCGCUGGGCGAUCAGCGGUAUUAGGAAGUGGCAGACCACUGCCAUCUUUCCGGCGAUCAGGUUUGUAGGCGAAUUGGGCAAAGAAUGCACCAAAAGGUGAGGAAUAAUUGGGGUCCUGAUCAGUGAAAUUGGGAUCGGCCAUGGGAGGGAAAAAGCCUUGGGGCAGUGGCUGCUGCUUCUUCAAGACCUGGGACUUCUUGCUGCUGCUCCUCUUAACACACUGACUGCCCAUGAUGCCGCCAGCAGCAGCAGCUUCCUCCCCUGCCUGUGGAUGGACAUCAAUGGGAAGUGGUAGCUGGCCAAAUUGCUCGUGCUCCACCUUCGGCUGCCUAUGCUUCUUCCUCAACGUCACCCCCUCUGCCGUCACCUUGCUUUCCCUCUGCAAGAUUUGGGCCAUAGCAGCAGUGGGCGGUGAUGGAAUCACCACUGCAGCCUCCCCAUUCUUCCUUUUCUUGUGCUUCUUUUCCUCCUUCCACACAGGCUCCUCCAUUAAUGGAGAUGCCGGCAGCGCCUCCUGAUUCUUCCUCUCACGUUCCUUAACCCCCACUAUCAUCUCCACCGAGGUUAGGGUUUCAGGAGUGACUGGGACCGGGGAAUCAGACAUGUAUUCUGGGUUUGCCAGAGGACAGGGAGAAUCCCUCAACGCUAUCUCCCUUGUCAUCUUAACCUUGGGCUUUUCCUUCUGUUUGAUCCUUACCUCUUCUUGUGAACCUGAGGUUGAUGCUGAGGCUGGGCAUGGUUGCUUGGUGUUCGAGGUGGUUGUCCUAGCAGCCUUGGAGGUCACUUUUGCAGUGAGCAGAGAAGACCCAGGUGAUGGGUGGCCUUGAGGAGGCAGCCUCGCAGCGCGAUCAACAGUAUUAGGAAGUGGCGGACCACUGCCAUCUUUCCGGCGAUCAGGUUUGUAGGCGAAUUGGGCAAAGAAUGCACCAAAAGGUGAGGAAUAAUUGGGGUCCUGAUCAGUGAAAUUGGGAUCAGCCGUGGGAGGAAAAAAGCCUUGGGGCAGUGGCUGCUGCUUCUUCAAGACCUGGGACUUCUUGCUGCUGCUCCUCUUGACACACUGACUGCCCAUGAUGCCACCACAAGCAGCAGCAGCUUCUUCCCCUGCCUGUGGAUGGACAUCAACAGGAAAUGGUGGCUGCCUGGAUUGCUCGUGCUCCACCAUCCGCCGUCUCUGCUUCUUCCUCACCGCCGCCAUCACCUUGCUUUCCAUCUGCAAGUUUUGGGCCGCAGCAGGAGUGGGCGUCGAUGGAAUCACCACUGCAGCCUCCCCAUGUUUCCUUUUCUUGCGCCUCUUUUCCUCCUUGCCCACGGACUCCUCCAUUAAUGGACAUGCCGGCGGUGCCACCUGAUUCUUCCUCUCGCGCUCCUUAACCAGACUCACUGCAGCCGCCGCCACCAUCACCACCGAGGUUAGGCUUUCGGUAGCGACUGGUACCGGGGACUCGGACUUGGAUUCCGGGUUUGCAGGAGGUCGGGGAGACUCCCCCGCCGCCGCCAUCCCAGCCGAUGCUAGGGUUUCGGGAGCGACUGGGACUGUGGACUCGCGCUUGGAUUCCGGUGUUGUCGGAGGUCGAGGAGCCUUCCAGGAAGCCGCUAUUGCCUCCUCCUGCUCCCUGUGCUUCUUCCUCCUCCGCUUCUUCUGCCGUGACGCCUCCAAAUCCUCUGCCGGCGCCGACAUAGCGCACGGCGGCGAUAACGACCAGGCGGGGGAUCGAGACGGGGACCGCCUCGGCACUCGCACUACACCACAGCCUCAGAAUAGCGGCAGUGUUGGGCGGUGCCGGAGAAGUUGAGCGGCGGCGGCGGAGUUGGAUGGUGGAGUUGGGCGGGCGUGCGCAGAGAGGAGGCCGCGGGACCUGCGACGGACCGGCUGGGCAGGCAGCCGCAGUGGGGAGGCGGCGGGACCUGCGAUGGAUCCGGGCGGGCGGGCGCAGAGAGCAGGCGGCGGCGGCAACAACUGAGCUCAGGCCGGCUGAAGACAAAGGGGCAGGGAGUUCGAUACAACAAAGACAAAAAUACCCUGCGAUUCCUUGCUCACGUCUGUUGAGAGUGCGCGCAAACAGGAACGGCAGCGCGCCAAAAGAUUAGCAGCUCGCGCCAAAAGAUUAGCAGCUCGCGCCAAAAGAUUAGCAGCUCGCGCCAAAAAUCCAUGGCAGCGCAGGUUUCGGUUGUCGUGGAUUCAGGUUUGAGAAUGAUUUUUCCUUUUCAGGUUCGGAGCCCCAAAACUAUUGCGUUCGGUUUCACGUUUGAGUUUUUAUCAGAUGGAUAUCCGAAAUAAGUCAUUAGAAUUAAAUUUUAUAUUUUAUAAUAUGAUAAUAAUAACUUGUUUACUUAGAUUAUUAAUUUAUUUUAAGCUAACACAUGAAAAUAUUUUUUUAUUACCUCUUAUUUAUACAUGUAAAUAUGUGUAUAUAUAUCAUGAAUAUGUUUAUAAAAAGUCUUUAUUGUUAUUAGGCCCUGUUUAGAUUUGAGAUGAAAAUUUUUUAGGUGUCACAUUGGAUGUGUCGGAAGGACGUCGGGAGAGGUUUUUAGAAACUAAUAAAAAACAAAUUACAUAGCUCAUCUGGAAACUGAAAGACAAAUCUAUUAAGCAUAAUUAAUCUGUCAUUAGCACAUGUGGGUUACUGUAGCACUUAAGGCUAAUCAUAGACUAACUAGGCUUAAAAGAUUCGUCUUGCGAUUUUCAACCAAACUGUGUAAUUGGUUUAUUUUUUUAUCUACAUUUAAUGUUACAUGCAUGUGUCUAAAGAUUCGAUGGAAUGAAUGGACUUUUUUUAGAUGGGGAACUAAACAGGGCCUUAUUAUGUUGAUGUAGAAAGCGGGUUUUAGGUAUCCAUUCGGGUUUCGCAUAUCCGCGGGUUUGGUUUUGGGAUGGGUUAUCACCCGAAUCGGUGUUCGGUGCGGUUUCGGGUUUUGAUUUCGGAUUUCGGGUUCGGGUGUAUAGAGACUUCAUCUGAUCCGAAUUCGCCCCGUUGCCAUCCUUACUCCCACUCCUGCAACAAGUCCUCAUAAAGCUCCACAAAAGCAGUAAUAAGAACGUUGUGUUCUUGAUCUCUUUGGUUGAGGAAAUCCACCAAUUGCCGACAAUCUAAUAAGAACGUUGUGUUGUUGAAGUUGAGAUUGUCAUUCACCAUGGCAGCAAGGGCUAAGGCAGCCGCUUCUGCCAUGAGUACCGAUUGAACUCUUGAUACCUGCGCUUUGAUGUAUAUGGUUUGCACCGGUUGUACCUGCGUGUUAAAAAAGAGGAUUCCCAGACCAGCCAUCCUUGGCUGUAAAGAUGAGUCAUGAGGAAUUGUAGAUGCAUGAACAUAGCAUCUGACUCUCUUGGGAAGUGUCGCCGGCACCGUGUACCUAUAUAACUACAAGUUGAUAUGCUCUUGGGAGUGAUUGUUGGUCUGGUUCAUGCCUGUUGCAAAAGUUGUCAUACCUGAAAAUAUUUGGUUGGAGUCCUGUUGGGUAGGCGGCGUUGUUCGUGUUAGAGAGCCUCCAGUUCAUAUCUGUUCACACACGAACACGUCACCGUAUGCCCCCGACGAUGAGCACGACUGCGGAUGAGCCUCGCCGUGAGCGCGAUACGCAAGACACGUCGGCAAGGUCUUCUGAAACCCCACACGCCCGUGAAACCCCACACGCCCGAGAAUAACUCCGUCAGGGCGCGUGGCAGCUAUGGGCUGCCCUAGCCAGCCUGACUGCUCUAGGGCUUCGCCAUUGUUGAAGCAAUGAACAUCGUCGACAACGGAGAACGAAAAGAAAUAGUAGAUUGAAUAAUAAGAUAAAAGAUAAAAGAUAGAUGUAUUUUGAUAUAUUCGAUUGUCUGUGUCAAUCGGCCGUCACCCCUUAUAUAUUUGUAGGGUGGUUGGUCUUUCCUUUAUCCAAAUACAUGCUAGGCUAUUGUCGUAUAAUACCCAUAUACAUAACAGGCUCCUAUGCGGCUAUGUUGAUGCCAAUCUUGCAUUACACAGUACAAGCCAUAGAGCAACUCCAACAGGUUGGCUAAAAUUAACUAGUCAAAUUUUAUUGUUUAGCCAUUUUGUAAAAUAGAAAAUUUGUUUAAAAAAAAGAUCCACAAUAGUCUUGUUAUUUUACAAAAUCAGGUAUCCAGCGUCUGUGGUUGGCUAUAUAUGGCCACCAAAAAUUAAGGAAUGGCUAGCUUGCUAUUUUAUAAAAUCAGAUAGCAUAUUUGUUGGAGCUUACUUUUUACUAUACAAAUGCUAAAAUAGCCUAUACAAUAAAAAUAGUCAAGUUGUUGGAGUUGCUCUAAUGAAGCAACUACACAUACAAGUCCUUUCCAUGUACGUGCAUGUUCUCCUCCAUCUUAGCUUCUGUCUGUUGUAAAACAUACGGAGUGUAUGUGAGCUCUUACCAAAACUCUUAAACCUUGGCAGGACUAUAUAUACGUGGGAGCUCUAUGUUGUAAUUACCAAUAUAUUGAGAGGAAUAAAAAAUAGUCUCCCUAUCUUGUGUCUAUUUGUUCUUCUACUUUCAUCUACUAUGUUGAUCAUGAAAGACGUUUAGGGAAAGGUCCCAACCGCUGGCAACAUGUUUUAUAACACGUUAUCAGCACGACAAGCUCUACGUCGACAUCACCGUUGAAGCCGCCGCCGACCUUCGACGCCGACGUUCAUGCCGUCGACGUCGCGGACAUGACUACUUCGACGACGACAUCGACAUCCCGAUGUUGUUAGUGGAACGGAUCUGCUACCUCUACCUGCUACAGAUCUGCACUACAUCAACUGUCAUCUUUUCUGUCAAGCAGGGAGUUCUACGACAAUGUCAAACGCUCUACGCGAUAUGUAUCUACUAACCACUAUCCUACGCGACAUGUGAGGUAGAUCAAAUUGACAUCCUUUAAAAGGUAUGAAAUACGUCUUGUAGAUUGUUUUGCACCGGCCAUCAAGCUGGAUUAAUCUCUACUCGAAGUUUGCAUGAGUAGCUAGAAACCCUGUUUUUCCAAAUCGAGCUAGAAUACAUAAAUUAGAUGGGAGAUCAUGACAUCAGACUAAAAGUCUACGGUGCAUUAAUUAGCAAGUAAAGGAAGCUAAAUAGCAUGCAUAUGCAUGUGUAUGAAUUUUGCGUGUGCGUGUAUAUAUAAUUAAAACAUGUCAAUGGACUGCGGAUGGAUAUAGCUACCGUAUUAGCUUUCUCCAAUGAACGUGUGCAAGUUCACCAUUGAUCACUCGUACAAUUACAUUGUAUCAGUCAUGAGUUUGACAUGCAAUCAAUACCAUCUAUGCAAGUUCCAUCAUCUUGACUUUACUUAUAAUUCGAGUUGCACUCGCACGUGCCUUAUCCUUUGCUUGCUGGUACUUAACAUGUAGUCAUUGCGGCAAGUACAGAAUAUUGUAUUCUCGCUGGCCUGAAGUCUAGGCACCAUCGGGGCAUGCAUUGAAUCAGAUUGAAUCUUGUUGCAUCUGCAAUUCCCUCUAUAAACUCGGACUCCUUACAAGCUCUACUAUUUUUUUGAAUUGUUGCAUCUUUUGACAAACUUGUAGCUCCCUGCAACUUCGUACCACUAUAUGCUAGAAGCAUUGGAACAGACUAAAAAAUUAAGAAUGUGACAAAGACAGGGCCCAUAGUCCCUCUCAUCUUAAAAAGGAUGCAUCAGUUUUGGAAUUUCUAGAAGAAAAAUAUAUUCCUAUCUUGACAGUAAAUUCUAUACGCUUAUUUUUAGUUUAUAUAUAGCGUAUGUGUGCUGAUAUUUUUAUGCUAUUUUGAAUGCAUUUAUUUAUCACACAUUAUGAAUAUACCAUGUCAUAACAAGUGUAAAGCAUUGAAUGAUUACAUUAGAAACAUGGUAUAUGGUAUAUGGGCUCUCUAAAUCCUGCAGACCUUAGACUUAUCACCUUUAAUAGGCUCAUAUUUAUUUUUCUAGCAUAAUGAAUUUUGGGAUGAAUGAAUGGUUGAUAUUAAUUCUAAAAAUUUAUAUUUAUACCAUAAUCCUGAAAAAUGCUAGGAUAUUUCUAAGAAUAUUUUGUAUAACCAUCCACUAUCUUUUUGUACCUUGCUACUUGUUUACAUGUAGUAAACUUAUAUGCACAUAAUGAUUCCAAUUAUAAUAAUGUCGAGGAUAUCACUAAGGGGUACCCUAACUGAUGUACAUAGCGAGAGCAUCCAUACGAAAGUCGAGGCCUCCGACUCGACGCCCCUCCCCAGUUGUACGCACGGUCCUCGACAAUCGUAGCCACGAACACGGAAAGAACGUCCUGCGAAUCGACUAAGGCUCGAGCGCCGGCUACCGUCGAAUACGAAAACAGGCUCUUACGAAUCGAAAGGCCUCGAGCGCAAGGACGCCGGCCGCCGCCUGACGUGGGCACGGGAACCAGGGCAUUUAAUGCGCCUGCCUCGUUCUCACCUAACCCGUCAGUCACGGGAAGCGUGAUAGGGAACAAGCACCCGUCCUGUCGUUCUUUUCGCAGCCUUCCCCACCAAACAAGCCAGAACGUGGCAGGGCGCAGGGAGUGGGUCGGAACGUCCAGUCAAGACCCCCCUCGAGACGCCCAAAGCAAGGCGUUACAUGGCACCUGACCCUCGAGUAGGCACGUUUCCUUCCUGAGGAAGGAUCGGGCGACGAAUGACAGCACUUCAACCACUUCGACGUAGCUGCUACCGCGACGUACAAGCAUGCAACAGAUAAACCAGUCCAGGACGGCGCACAGGAGCGGAAUUCAGGGGCAUGCGUAAUCAUCAUCAAGGUACCAAGACAAGACGGCUCGAGGCCACGCCGGUACGGAGGCCUCGAGUAGGUCAGCGCGCCGCACCCCUAUCGACCCCUACUCUGUCGCCUAUGUAUGUAACCUAGGCCUCCCCUUGGAACUAUAAAAGGGAAAGCCCAGGAGAGGAUACGGGGGACAAGAGAUAUACGCAUUAGAGCACUCAUACUCCCUCACCACCCAUCCACGUCUGUAUUCACCCCUGUACAAGCACUUAAGUGCAAGAUAAUACAAACUCUCCUCCCCCGCUGGACGUAGGGCCUUCUCUUGCCCGAACCAGGAUAAAUCUUUGUGUCUUUUCUUGCAUCACCAUCUGGAAAGGGGAGCACGCACACAAGUUUUACUCGUUUGUGUGACCCCCCGGGGGAAAACACCGACAGUUGGCGCGCCAGGUAGGGGUCCUGCGUGUUUUUCACCGAUUUCCCAUCUUUUUCCAGAUGGCCACUCUUGUUUCACCGAUUCCACGCUCCAUGGAGAUUUGGUUCGGGAGCCUCGAGUUCAUGUCCACCGGUUUUGGCUACGAUAUGAUCCUGCUCUCGGUCAAAGGACCGGGAGGAGCUCGCGUUGCGCCCGCCCGAUUGAGGGCCCCCAGACGGCCUCGCCACCACGCCUCCCCGCCCAAGAAGAGGCGUGGUCAGCGCCACCAUCACCCCUCUGCGUCGUCACGAUCGCAGGUUCGUGCCAAGCGGGAGGUGACGCAGGGGCCGACAGCCCCGCGUGCCGAAGCCGCGGGUAUGACGGCCCGACGCCACGAGGACCGCAUGACGACGAUGGGAGACGGCGCGCCUUGCGCACUCUCGCCCGCCACGACGCUACUUCCGCACGGGCUGUUCGCCCCGAGAAGAGCGCUGCCGUUCGGUCUGGACAAUGCCGCGGCGUCACUCGCCAGGACGAUAUGUCCAAACGCCCAGACGUACGUGGAGAGACCAAUGGUCCUCCCACGCGACACUGGAGCACAGCAACGGACGUCCGAGCUGCCGGAUUUCUCUCAGGUACGAGGCCUCCGCCGCCUAGGUCCUGGGCGGUACACGAUCACCUCGCUCAGGCAACGGCUGCUGGAGGAGGGACGUGGAUGCUUCUACGCCGCCGAGCCGGACUCCGACUCUGAGUCCGACAGCUACGACCCUACUAGGGAAUGCUUCCAUAUCGACAGGGCGGUAGAAAGCACCGACGAGACACAAGUCGCCGUUGCCGGCGGUCGAGCCCCUGCAGCAAGGGAAGACCCCAGGACGCCUGGAAACGACGGUCAAGUCGACCCUCCUCCGCAAGAAGACAGAGCCGCGCAACUUGCGCAGUUAUGAGAGCUCAAAGCGAAGCUCGAUGAAGAUCGCGAGUGCCUUGUCCUGCUUGAACAGAUCCUCGAGCAGGACCAGCCAUACCCGCCUGGCGGAAGUGUCCGCAGACGGGCUCGAGAAGUACAUCGACAAAUCGUUGGAGACAGGGAGCCUGAGCAACCCGUCAGCCGUUUCCCUCGAGCGGGACAGAACAUCGUGGCGGCAACAAUGCUGCUACGCAAUAUGCCCGAACCGUCGAAUUCCCAAGCGCGACGCAUUCGAGACGAGGUACAGACUCUGCUCCAAGUGGCGGCAGUUCAGCAAGCCGAGAGCUCGGCCUCUCGACGUCGAGGAGCAGCCACGGAGAAGCGUGAGGAGGCGGCCCAGAACGAAAAGGAGGUGUCGGUCCAUCAGCAACCACCCCCUCGAGGGAAGAAGACAGCACUCGUCCUCAACCACCCCGUCGACAAUCAGCGACGACACGACGCACGACGCGACAUCGACGAGAAUCGUCGCCGUCGAUAUGGGGAUGCAGAAGAGCGUGGUUACAGCGCCCACCGCGGCGGGAGAUACGACAGCGACGAGGAUCGGAUGGCCCCGGAACCGUCGGGCCCUCGGGUGUUCAGUAGAGCAAUCCGCAGCACGCCACUGCCCAGCCCGUUUCGACCCCCGACCAGCAUCGCUAAAUACAACGGCGAAACCAAGCCAGAGCUAUGGUUCGUAGACUUCCGGUUAGCCUGUCAGUUGGGUGGCGCUCGAGGAGAUGAUCGAGCCAUCAUCAGGCAGUUGCCGCUUUUUCUCUCCGACACCGCCCGCAGAUGGCUGGAGGAACUCCCGGCCAAUCAAAUCCACGAUUGGGUCGAUUUGGUCAGAGUAUUUGAGGGCAACUUCAAAGGGACCUACAUACGGCCCGGCAACUCGUGGGACCUCAACAAGUGCAAGCAGAAGUCAGGAGAAACUCUCCGGGAGUAUGCUCGACGCUUCUCGAAGCAAUGCACCGAGCUGCCGCACAUCCCAGACCACGACGUCAUCCUGGCCUUUGUUAGGCCAGAAUCGUCCUCAGACCGUCGAUGAGCUGACGGACGUAGUGGCAAACUACACUACAGGGGAAGAAGCGGUCGGUGCCUUCUUGAGCUGCGAAGGAGGGAAAGGCAAGUCGCCCGCCGAUGACGAUAAGGGCCCCAGUCAAGGACCCAAGAAGAACAAAAAGAAGAAGAAAGCACGGCUGUUCCAGCAGGAUGCCCUCGACGAUGAUCUCGUCGCCGCCAUGGAGCGCAAAAGGCCUCGAGGACCCCCAGAGGGGGCUAUCUUCGACCAAAUGCUAAAGGAGCCCUGCUAUCGGUGUUUUCCCCACGGGGGGUCACACCAACGAGUAAAUUUGUAUGCGUGCUCCCUUUCCCAGAUGGUGAUGCAAGAAGACACAGGGAUUUAUCCUGGUUCGGGCAAGAGAAGGCCCUACGUCCAGCGGGGGGAGGAGAGUUUGUAUUAUCUUGCACCUAAGUGCUUGUACAGGGGCGAAUACAAGCGUGGUAUGAAGUGUGGAGCUCUACUACGUAUGAGCGUGGUCUUGUGUCGUGAUGUCCCUUGCUAUUCUAUUCCUGAGUCCCUCCUUUUAUAGUUCCAAGGAGAGACCCAAGGUACAUGUAUAGGCGUCAGAAUAGAAGUCGAUAGCAGUAUGGAGCGCUGACCUACUCAAGGCUUCCGUACCGGCAUGGCCUCGAGCCGUCCCGUCUUAAUAUCCUGGUGAUGAUUACGCGUGCCCCUGCAUUCUGCUCUGCGCGCCGUCUUGGAUUGGUUUGACGGAUGCACGCUUGUACGAUCCGGCGGCAAAUCCGGCGGAGUGGUUGGGAUGUAGCCAGUCGACGCCCAACCCGUCCCCUGGAAGGAUCUCUGUCUGGUCGAGGGUCAGAUGCCGUACAUUGUGCCGAUAUCCGGAGCGCUGACUUUAGACGUCUCGAGGGGGUCCCGAUUAGACGUCCCAUCCUUGUUUCCCGCGCCCUGUCGUGCCCUGGGUCGUUCGGCGGGAAGGCUGCAAAAAGAUCGAUGGGACGGAAGCCUGUUCCCUAUCACGCUUCCCGUGACCUGUGUGUUAGGUGGGGAAGCAUCAGGCGCAUUUAAUGCUCCGGCCCGCGUGCGCGCGUCAGGCGGCGGGCGGCGUCCUUGCGCUCGACGCCCCCCGGUUCGCGUGAGCCUGUUCCGUAUUCGACGGUAACCGGCGCUCGACGCCUGAUCGAUUCGCUCGACGCUAUUUCCGCCUUCGAGGUUGCGGCCGUCGAUGGCGGCGCAUACGUAAGAUUAGAGCGUCGAAUUGAGGGCCUCGACCUGCGUACGGGCAAUCUCGUAAUGCGCAUCGCUGAGGGUACCCCUUGCCGAUACCCUCGACAGUAGCCCCCGAGCCUCCAUUUGAGCGCUAGCGCUCAAGUGGAGGCUUUGUUUUGCGGUCGAAUUUCCGUGGGGGCGCGCGAGCGACCCCACGGGGGUAGCCCCCAAGCCCUCGGAGGAGUUUUUGACUCCUUCGAGGGCUAUGUUGUCUAAUUCGCAGAAGCGCUUUCGACACCAGUGGUGGAAGGUUCUGACUGGCUCGUUUUGCCCGUGGGUUUCGGCGUACUCUCGAUAGAGCGAGCGUCUUCCACCCCAAAUUGAGUUCCUGGCGGGUAGUCCAAGUGAGAACCUGUGCCCCUUUCGAGGGGGUCAGCUGUAGCCCGGAGGCGUUCUCAUAAAGCGGGAUCGACGUGGUCGGGGAUACCAGUCUCAUUCGAUAGAGACCGGCGGCUCGAUGCCUCCCGUCGGGGGGAUUCCUCUCGACUGUCUCGACCCUACCUUGAACAUCGCCAGCGAGCCCUCGAGGCGGGCCUCGAUCUUCGACCGCUCGCUGGGGAUCCCUGACUCUGGCGCUCGAGAUCGGCUGUCGAACCCUUUCGGCGGGCCAGCCAUCGACCUCUCGAGACUCUCGCGGGUACGUCCCUUGGCUUACGAGGGAAGGAAGUGGCCGUGGCAGUUCGCCUUUCUGCCCGUUGGGCGCGCCUUUUUAGGCGGGUGACGUUACGACACUGCGUCGGCGUGGGAUUCGGGGCGCCACGCCUGCGUGGGAAAGAGACGAUUAGGUGGCGCAUUUAAUGGAGGGAGUUACCUUAUUUCUCGGAUCUGUCCGUUGGCGGACUGCUGCCUAUAAAUACGUCGUGGCGUCGCCGCCGUUCCUCUCCCUUCCGCCUUCUCGCUUUUAUUCUCUCGUUGCCUUUGCUUUCUCGCUGCCUUAGCUCUCUUGCCGUCUCACGCGCACACGCCUCCUCGAGCUGUAGCGAAUCCACCGUCCCUCCAGCCGAGAUGCCUGUAAGACUCGUUGCCACCGACGACUGGCGCCCGUCGUCGAUGACGGAGCGCCGGUUGUUAGAGCUUGAGAAAGAGGGACUGCUACGCCGCCGUACCUCGCUAUCGUCGCCAGAGUGGAUCACGCCGCCGGCGAGUCACAGGGGGCCUCAGCCGCCCGAGGGCUACGUGGUGUCGUUCGCCAAGUUCCACCGCCACGGCCUGGGCGUGCCCCCAAGCCGCUUCAUGCGGGCCCUCUGCUUCCAUUAUGGGGUGGAGCUCCAGCACUUCUCUCCGAACGCCAUCACCGUAGCGGCGGUCUUCGCCGCCGUGUGUGAGGGCUACUUGGGGAUGAUGCCGCACUGGGAGCUGUGGCUCCACCUCUACAGGGGAGAGCUUUUCCACGCCCCACUGGAACCACGGGCGUAAGGAAGCCCGUGCGAGCGGGAUGCCUCAAUCUGGUGCAGAAGACGGGGAAGACGGACAGGCCGCGGGAGUACAUCCCAGUAGGGUUAUCGACCAACCACGCCGGCUGGGACUCCCAGUGGUUUUACCUGCGGAAUGAUGACAACCUCCUGCCUUCCUACUCGGGCCGUCUGAUCAUGGAGCGUCCAGCGGACUGGACAUACGGCGUCGUCCAAGCUCAUCAAUCUCGGCUCGACCCCCUCCUCGACGCCCUGAAGAAGAUUCGCCAGGAGGGUUUGACCGCCGCUCUCGUCCUCUCGGCCGUGCAUCACCGGAGAGUUCUCCCUUUGAUGUCUCGCCCGUUGAGGAUGGACGAGAUGGGCCCUGGCGUCUCAUCUCGGGACCUCGAGGCGUGUCGGAUAUCCAACGAGGCUCCGGCGGACGACGAAGUCGCGGCCCAAGUCAGGGCUGCAAUUGCCGGUGAUUUUCAGUCGGAGCACGUUAACGGCUUCCCCAUGAGACCAGACGCAGGCUCGAUCGAUCUGGUUCGCUUUCUUCUUGCGCGCAGCCUCGAUUCUGGGUUUCCUUUCUCCCCUCUCUUUUUUCUAAGUCUGCCUUUGUUUUGGCAGGGUCGGAUUGAUGUCCGGUCCUCGAGGCCUCCGGUAAAGGAGGACGAGGUCGAUCGUGACAAACGGCGCCAAUCUGCCGAAAAGCUAAAGUCCGCCAAGGACUCUGCAAAGAAGGGGGAGAAGAAGAAGAACCUCGACCACCAAGCAUUAGAGGCGCGUCGAGCCAAAUCCAGGCAGAGGGGGGAGCCUGAGGAAGAAUCCCCUAACGACGAUGACGAUGACGACGAGGACAGCGACGACUCUGAGGGGAUGGCGUCGCGCCUCGAUCGGAUUCUCGAGGGCCCGCCUCGAGGUGACGUCGACGCCCCCCGGACGGAGGCGCCAGAGGAAGGUCCGAGCGGAUCUCAUCGCCCCCGGGCCGACACCCCUCCCGCGCCCAAGGCGGGCCAGGACGCACCGCGCCCUCCCCCGGUGCCCAGGGAGAGCGGUCUGGCUAGGCCCCAGGCGUCGUGGCCACUAACUCGUGGUCGCGCCGCGGCCUCUGAGAAAGGAGAUGCCGGCCGUAGGAGCGCCAGUCCCGGCGCCCGCCAAGCGGGGACCGACGCGCCUAGGCCAGUGCCCACCCUCGAGGGGCCUGGAGCCCUGACGCGGGGUGGCUCGAGGCCCACUGGUCGGGGUGGCGGGAGGCGAGCCGUUCUCCGUGUGGGGUAAGCCUUUUUGAUGUUGCGGUUUUUGUCUUCCCAUUCUUCCACCUUUCCUCAUAUGCCAACCUUUUUUCAGGCUAAAGCGGACCCUUGAGCAGGCCCAACCAUCCAUGGCAAAGAGGCUCAAAACGGGUGCCGCCUCCAAGGAACCAGGUUCGUAGUUUAUUUCUGGGCGUUGCGAUGUUCUCGUGUCGGUUAUCAUAACGUCUGACCCUUUCCCUUUGUUUCGUAGGCUCCUCCAGCUCCCAACCUCCAGCCGGCGUCGAGAGGGCUCCGUCUCGUCCCGCGCCUACUCCGUCGCCGCCGACUCGUGAUGAGGCGCCCCAGACGCAAGCGUCAGAGGGAUCCGCCGAGCCCCCUCGAUUGGGGGUCGAGGGGGAACCCAUCACCAUCAGCGAUACGUCCGAUGGUAACGAAGCGUCUUGGGGCGCUCGCCCUAUGGAGGAGGAAGCGCCAACCCCCAACGUCGCGGGAUCAACUCCCUGGCCCGCCGGCCUCCGCACCCUCGAGGAGCAGAAGAAGAAGAGAGAGGAGGAUGAACAGCGGGAGCGCGAGGCGGCGCGGCAGCCGCAGGAACAUGAGACGCAGCAACAGCGACAGCUACAGCAGCAGGAGCGACAGCAGCAGCAGCAGGAGCAGCAGCAUCAGCAGCAGGAGCAACAGCAGCAGCAGCAGGGGGGCCAGGAGGAGGGACUGCUCGAGCCCCCGCCCCAAGGUCCGGCCCAGCCAGUACCGCCGGAGCCGUAAGGGCCCGGCGAGCAAGAAGAGGAUUUGCCGGUGUACGGCCCCCCGACCCCAGCGUGGCUCCUCCCGGGGGCACCCGCCGCGAUCCGGGCAGAGCCGGGGCGUGCGGAUGGAGUGGUGGCGCUCGCCUGCAUGAUGCGCACCCCCACCGACCCUGAGUCCGAGAUCAAGCAGACGAUCUACGGCAUGGACGGGAUCGCCCCACGGUUCCUCCGGGAGCGUCGGGCAUGGGAGGACCGCUUUCCCUCCGAGGAGGAUGAAAUCGGGACGUCGGGGACCAAGGACGGGACCUGGAAGACGGUGGAUGACGACGGGCGGUUUCCAUGCCUCGUCGACCUGUUCUUGCGCCAUGGGGGUUCUCUCGAGACCGUCGAGGACCUCAUCCGUGGCAUAAAGGCGCGGGCCGACCGGGAGAUGGAGCAUUGGUGCCCCGAUCGGAUCCGCAUCCGAGCCUAACAUUUUUCUGGACGAUCGAAAGGAGGCAGAGAAGUGGGAGCACGUCGAGGAACUCCGCCUUUGGAUGAAGCACGUGGUGGGGCUCCUCUCAAACGUUAUCAACAACGGGCUCGGCCCGGCUUAUUUCGUAAGUGCUUUUCGAUCUUCAACCCUCGUGGAGCCUUUUGGUUUUGCGCUCUAACCGUUCAAUCCUUGGUUCGCAGGAUAUGAAAGAGACCUCCCGCAUCAAGUCUAGUUUCAUACACGCCACGAGAGGCGGCUAGGAGCAGCUUCCCCUCCUCAAGGAUCAACUCCUCGAGUCGCAGGAAAAGCUCCUUAAAGCUUAUAAGGAUCUCAUAGCACUUGAGGAGGAGAAGAAGGUGAGGGAGGCUGCCUUGGCCGAGGCCCGAGAGGCCUCAAAGAAGGCGGAGGAGGAGACGAUGCUGCUACGGGAGCGGGCUCUUACGGUCGAGGAGGCCGCGUCCAAAGCCCGGGAGGAGGCCCUGUCCUACAAGAGCGUUAUCACAGACCUGGACAAGGAGAAGGGCUUUCUUAAAACCGACCUGGACUCCCUUCGAGAGUCCUUCCAAAGGAUGAAGGUGGAGCAUGUGAACGGCGAGAUCGCCAGGAGCGCCGCGGAGGAAACCAAGAAGAAGGCCCUUGAAGAUCUCGAGGCGGAGCAGGCUCAAUCCCGCAGGCUCUCUGACGACGUUCAGCGUCUGAAGGGAGAGCUGCUGGAGAAGAGUGGGGCCAUUGUUCAGGCUGGCAAGGCGAUCGAGGAUCUCCGCAUUGCCAACACCGAGCUGGCACGCUCCAACAAAGAGAUCGAGAGGGCCAACACCAGGCUGGUCGGCGAGAACACGGCCCUAGAGGAGACCGUACGCGGUAUGUUUCCUCUAUCAGAUUUCUUUUUUUGGGGUGUGCUUGGUUUUUCCUAAGGUCUCUUGUAUUGGCCUUUGCAGGGCUCAAGGACAAACUCCUGGCCGCCCAAGCCGAGGCUCGCAACGCCAAGGCUCAGCUCGAGGUGGAGGUUGCUUUGAACCGUCGAGUUCGGAUGGCGAUAAGUGAUCUCUCGACCUCUUGGGAGGUCGAGCCCAUGGAUGAGUCGAGGGAGGGCGCUCAAGGUGACGCCCUGGUUGACCAGCUGUGCUACAUAGGCGCGACGCUGCGAGAUCGGGUGCGGGAUGCCCUCCACAUCGGGGUGAAGCGGGCGAUGGCGGUUGUCUGCUCGGGCUUCUCCUACGACAUGGAGGUGGUGUCUCACGGCUUCGUCACCGACAUCUCCAAGACCGACGCGGAGAACGAGGAGAGGCUCCAUGCCUUGAUCGACGACGCGGAGGCUCCUGGGGAAAGGCUGGCUAAGCUUUUUGAGCCUGAGGUGCUUCCUCCUGAGACUAGCUUAGGCGGAGGCGAGGGCGGUGAGGAUCGUGCCGCGGACUGAGGCCUGCGAGCUUGCUCAGGGCGCCUGGGGCCCCUUGUAUGAUAUUUUAUUAAUUCUGUUGCUAAGUGAUACAGUGUCUUUUUGUAAUUGUUAAAUGCUUAUUUGUCUUUCCACUCGAGGUCCUUUUAUUUCUCUUUGUUCCUACGUUUGUACCCCCUGCUCGAUCUUUCGUCACAAACAACCUCGAUCACCUCAAUGGUGAGGAAGUGAGUAGAGUUUCCGAAGCCCGGGGGCGUAGGAGUUCUCUGGCUCGUUGUCCCUCGGCCUUUGAGGGGCUCGAGGCGCCUCUGCUACUCGAAACGCGCAAGGUUUACUAAAUAGGAAAAGAAAGUUUCUUGGCUUUGUCGACGCUUGGGGGGGGUCGUCCCCCUGGUAGCCCCCGAGGGGGUGUUGACUAUGAUGGGUCAUGGUCGGCAUCCCCUUUUAACGUCGAGACUAUGACUUGUAGCUUUUUUUGGCACAAAAAGAAGUCGCUCGAGGGAAAGACUUUAUUUAUUCAUGCGUUCGUUUACAAAGUCUUGGUACAAAAUGUAGGAACGUAAGUUUAGGACUUCUAGGGGUAGAAUCGACGUAGCUGUUCGAUGUUCCAUGCGUUGGUGAAGAUUGCCCCCUUUUCGUCCGCCAACUUGUACGUUCCCGGCUUCAGGACCUCGGCCACCAUGUACGGGCCUUCCCAAGGCGGAGUCAGCUUGUGGCGUCCUUGAUUGCUUUGCCGGCGUCGUAGGACAAGGUCGCCCACGUUGAGGUCCCUCUUGCGCACGUGCUUGUCGUGGUAGAGUUGAAGUUUUUGCUGGUAUCUGGCAGAGUUGAGGAGGGCCAUGUCUCGAGCCUCCUCGAGUUGGUCGACCGCGUUUUCUUGAGUCUCCUUAUUGGAUUGCUCAUUAUACGCCUUGAGUCGAGGUGACCCAUACUCGAGGUCUGUGGGGAGGACAGCCUCGGAGCCGUAGACCAUGAAGAAUGGGGUGUACUUCGUGGCCCUGCUUGGCGUUGUCCUUAGACUCCAUAGGACCGAGGAAAGCUCCUCGACCCAUUUCUUGCCGAAUUUCUUCAAACGAUUGUAGAUCCUUGGCUUGAGUCCUUGCAAAAUCAUACCGUUGGCACGCUCGACCUGGCCGUUGGUUCGAGGGUGGGCUACUGCAGACCAGUUCACACGGAUGUGAUGCUGAUCGCAGAAGUCCAAGAACUUUUUGCCGGUGAACUGAGUGCCGUUGUCGGUGAUGAUGACGUUGGGAAUCCCAAAUCGAUGGAUUAUGUCGGUGAAGAAAAGGUCGGCCUGUUCGGAGCGGAUGUUGGUGAUGGGUCGAGCCUCGAUCCAUUUGGAGAAUUUGUCAAUGGCCACCAACAAGUGGGUGUACCCUCCUUUCGUCUUUUGUAGAGGUCCUACCAAAUCGAGCCCCAAACUGCAAACGGCCAGGUGAUGGGGAUCAUCUGAAGAGCGUGGGCGGGCAGGUGCGUCUGCUUGGCGUAAAACUGGCACCCGUGACACGUGCGCACGAGCUCGAUGGCAUCUGCCACGGCCGUCGGCCAGUAGAAACCCUGUCGAAAAGCGUUUCCCACGAGGGUCCGUGGAGCAGCAUGGUGGCCGCAAGCCCCCGAGUGUAGGUCUUCAAGGAGUUUUCGACCUUCUUCCACGGUGAUGCAACGCUGUAAGACCCCCGUCGGGCUUCGUCGAUAUAGCUCGUUGUCUUCGCCAUAUAUCACAUAUGACUUGACCCGUCGAGCGAUGCGACGGGCCUCUGACCGAUCUUCUGGCAGCUCGCCGUGGAUUAGGCAGUCGAGGUAUGGUGUGCGCCAGUCGAACGGUCGACCAGGCUGUCAUUCUACCUCCAUCACUUCAGCCGCCAUCAAGAGUGUGUCGACGGUGUUGGUUGGCUGGGCAGGAGCUGCGUCGACGCCAGCCCCCGAGCCUAAGUCGACGGAUGGCUCGUAGAGAUCUCUCGAGAACGCGUUAGGUGGCACCGUGCCUCGAGUCGAUGCGAUCUUGGCGAGUUCGUCGGCUGCCUCAUUGUAGCGUCGGGCGACAUGGACAAGCUCAAUACCAUAGAAUUUGUCCUCGAAUCGAUGGACUUCUUUGCAGUACGCUUCCAUUUUCGGGUCGUGGCAGCUCGAGGUUUUCAUUACUUGGUCGAUGACGAGUUGGGAGUCACCUCGGACGUCGAGGCGUCGGACUCCUAACUCGAUAGCGAUCUUGAGACCAUUGACGAGGGCCUCAUAUUCUGCGACGUUGUUAGAUGCGGCAAAAUGAAUCCUGAUUACAUACCUCAUGUGGACGCCCAAGGGUGAGAUGAACAGUAGGCCGGCCCCGGCCCCAGUUUUCAUGAGUGACCCGUCGAAAUACAUUGUCCACAACUCCGCCUGGACCUGAGUCGGGGGAAGCUGGGAGUCCGUCCAUUCCGCGACGAAGUCUACCAGGGCUUGCGAUUUGAUGGCCUUCUGAGGUGCAUAAGUGAGAGUCUCACUCAUGAGCUCGACCGACCACUUAGCUAUUCUUCCCGUGGCCUCCUUGCUCUGGAUUAUCUCACCCAAAGGGAAAGACGAAACCACUGUGAUGGGGUGACCAAGGAAGUAAUGCUGCAGCUUGCGGCGAGCGAGGAUUACGGCGUAGAUCAGCUUCUGGAUUUGGGGGUAACGCGCCUUGGUCUCCGAAAGCACCUCGCUGACGAAAUAGACUGGCCUUUGGACCGGCAACGCAUGACCCUCCUCCUGUCUUUCAACUACCACUGCCGCACUGACGACCUGGGUAGUUGAUGCGAUGUAGAGGAGUAGCGGCUCUGCAGGUUGAGGCGGAACUAGGACUGGCGCCGAGGUCAGCGUCUUCUUCAGUCUUUCGAGCGCUUUCUCGGCCUCGGGGGUCCAAGAAAAGCGCUCGACCUUCUUCAGGAGUCGAUACAAUGGUAGCGCCUUUUCUCCUAGUCUCGAGAUGAAACGGCUCAGAGCCGCAAGGCAUCCCGUGACUCUCUGCACGCCCUUGAUGUCUCGGAUCGGCCCCAUUCUUGUGAUGGCCGAGACUUUCUCGGGGUUGGCCUCGAUGCCGCGCUGCGAGACGAUGUAGCCUAGGAGCAUGCCUCGAGGCACAACGAAAACACAUUUCUCGGGAUUGAGCUUGAUCCGGUUGGUGCGUAAGCAGCUAAAAGCGAUCUCGAGGUCCUGGAUCAGGUCUCCUCGCCGCUUUGAUUUGACAACAAUGUCGUCGACGUAGGCCUCGACCGUCGACCCUAUGUGUUCGCCAAAUACGUGGAGCAUGCAAUGUUGGUACGUGGCUCCCGCGUUUCGAAGCCCAAAUGGCAUGGUCACGUAGCAAUACAUCCCAAAAGGGGUGAUGAAAGAGGUCGCGAGCUGGUCGGACUCUUUCAUUUUUAUUUGGUGGUAACCAGAAUAUGCAUCAAGAAAAGAAAGGGUUUCACAUCCCGCGGUAGAAUCGACAAUCUGAUCAAUACGUGGCAAUGGAAAAGGAACUUUUGGACAUGCUUUAUUUAGACUAGUAUAAUCGACACACAUCCUCAUUUUCCCAUUCUUUUUCUUAACUAAUACAGGGUUUGCUAACCAGUCGGGAUGAUGAACCUCCUUGAUGAAUCUGGCCGUCAAAAGCUUCUGGACUUCCUCGCCAAUGACCUUGCGCUUCUCCUCGUCGAAUCAGCGCAACCGCUGCUUCACUGGCUUGGAACCGGCUCGAAUCUCCAAGGAGUGCUCGGCGACUUCCCUCGGUAUGCCUGGCAUGUCCGAGGGACUCCAUGCAAACAUGUCGGCAUUUGCACGGAGAAAGUCGACGAGCACAACUUCCUAUUUGGGGUCGAGGUCGGCGCUGAUCGUCAGCACCUUGCCGUCGGAGUUGUUGGGGUCGAGCGGGAUCUUCUUGGUUCCUUCUGCCGCCUCGAAGCUGCCCGUGUGGCGCUUAGGCUCUGGAGCCUCAGCGGCCAGGGCCUCGAGUUUCGCGACGAGCUCGGUGGAGUUCUCGACCGCCUCCCCGUGCUCGACGCACUCGACAUCGCACUCGUACGCGUGCUCGAAAGAAGAACUGACAGUGAUGACGCCUUUGGGUCCUGGCAUCUUCAGCUUCAAGUAGGUAUAGUUGGGUAUAGCCAUGAACUUGGCGUAGCCCGGGCGCCCGAUGAUGGCGUGGUACGUGCCUCGGAAUCCGACGACCUCAAAGGUGAGGGUCUCCUUCCUGAAGUUGGCCGCCGUGCCAAAGCAGACGGGUAAGUCAAUUCGUCCUACUGGCAGCGCCUUUUUCCCUGGCACGACGCCAUGGAAGCCGCCGGCGCUUGGUUGGAGCUUCCCUCUAUCUAUGCCGAGGAGGUCGAGGGUCUCGAGGUAGAUGAUGUUGAGGCUACUGCCACCGUCCAUCAGCACCUUUGAGAGCCGGGUGUUGAUGAUGAUGGGGUCGACGACAAGCGGGUAGACGCCUGGGGCGACUACCUUGUCGGGGUGGUCUUCUUGGUCGAAAGUGAUAGGUGUGCUUGACCAGCUAAGGUACUGGGGCACCGCCAUUCUUGCCGCGAAGACCUCUCGACGCUCCCUUUUGCGCUGCCUCGUGGUCAACUGAGUCGAGGGCCCGCCAUAAAUCAUGUAGCAGUCGUGGACGGCAGGGAAGCCGUCGUCAUCUUUGUCGUCCUCCUUAUUGCCACCCUUCUCUUUCUUGGAGUCGUCACGCACAUCUUUCUUGAACCCCAGACCGUCGAAAUGUUUUUUCAACAUGCGACAGUCCUUGAGCUUGUGGUUGGCGCCCCCCUUAUGGUAAGGGCACGGCUCCUCCAGCAUCUUGUCGAAGAUGCCUCCAUCUGGAGGGCCUCGAGGUUUCUUUCGAUCCAUGGCGGCGACAAGGUUGUCAUCGGAAUCCUCCCGGUGGAACCGCCGUUCUUUCUGCUUCUUUUUAUUUUUCUUGAGGCCUCGACUGGGGGUCCCAUCUUCAUCGACGGGCUGCUUGCCUUUUCUCCCUUCAGAGCCGAAGAAGGCGCCGACUGCCUCCUCCCCUGCCGCAUAGUUGGCUACUAUAUCCAUCAGCUCGUCGACGGUCUGAGGUCAAUUGCGACCUAAUUCCCGCACCAAGUCUCGACUGGUAGUGCCCGAGACGAACGCCAAGAUGACGUCGUGGUCAGGGAUGUGCGGCAGCUCAGUGCGCUGCUUCGAGAAGCAUCGAGCAUACUCUCGAAGAGUUUCUCCUGACUUCUGUUUGCACUUGCUGAGGUCCCACGAGUUCCCAGGCCGUAUGUAGGUCCCUUUGAAGUUACCCUCGAAGACUCUGACCAGAUCAACCCAGUUGUGGAUCUGAUCAGCGGGGAGUUCCUCGAGCCAUCGACGGGCGGUGUCGGAGAGGAAAAGCGGGAGUUGCCUGAUGAUAGCUCGAUCGUCUCCUCGAGCUCCCCCCAACUAACAGGCCAGCCUAAAGUCGGCUAACCACAAUUCCGGUUUGGUUUCGCCGUUGUAUUUCGCGAUGCUGGUUGGGGGUCGAAAUGGGCUGGGCAGGGGCGUGCUGCGGAUCGCCCUGCUGAAAACCUGUGGGCCCGGUGGCUCGGGGGCCACCCGAUCUUCGUCGCUGUCGUACCUGCCACCGCGAUGUGCGCUGUAACCGCGCUCUUCCGCGUCCCCGUACCGGCGGCGUCGAUUCUCCUCGAUGUCGUGCCGUGCGUCGUGUCGACGCUGGUUGUCGACGGGGAGGAUGAGGGCGGUCUUUCUACCUCGAGGUGGAGGUUGCUGAUGGACUGACACCUCCUUUUCGUUUUGAGGCUGCUCGUCGCGCUUCUCAGUGGCAGCCCCUCGCCGUCGAGAAGCUGAGCUUUCGGCUUGUUGAACCGCCGCCACCUGGAGCAAUGUCUGUACCUCAUCUCGAAUGCGUUGAGCCUGGGAGUUCGAUGGCUCUGGCAUGUUACGCAGUAGCAUCGUUGCUGCCACUACGUUCUGGCCUGCUCGAGGGAAACGGCUGAUAGGUUGCUCUGGCUCUGCGUCACCGAUGAUCUGUCGAUGUACCUCUCGAGCGCGUCUGCAGACACUCCCGCCCGGUGGGUAGGGCAGGUCUUGCUCAAGGAUUUGCUCGAGCAGGACGAGGUGCUCGCGGUCUUUGUCGAGCUUCAUCUUGAGCUCCCACAGCUGCGCGAGCUGCGCUUUUCGGUCUUCCUGUGGAGGGGGGUUGACCUGUCCGUCGUUCCCAGGCGUCCUGGGGUCUUCUCGUGCCACGGGGGCUCGACCGCCCGCAGCAGCAUCCUGUGUCUCGUCGGUAGUUUCUACCGCCCCGUCGACGUGAUAGCAUUCCCUCGUAGGGUCGUAGCUAUCAGUCUCAGAGUCGGAGUCUGGUUUGGCGGCGUAGAAACACUCACGUCCCUCCUCCAGCAAUCGCUGUCUGAGGGAGGUGAUCGUGUAUCGUCCAGGGCCUAGACGACGGAGGCCUCGUACCUGGGAAAGGUCCGGCUGCUCGGGCGCCGGCCGCCGAGCGCCAGAGCUGCGCGGGAGGACCGUUAGUCUUUCUACGUUCAUCUGGGCGUUUGGGCAUAUCGCCCUGGCGAGCGACGCCGCGGCGUUGUCCAAUCCGAAUGGCAGUGCCGUUCUCGGAGCGAACAACCCGUGUGGAAGUAGCCUAGCAGCGGUGGGGGAGAACGCGCGAGACGCGUCCCCUCCCGUCGUUGUGCGGUGCUGAGCCGUCGCGCUUGAUGCCCCGUCGCACGGCGCUGCCGACCUGUGGCCCGCUUCCUGCCUUGCACGAGUUGUUGGUCGUGAUGAGGCGGAGGGGCCGCGGUGAUGCUGUCCGCGCCUCUUCUUAGGCGGGGAGGCGUGGUGGUGUGGACGUCUCGGGGCCCCCGAUCGUGCUGGCGGAACGCAGGCUCCUCCUGGUCCUCUGACUGAGAGCAAGAUCAUGUCGUAACCGGAGCCCAUAGACAUGAACUCGAGACUCCCGAACCAAAUCACCGUGGAGCGCGGAAUCGGCGAGGCGAGAGUAGCCAUCUGGAAAGGAGUGGGAAAUCGAUGAAAAACACGCAGGACCCCUACCUGGCGCGCCAACUGUCGGUGUUUUCCCCACGGGGGGUCACACCAACGAGUAAAUUUGUAUGCGUGCUCCCUUUCCCAGAUGGUGAUGUAAGAAGACACAGGGAUUUAUCCUGGUUCGGGCAAGAGAAGGCCCUACGUCUAGCGGGGGGAGGAGAGUUUGUAUUCUAAGUGCUUGUACAGGGGCGAAUACAAGCGUGGUAUGAAGUGUGGAGCUCUACUACGUAUGAGCGUGGUCUUGUGUCGUGAUGUCCCUUGCUAUUCUAUUCCUGAGUCCCUCCUUUUAUAGUUCCAAGGAGAGACCCAAGGUACAUGUAUAGGCGUCAGAAUAGAAGUCGAUAGCAGUAUGGAGCGCUGACCUACUCGAGGCUUCCGUACCGGCAUGGCCUCGAGCCGUCCCGUCUUAAUAUCCUGGUGAUGAUUACGCGUGCCCCUGCAUUCUGCUCUGCGCGCCGUCUUGGAUUGGUUCGACGGAUGCACGCUUGUACGAUCCGGCGGCAAAUCCGGCGGAGUGGUUGGGAUGUAGCCAGUCGACGCCCAACCCGUCCCCUGGAAGGAUCUCUGUCUGGUCGAGGGUCAGAUGUCGUACAUUGUGCCGAUAUCCGGAACGCUGACUUUAGACGUCUCGAGGGGGUCCCGAUUAGACGUCCCAUCCUUGUUUCCCGCACCCUGUCGUGCCCUGGGUCGUUCGGCGGGAAGGCUGCAAAAAGAUCGAUGGGACGGAAGCCUGUUCCCUAUCACGCUUCCCGUGACCUGUGUGUUAGGUGGGCAAGCAUCGGGCGCAUUUAAUGCUCCGGCCCGCGUGCGCGCGUCAGGCGGCGGGCGGCGUCCUUGCGCUCGACGCCCCUCGGUUCGUGUGAGCCUAUUCCGUAUUCGACGGUAACCGGCGCUCGACGCCUGAUCGAUUCGCUCGACGCUAUUUCCGCCUUCGAGGUUGCGGCCGUCGAUGGCGGCGCAUACGUAAGAUUAGAGCGUCGAAUUGAGGGCCUCGACCUGCGUACGGGCAAUCUCGUAAUGCGCAUCGCUGAGGGUACCCCUUGCCGAUACCCUCGACACCUGCCCUUACCAUAAGGGAGGGGCAAACCACAAGCUCGAGGACUGCCGUAUGCUGAAGAAGCACUUCGACGGCCUGGGAUUCAAGAAGGACGACCAAAAGAAAGAGAAGAACGGCGACAAGGGGGACAACAAUGAUGACGAAGGUUUCCCAGCCGUCCACGACUGCUACAUGAUCUACGGUGGACCCUCGACGCAGCUAACCGCAAGGCAACGCAACAGGGAGUGCCGCGAGGUCUUUGCGGCAAGGAUGGCAGUGCCCUAAUACCUCAACUGGUCAAACACCCCCAUCACCUUCGAUCGAGACGACCACCCCGACAAGGUAGUCACCCCCGGCGUCUACCCGCUCGUCGUCGACCCCAUCAUCGUCAACACUAGACUCUCGAAGGUGCUGAUGGAUGGCGGCAGCAGCCUGAACAUCAUCUACCUUGAGACCCUCGACCUCCUCGGCAUCAACCAGGCACAACUCCAGCCGAGCGUGGGCAGCUUCCAUGGUGUCGUACCUGGAAAGAAGGCAUUGCCGGUAGGUCGAAUCGACUUGCUGGUCUGCUUUGGCAUGAUGGCCAAUUUCAGAAAGGAGACCCUCACCUUCGAGGUGGUGGGAUUCCGAGGCACGUACCACGCCAUCAUCGGGCGCCCGGGCUACGCCAAGUUUAUGGCUAUCCUCAACUACACCUACCUGGAGCUGAAGAUGCCCGGACCCAAGGGCGUCAUCACCGUCAGCUCCUCCUACGAGCACAUGUACGAGUGCGACGUCGAGUGCGUCGAGUAUGGGGAAGCUAUCGAGAGCUCCACUGAGCUCGCCUCGAAGCUCGAAGCCCUGGCCGCAGAGGCUCUAGAGCCCAAGCGCCACGCGGGCAGCUUCAAGCCGGCAGAAGGAACGAAGAAGAUCCCGCUCGACCCCAACAACUCCGACAGCAAGGUGCUGACGAUCAGCGCCGACCUUGACCCCAAAUAGGAAGCCGUGCUCGUCAACUUUCUCCGUGCAAACGCCGACAUGUUUGCAUGGAAUCCCUCGGACAUGCCAGGCAUAACGAGGGAAGUCGCCGAGCACUCCUUGGAAAUUCGAGCCGGUUCCAAGUCAGUGAAACAACGGUUGCGUCGCUUCGACGAGGAGAAACGCAAGAUCAUUGGUGAGGAGAUCCACAAGCUUUUGACGGCCGGAUUCAUCAAGGAGGUUCACCAUCCCGACUGGUUAGCAAACCCUAUACUAGUUAAGAAAAAGAAUGGGAAAAUGAGGAUGUGUGUCGAUUAUACAAGUUUGAAUAAAGCAUGUCCAAAAGUUCCUUUUCCAUUGCCACGUAUCGAUCAAAUUGUUGAUUCUACUGCGGGAUGCGAAACCCUUUCUUUCCUUGAUGCAUAUUCUGGUUACCAUCAAAUAAAAAUGAAAGAGUCCGACCAGCUCGCGACAUCUUUCAUCACGCCUUUUGGGAUGUACUGUUAUGUAACCAUACCGUUCGGGCUUCGAAACGCGGGAGCAACAUACCAGCGAUGCAUGCUCCACGUGUUUGGCAAACAUAUAGGGUCGACGAUCGAGGCAUACGUUGACGACAUCGUCGUCAAGUCAAAGAAACGAGGAGACCUGAUUCAGGACCUCGAGAUCGCUUUCAGUUGCUUACGCGCCAACAAGAUCAAGCUCAACCCCGAGAAAUGCGUCUUUGGUGUACCUCGAGGCAUGCUCCUAGGAUACAUAGUCUCCCAACGUGGCAUCGAGGCCAAUCCCGAGAAAGUCUCGGCCAUCACAAGAAUGGGGCUGAUCCGAGACGUCAAGGGAGUGCAGAAAGUCACGGGAUGUUUGGCGGCGCUAAGUCAUUUUAUCUCGAGGUUGGGAGAAAAGGCGUUGCCACUGUAUCGGCUCUUGAAAAAAGCCGAGCGUUUCUCUUGGACCCCUGUUGGGUAUUUUAAACGCAAACAGAAAAAUCCGCAAGCGCACGGAUACCGAUGUAGCCUUCACCCGGGAGUAUUCCAGAGUAUCGAUUUUCCACAGGGAACGUGAGUGUACUAAUUAAGAUCCAAGAUCGCCCAAGGAUAACUAUAUAAUUAUUUUUGGUAGGAAGAGAGGAAGUUUCCUGAGAGUUCUCUAGUUGAUCUAAGAAUCAAGAAUUACUUCAAGAUUAUCUAUUUCGGGACAUCAGAACACUAACCACAGAAAGAGAUGAGAAGGGGGCUAGGAAGGUCUGACUACGGUCCUACAAACACCGAUCCGAACAAGGUGGAAUACAUCGACUGAUAGGGCUGUCACUACCCAAGGGCUACCACAACUAUCCGCAGGAUUGGGUGCAAUUCCAGGUAAUUGCAAGACUAAACACCACGUCUAAUCUUUUAAUUACUACUCUAGCGUAUCAAAGACUAGAGCACUUGAUGCAAGCGGGAAUCCAAUAGAUAACUUGAAUGUAAAUAAAAAUAAUUAAAGUACUCAGGAAUUAUGAAUUGAAGAACCUGGAGAACGAUGAAGAACGAACCAGUUGCUGCAAAAGUACAAUGUUGAGGAAGAUCCGACAGAUCCGGCUCCUCCUCCUCCGCUCUCCUCUUCUCUCUCCCUAUUUUCUAGAUUACAACUAGAACUAACUAGAACUAUAACUAGAUGAACAAGAACUAGAACUAGAGGAACUAGAGGUAGAACUAGAAGAACUAGAGGGAUCCUCUCUACUUGGAUGAAGAAUUGAAACCCUAACUUUGAUUCUGUAGAAGAGGUAUGAUCUCCAGGGGCCAGGGGGCCUUGCUUAUAUAGUCUUUUCAAAUGAAUCUAGGCUGUUGGAUCAAACCGACAUUGAUUGAAUGGUUAUCCUUGAUCCUUUAGGUCGGUGGAGCAAUAUCCCGAAAGAGAGUCCUGAUUGGACUCUAUGUGAGGGCGGGCGCCCAGGAGAGUAGGGCGGGCGCCCUGUCCCUGAGUCCUCUCGGCCUCCGCUUCGUUCCCGUGGCUUCUGGAGUCUUCUAGAUGAUAGAAGAUUGCGCGGUAUGUUAAUAUCUCUAUGUAAACCCGACGUGUGGUCCUUUCUUCCGUAUUUCCUGAUAACCCCCUACAGAAAUAGACAAACACCAAAACUCGUGGAAUUCUGUCAGAUAAAACCCUAAGUCUGGGUGUUGGUUGCAUUUGGAUCCUUUUCCAUGAUUAGUUGAUGGUUAAAUGUGAGCAUUAAGGACCGUCAACAAGCUCCCCCAAGCUUAACCUUUGCUCGUCCCUGAGCAAAUAUGAACUCAAGAGUUUCUGCAGUGGUUUCAUGCUUUAAAGGUACACAUGCAUUCAAACAAGAUCUCAUCUCUGUGUUAGGGUAAACUGUUAAGAUUUAAUCUUACUCAUUUUACCUUCCACCAUGGGGCUUGCAACCGUCACCUGUGUCUUGAGUAGUUAAAAGAUAGAACGGUCUAGUCAAGCGCCAUGUCUCUUGUUCUUCGAUUAACUAUAGCUCUAGAGUUUUUUUGUAGAUUUUCAAAUAAAACUCAGAGAUUCCUUGUAUGGCUCUCUGUAGUCUCUCUUUUGUGGUAUUUCUGGAUCCUUACCAAGGCAGUAAUGGUGUAUGCCUUCUCUCAAAGUAUGUGGUAUUUUUGUUAUGAGGCAUAGUGACAUUGCCUUCUCUCUCACCCUACUCUAAUAAGUUUUUGAUAUCUGGAGCUCAUAGGUGGGAGACAGCUAAUACAUACUUACAAGACAUUUAUUGCAUAGUCAAACCGUGGAUCCAGAAGAACAAGUCAAUAAGUCAAAAAUAGAAAAUUGUGCGGCACAUUAUUAUCUCUAUGUAAACCCGACGUGUGGUCCUUUCUUCCGUAUUUCCUGAUAACCCCCUGCAAAAAUAGACAAACAACAAAACUCGUGGAAUUCUGUCAGAUAAAACCCUAAGUCUGGGUGUUGGUUGCAUUUGGAUCCUUUUUCAUGAUUAGUUGAUGGUUAAAUGUGAGCAUUAAGGACCGUCAACAACCCCCGAAGCCGAGGAAGCCCUCGAUAACUUGAAGAAAACACUGACCUUUGCCCUGGUCCUGGUCCCACCUCAACCCGCAGAACCUCUGGUUCUGUACGUUGCCUCGAUGACCCAGGUCGUCAGUGCGGCAGUAGUGGUCGAGAGGCAGGAAGAGGGGCAUGCGCUGCCAGUCCAGAGGCCGGUCUAUUUCGUCAGCGAGGUACUCUCAGAGACCAAGGCACGGUAUCCACAAAUCCAGAAGCUAAUCUACACCGUGAUCCUCGCCCGACUCAAGUUGCAACACUACUUCCUCGGCCACCCUAUCACGGUGGUCUCGUCCUUCCCCUUGGGUGAGAUCAUCCAAAGUCGGGAGGCUACGGGAAGAAUCGCCAAAUGGUCGGUCGAGCUCAUGAGUGAGACCCUCACUUACGCGUCCCGCAAAGCUAUCAAGUCUCAAGCUCUGGUGGAUUUCGUCGCGGAAUGGACGGACUCCCAGCUCCCCCCCGACUCAAGUUCAAGCGGAACUAUUGACGAUGUAUUUCGACGGGUCUCUCAUGAAGACGGGAGCUGGGGCAGGCCUGCUAUUCGUCUCGCCUAUGGGCGUUCAUAUGAGGUAUGUCAUCAGGAUACAUUUUGCUGCAUCCAACAACGUUGCGGAAUACGAGGCCCUUGUCAAUGGGCUGAAGAUCGCCAUCGAGAUAGGAGUUUGGCGCCUCGACGUCCGAGGCGACUCCCAACUCAUCAUCGACCAAGUGAUGAAAGCCUCUAACUGCCACGACCCAAAAAUGGAGGCAUACUGCAAGGAGGUACGUCGGCUCUAGGAUAAGUUCCACGGCCUGGAGCUCGUCCACAUCGCCCGACGCUACAACGAGGCAGCCGACGAACUCACUAAGAUCGCGUCAACUCGAGGCAAGGUCCCGCCCGAUGCAUUCUCGAGGGAUCUGCACGAGCCAUCCGUCGACUUAGGCUCGGGGGCUGACGUCGAAACCACCGCCCUCCCACAAACCGACGCCAUCGAGGCACUGCUAGUGGCAGCAGAAGUAAUGGAGGCAGAACAACGACCCAGUCGACCGUUCGACUGGCGCACGCCGUUCCUUGACUGCCUGAUUCGAUGCGAGCUACCAGAAGAUCGAUUCGAGGCCCGCCGUAUCGCUCGACGGGCCAAGUCAUACGUAAUCUAUGGCGAAGAUAAUGAAUUAUAUCGACGAAGCCCGACAGGAAUCUUGCAGCGUUGCAUCACCAUAGAGGAAGGCCGAAGGCUCCUCAAGGAUCUACACUCAGGGGCUUGUGGCCACCACGCUGCUCCGCGGACCCUCGUAGGGAACGCUUUCCGACAAGGCUUCUACUGGCCAACGGCCGUAGCUGACGCCAUCGAGCUCGUACGCUCGUGCCAUGGGUGUCAAUUUUACGCCAAGCAGACGCAUCUUCCCGCCCACACUCUCUAGAUGAUCCCCAUCACGUGGCCGUUCGCGGUGUGGGGACUCGACCUAGUAGGGCCUCUACAGAAGGCAGCAGGAGGAUACACCCAUUUGCUGGUGGCCAUCAACAAAUUCUCCAAAUGGAUCGAGGCUCGACCCAUCAUGAACAUCCGCUCUCAGUAGGCCGUCCUUUUCUUCACCGACAUCAUCCACCGGUUUGGGAUUCCCAACGUCAUCAUCACCGACAAUGGCACUCAGUUCACCGGCAAAAAGUUCUUGGACUUCUGUGACCGGCAUCACAUCCGUGUGAACUGGUCCGCAGUGGCCCACCCUCGAACUAACGGCCAGGUCGAGUGUGCCAAUGGUAUGAUUUUGCACGGGCUAAAACCAAGAAUCUACAAUCGGUUGAAGAAAUUCGGCAAGAAAUGGGUCGAAGAGCUCUCUUCAGUCCCAUGGAGCUUAAGGACAACGCCUAGCAGGGCCACGAAAUAUACCCCAUUCUUUAUGGUCUACGGCUCCGAGGCCGUGCUUCCAAUAGACCUCGAGUAUGGGUCUCCUCGACUCAAAGCCUACAACGAGCAGUCAAAUAAGGAGACUCGAGAGAACGCGGUCAACCAGCUCGAGGAAGCUCGAGACAUAGCCCUCCUCAACUCCGCCAGGUACCAGCAGAAACUUCGACGCUACCACGACAAGCACAUACGCAAAAGGGAUCUGAACGUGGGUGAUCUUGUUCUACGGCGGUGGCAAAGCAACCAAGGGUGCCACAAACUGACUCCGCCCUGGGAGGGCCCAUACGUGGUGGUCGAGGUCCUGAAGCCAGGGACAUACAAGCUCGCGGACGAAAAAGGGGCAGUCUUCACCAACGCGUGGAACAUCGAACAGCUACGUCGAUUCUACCCCUAGAAUUUCAAAGUUUAUGUUCCCAUGUACAUCCUAUACCGAGACCUUACGAAUGAAUGCAUGAAUGAAUAAGAUCUUUCCCUCGAAUAAUUUACCUUUUCAUUGGUCAAAAUCUCGACGUUAGAAGGGAGUACUAACUAUGACCCAUCAUAGUCGAUACCCCCUCGGGGGCUAGCAGGGGGGAUCCCCCCAAGUGUCUAAAAAACCAAGCAAUUUUUUCUUUCCUAUCAGUAAACCUCGCACGGUCGAGUAGUAGAGGCACCUCGAGCCCCUUAAGGGCCAACAGACGACAAGCCUGAGAACUCCUACGCCCCUGGGCUAUGGUAACUCUACUCGCUCCCUCACCCUCGAGGCAAUCGGGGUCGCCUUAACAAAAGACUGAACAAGGAGUACAGACAUAGGCAGAAAGGAAACAAAAGAGAGUACGAACAUAGGAAUAAGCAAAUAUUCACAAACCUUAUAAACCACUUAAAAAUACAGCAUUUCCUUAAGACAAAAAUACUGUACAAGGGGCCUUAGCACCCAGUAUAGGCUCGCAGGCCUCAGUCUGUGUCACGGCCCUCACCACCCUCAUCCACGCCCGAGCUAGUCUCGGGAGGAAGCACUUCCGGCUCGAACAGCUUCGCCAGCCUUUCCCCAGGGGCCUCCGCAUCAUCGAUCAAGGCAUGGAGCCUCUCCUCGUUCUCUGCGUAGGUCUUGGAGAUAUCGGUGACGAAGCCAUGGGACACCACCUCCAUAUUGUAAGAAAAGCCUGAGCAAACAACCACCAUUGCCCGCUUCACUACGGUAUGAAGAGCGUCCCACACUCGAUCCCUCAGCGUCGCGCCUAGGUAGCAUAGCUGAUCGACCAGUGCGUCACCUCGAGCCGCGUCCCUUGACUCGUCCACAGGCUUGAGGUCCCAGGAGGCCGAAAGAUCGCUUAUCGCGGUCCGUAGCCGACCGUUCAAAGCGACCUCCCCCUCGAGCUGAGCCUUGGUGGAGCGGGCCUCGACUUGAGCAGCUAGCAGCUCGUCUUUAAUCCCUACAAAGGCCGACAUAGAGAAGUUAGAUAACACAAAGCACACCCCGGGAAAGAAACACAAUGGUAGAAACAUACCACAAAUUUUCUCCUCCAGAGCCAUAUUCACGCCAACCAAAUCAGAGUUGGCCCUCUCGAUCUCCCUAUGAGAGCGGACCAGGUCAGUAUUGGCGACCCGCAAGUCCUCGAUCGCCUUGCUCGCCUGUGCGAUAGCUCCAUCUUUCUCCAGCAACGCUCUCUUGAGACGUUCGACGUCAUUAGAGUGGCUGCGAGAUCGAACCCGCUCCGCCUCGAGAUCCUCGAGGGCCUUCUUCUUGGCCUCCUCUGCGGCGCUCUGGGCAAUCUCGCCCCUCACACACUCUGUCUUCAUCUUUUGGAAGGAUUCUCGGGCAGAGGCGAGGUCAGCCCUGAGGAGGCCCUUCUCCUUGUCUUGGUCAGCGGCCGUGUCCUUGUAAAACACGGCCUCUUCCCGGGCCUUGGACGCGGCCUCCUCGACCGUCAUGGUCCGCUCCCUCAGCAGCGUGGCCUCUUCCACCGCCUUCCUCGAGGCCUCCCGAGCUUCAGCCAGACCGGCCUCCCUAUCCUUCUUCUCCUCCUCGAGCGCCAAAAGCUCCUUGUAAGCCUUGAGGAGCUUCUCCUGCAACUCCAGGAGUUGAUCCUUGAGGAGAGGGAGUUGCUCCCAGCCGCCCCUUGUCGCGUGGAUAAAGCUCGACUUUAUAUGAGAGGUCUCUUUCAGAUCCUACGAGUCAGCAAUUGGACAGUAAGAACACAAAACCAAACGUCCUAUGGUAAUUAAGGCCCAAAGAUACUUACAAAGUAAGCCGGACCGAGCCCAUUGUUGACGACGUCGGACAUGAGCCCCACCACAUGCUUCAUCCAGAGGCGAAGCUCCUUGAGAUGCUCCCACUUUUUGGCCUCCUUCUGAUCAUCCAAAAAGAUGUUAGGCUCGGACGGGUCGGUGGAAGCUCGAAUGCGGAUCCGAUCGGGGCACCAGUUUUCCAUCUCCUCCUCCGCGCGCGCCUUGACACCCCGGAUGAGCUCUUGGACGGCCUCAAGCGACCCCCCGUGACGCAAAAACAGGUCAAUGAGGGAGGGGAAUCUCCCGUCAUCAUCCACGGUCUUCCAAGUCCCGGUAUCGCUGGCACCACUGCCGCCCGACGUCCCGGCUUCAUCUUCCUCGGUGAGAAUGCGAUCCUCCCACGAUCGACGAUCUCGAAGGAAUCUAGGAGCUAUCCCCUCGAUGCCGUAGAUUGUGCCCUUGAUCUCGAACUGAGGGUCCUGUGCCCUUGAUCUCGAACUGAGGGUCCACCAGGGUGCGCAUCAUGCAGGCAAGCACCACCACCCGUCCGCGCGCCCUGGCUCAGCCGGGAUAGAAGGGGUCGCUCCCGGACAGAGCCACGCAGGGGUCGGCGGACCAUAGACCGGUAGACCCUCCUCCGUGGUCUCAGGCUCUUGUGGCGUUGGCGGCACUGGCUGGGGUGGACUAUGUGGUGGUGGCUCGAGCAGUUCCUCUAACUGCUGGCUCCUCUGCUGCUGCUGCUCCUGGAGCUCCCGCAGCUCCUGCUGCCGGUCCUGCUCCAGUAGCUCCUCGAGCUAGGCUCCUUCUGGCCGCCGCCCCUCCUCUCCUUCUUCUCCUUCCUGUUGCGGCUGCUGCUGCCCCUCCUACAGUUGUUGCUGCGUCUCCCGCUCGCGUUCUUCCUCUCCUCUCUUCCUCUGCUCCUCGAUGGAGUGGAGCCCGAUGGGCCAAGGCGUCCGCUUCACGACGGGAGAAGCCUCGACCUCCUCGUCCAUGGGGCGGGCGUCCUUCGAAGGCCUGUCGCCGCCGGACCCGUUACUUAUUAUGAUAGGAUCCCCCUCGACCCCAGAUCGGGGAGGCUCGGGGGCUCCCUCCUGCUCUUGGGGGCGAGGCGCCUCGACCCGCUUCGGCGACGGCGGGGUGGAAUCCCCCACCAAUGGACGAGGCGGGGCGCUCUCGACACCAGUCGACGGCCAAGGAUCGGAGAAGCCUGUAAGCACUCAAAAGAAAAAAGUCAAUCGCCAUGAUGAUCGACAUAAGGGCAACACGACUCUCAUGAUGACGGGAAUGAACCGCUAACCUGAGUCUUUGGAGGCCACUCCCACCUUAAGCCUCUUGGCCAUCGAGGGCUGGGCCUGUUCGAGCGUCUGUUUCAGCCUGAGGAGAGAGAAACAAGCGUAAGAGAAGCUGUUACCCGAGAAAAUGCAAAGACAUCGGAGGGUGAGAAUCAUAACAUCGAAAAUCUUACCCCACAGGAAGGGCGACCCGCCUACCGGCGCCUCGACCAGCAGGCCUCGAGCCACCUCGCGUCGAGGCUCCGGGCCCCUCACGAACGGGCACAAGUCUCGGCUCGGCGUCUCCAGCCUGGCCAGCGCCCGGACUGGUACUCCCGCGACCCGUUUCCCCCUUAGUCGAGGCCAUCCCCUCGGAGUCGUCGCUGUCAUCGUCGCCAUCGCCGCCAUCAUCCUCAUCGGGGGAUUCUUCCUCAGGCUCCCCCCUCUGCCUGGACUUCGCUAGACGAGUCUCCAACGCAUGUCGCACGAGAUUUUUCUUCUUCUCCCCCUUCUUUUCCAAGUCCUUUGUGGACUUCAGCUUCUCCGCGGACUCGCGCCUCUUGUCACGAUCCAUGUCGUCCUCCUUCAUCGGAGGCUUUGAAGAUCGAGCGUCGAUCGAUCCCUGCACGAGCAAAAAUAAGUCUUAGACAAGGUCGAAGGAAAUCGAGAAUCGGAACCGUAAACAGGAAAAUAACUUACCAGGUCGAUCGACCCCUGAUCGGGUCUCAUAGGGAAGCCGUUGACGUGCUCAGGCUGAAAAUCGCCUGCAACGGCCGCCCUAACCCUGGCGGCGACCUCAUCGUCCGCAGGCGCUUCGUUAGACAUCCGGCAAGCCUCAAGAGCGCGAGACGAGACGCCAGGGCCCAUCUCGUCCAUCCUCAACGGCCGAGACAUCAACGGGAGCACUCGUCGGUGAUUUACGGCGGAAAGGACGAGCGCGGCCAUCAAGCCCUCCUCACGCAACUUCUUCAGGGCGUCGAGAAUGGGGUCGAGCCGCGGCUAGUGGGCUUGGACAACGCCGUACCUCUAGUGGUCCGGACGCUCCGAGAUCAAGCGCCCGGUGUAGGCGGGGACGAGGUCGUCGUCGUUCCGUAAGUAAAACCACUAGGAGUCCCAUCCGGCAUGGUUCGACGUCAACCCCACCGGGAUGUACUCGCGUGGCUUCUCCGACUUGCUAGUCUUGAGCACCAGGUUGAGGCACCCAGCCCGUACCGGCUUCCUCACUCCUGCAGUUCCGCUGGGGGCGUUGAAGAGCUCGCCCCGGUACAAGUGGAGCCACAAAUCCCAGUGAGGCAUCAUCCCCAGGUAGCUCUCACACACCGCGGCAAAAACCGCCGCAAUGGUGACGGCGUUCGGCGAAAAAUGCUGGAGCUCCGCCCCGUAGUGGUGGCAGAGCGCCCGCAUGAAACGACUCGGAGGAGAGCCCAAGCCGUGGCGGUGGAACUUGGCAAAGGAGACCACAUAGCCCUUGGACAGCCUUGGCUCCCGGUGAUCCGCCGCCGGCACGAUCCACUCUGGCCGCGAAGACGAAGUGCAGGGGCGCAGGAGUCCCUCCCUCUCGAGCUCCAACAGCCGGCGCUCCGUCAUCGACGACGGGCGCUAGUCAUCGGCGGCGAUGAGUCUCACCGGCAUUUUCAGGUGGGAGAAGGGCGACUUCACUACUACUCGAGGGUACGCACGCGCGAGAUGGCAAGGAAGCAGAGGCAAGAACAGGGGCAGAAGGCGGAAGGAGCGACGACAGGAAGACCACAAGACAUUUAUAGACGGCAACCCACCAACGGACGGAUCCAACGGAUACGGUAACUCCUCCAAUAAAUGCGCCACCUAACGGUCCUUAUCUCUCUCACAGAUGGGACGCUACGAAUUCCGUGCCGGUACAGUGUCGCAACGGCUCCUGCCUAAAAAGGCGCGCCCAACAGGCAAAAAGGCGAACCUACGUGAUCUUUUCCUUCCCCUGUAAGCCAAGGUACAUAUUCAUGAGAACCUCGAGAGGUCGCAGGCUGACCCAUCGAACAGGUUCGACAGCCAAUCUCGAGUAACCAAGUCAGGAUGCCCAGCGAGCGGUCGAAAAAUGAGGCCCACCUCGAGGACUCGCUGGGGAUGUCCAAGGCGAGGACGAGAUGGUCAAAAGGAAUCCCCCCAAAGGGAGGCAUCGAGCUGCUGGACUCUAUCGAACGAGACCAGUAACCCCGACCACGUCGACCCCGCUUUAUGAGAACGCCUCCGGGCUACAGCUGACCUCCUCGAAUGGGGCACGGGUUCUCACUUGGAUUACCCGCUAGGAGCUCAAUCUGGGGUAGAUGACACUCGCUCCACCGGGAGUACGUCGUGACCCCUGCGUGAAACAAACAAAUCAAAGCCCUCCACGAUGGACAUCGAGAGCGCUUCCGCAGAUUAGGCAAUACAACCCUCGAAGGAGUCAAAAACUCCUCCAAGGGCUCGGGGGCUACCCCCGCGGGGUCGCUCGCGCGCCCCCACGGAAACUCGACCACAAAAAAGAGCCUCCACUCGAGUGCAAGCACUCGAAUAGAGACUCGGGGGCUACUGUCGAGGAUAUCAGUAAGGGGUACCCUAACUGAUGUACAUACACUACAAGAAACUUGCUAAUCCGUGACGAUUUCUCGGUGAUGGAUUUACAAACUGUCACUAACAACCACUGACAGAUGUAAUUCGUGACGAUAUUAAUUUUUUCGUCAAGGAUGAGCCCACUGGAUAUUCCCAACCCGCUAACUAGUGACAAUUUUAUCAGAUCGUCGCGGUGUAUGGAUUUCGAAUUCGUCAUACUCUAGUUGGCCCAAAACAAUAUGCGCACUAUCGGUGUUUAGUGCAAAGAAAAAUAGAAAAUAUGAUUGCAAAAGGUAUCAAACCGAAAAGACAAUCCGAUAAACUAUUGUAACAAAAUAAUUUUGUUAUUACUUGUAUUUUGUUGGGAUAAUUUUGUUACAGGCAUAUAUGGCAAAACUAAAAAUAUAUUCCAUUUGCACAUGGAAACAAAAAAUUGCACCUACGUGAGAUUUCCAUUUGAGCUAGUAUUUGUAUUUGUUUACUGGCCUAGCAUCACGGUAGGCCGCCUCAGCCAUUCACUCGAGUUUAUGCGCGUCGACGACAUGGCCUUGGUCCAUUUUGUAAACACAAAUAAAAAGUGCAGCCCAUAUAAAUUGAACCUGAAACACUUGACUUCGUAGCGGUGUGCCUUACCACUGCGUUAUGCACACUAGUGUGACAACUUAUUAUUUGAAGUUUAGUAAGCACAAUACUAGGCCAGCAAACAUUACAACUUUUUUUUAUAAAAAACAUUAUAAUUAUAAAUUUUGAAAAAAAAGUUUGCAACGUCCAUCAAAUAGGAUAAUUGUUUUUUUUCAAAAAAUUACUGGCCCAGGCUUCGAACCCAGAACCAGCCCUACAAAACCAAAAUGCCAAACCACUGCACUACUCACUUGUUUGUGUUGUCUUUUAUUAUUAUAAUAUUUAUUUAGUAUACACCUUCCUUAUCAUCCUCCUCGGACGACCGUUCAUUCACGACCUUCACUUCGACUCUCGCAGCGCCGCCGACGGCGACUAUCAGAGCGCGAGCCCAAGAGCUCCGACUCUUUUCUCGUCUCGGACGUGCUGUUGCUCCUGGACUUGCUCUCCUCCUCCUGCUGUUGCUUGCCUGCCAUUGCCCGGCCCGGAGAGAAUGACAGGGACGCCUACCAGGUCAACCUCCAGGCCUUGUCAAUGGCGGAUGCGGCCGGUCCUUGGCCCCACAAGGCGCCUCCGCGUGCUCCCUCCCACGAACGUGAUGUACGCGAAGAACGGCUUGAAUCGAGAAUCUGAAUAAAAGUUUUUGUAUUUUCAAUUAAUCUGCUUGUAAAUACUUGAAGAACAAGAGCAAGAACAUGAACCAAAGCUUUUUCUGUUUUUAAUCUGAAGCAAAAAUUUGUAACCAGUUUUUCUCACUCAUUCUAACUCCAAAUGGUAUGUUAUUUUUUUCUAUUUUUUUCUAAAAUCAUGAUCUAUCAACUGAAAACAUGCUUUUUAAGAAAUUGUUAUAUCUUAGUUCUUCAUAUAUGGCUUAUUUUUCCAUCCAUUCAUCACUUUUAUCUUCAAAUAUAACAUAAAAUAAUUUUAAUAAUUCAAAACUUGGUUAGAAAAUCCUCUAAACUUGCAUAAUAACAUAUUUUUAUGUAUAAUGUUCUAAUAAAAAAAUCAAAUAAUUUUGAAAAAGAGGUACCAUACAUUGUCUAACAAAUGGUAUAUCUCUCACACAAACUACAUGAGACAUAUACCAUUUGUGAACAAUGUAUAGUCUCACUUUCAUAAAAUGGCUUGAAUUUUUUUAUGACAAGCAUAUACACCCACAUUAUGCCGCCAUAUCAAUUCUUAACAUUUUUAGUUUACUUUACGAUAUUAUUGUUUUUUUCUUUGAAGUCAUCAAAAUAGUAGUUCGAGCAAUGUCUAACAAAACACUUAAUUUUCCAUUGAUUUUGAGGAAGUGAGCUCAAAUACAACAUGCCUUAUUACCUAUAUAUUUUUCAAAAUUUUUGGAUAUUGUUAGAUAGGACGUGUAGUUCAAGUUGAAGUUAUUUUCAAAAAGCAUUCAAUAAUGCAUUUAAACUGUAGAAAAUAGUAAAUCGGUUUCAUUUUUUUGAAAAUUCUAUGAGAGGACAUAUAUGCAGUCUAUUUCAUUUUAAAAAUAUAUUGGGUACAUGAAUAUAAUUGGCUUAAAAUGUUUACUUUACAAGAUUGCUUAAUCAAUGGAAAAUAAGAAAUACAUAAUUAGUAAAGUGCUCCUGUCUAAAACUCGUUAAAUAUUAGGCCCAGCGUCCUGGGCGUGGGCCGCGUAUUCGCGGUAGGCCUCAUAACCCGCCAGCCUGCUCUGGAUUUCCUGAAUCUGAACCAUCCAAUUUUGAUUGACGGCCACGAUUGUAGCAGUAGCGCAUAAAACUGUCAUCCCCGUGAGCUUCCCAAACCCUAAAUUUCGUUUUUCCUCAGUCUUCACUCCCCAGCCUAACUCAGGAACGCGCCGCUGCUGGCCUGCCGCUCCCCCAUCGACCCUACCGUCGUACCGCCAUGGCCACGGUGCCCUGUUCCACCCACAGAGACAUCUCCAUGCCACUCCUCUCGUGUGUCCUAGUUGUGCUACAGGCACUGCUGCCGUCGCGGGAAGCGAGCCCCGCCGUCGUCGCGCAGCUGUCUGCAGGCGCCGCCACCGCGCCGUCGCAGGGCGCCGCCGGCAACGGGGGAGAUAGUGCAGCCGCUUCCUGCUGCUUUUCCAUGCGAGCGAGUUGAGGGCAGCCGCACGCACCGACGCACAGGCUCGUGAAGUCCCGAUCCGUUCUGAACACAUGGUGGGUGUCCGUCAUUUUGCGUGGCUAUCCACUAAAACUAACUAUAAUAAUAAGUUGGGUGUGCGGCAGCAUAUUUCCCAUGAUUUUUGAAGUCUUUUAGCCAAGAUAUGUUUUUUUAGUGGCUUUUAGCAAAGGCCACAUUCUAACGAUGUCUCAUAGCCAAUUUUGUCUUUUUUUCUGUUAAUGAUUUGCUUCAUGAAUGAGAUUAUGUGAUGCAGACUACGGUGCUGAGUCAUUUUCGUUGGAUGCAGACUAUGAUGCUUCGGCCUUUUCUUUUUAUUCUCUGGUUUAUAUGGAGCAUACUUGUCUGUCACUUAAGCAAUAGUAAUAGCUUGACAUAUCUUAUUCUGUCCUUUUUACCAACUACUAGAUAAAUGCUUGCCAUGUGCUGAAUCUUGUUUCCUAAAAGCAUAUGUGUUGUUCACUUUGUGGAAAUUUGGUUUGAAAGCGUAUAUGUUGCUGCCUAUGUAUUUUGUGGUAAACUGAAUUAUCCUGAAAUCAUAUAAAAGUGUCUAUCUAAAUACUGAAUUUCCUCAAAUUUUUAGACAGAGUUUGUUCCUGAUGCUUUGUUUGUUGAUCCUAAAUAGGCAUUACAUUCUCUUGGCAGUAGAAUGAUAUUUUUCCUGAUGUUGGGUUCUCAACUGAUGUUAAUGUUGAUGGCUGGACUUAGGAGCUCUCUAAAAUUUCCAUUUGGCAUGUGUAUGUGCUCAUUUAUUCUUCAGUUGGGUUGCAGCAUGUUGUUACAUGGGCAUGUCGAGAUAGUAAAUGCCUAGACGUGUUUCAUGUCGUGCAGAUAAUACAAGCAGCUCUGUUAUGUGGUUAUUUUUUUUGUUUUCGAUCUGGACCAGGUUCACUAAAUAUAAUUGGUUUUAACUGGCUGCUGCAGUAUCUGAAGGAGAAAGAAGACGGCGCCCAACGCCUCUGCUCCAAAGCAGGCACCACAGAAGCAGAAUUGUCCUGCUGGCUGUGAUCCGAAAUGCCAGUUUGAAGUGUUCUAGAGCCAGAUCCACUGGUACGCACGGUUCACCUCCCUGUUCCCUGUUUCACCCACCGGUAUGUACGCACUUAUUUUCACUCUACCCAUUAGUGAUGUUUAGAUCUGUAUAAGAUUCAACACGCUGUGAUACUGGGUAUAUCUAUUUUUCAUGUAGUACUUUAGUAUUAUCUAUUUUGAGAUUAAACACGCUGGUUUUAACCUACAACUACCAUAUUGAACAAAACUUACUUGUGACAAAUCUUUUAGAUAAAAUUUGAACUCAACAUUGUUUAUAUCAACAUAGUUUCUUUGUUUGAUUCUGAAAGUGCUAUAACAUUUGGUGAGCUUGUGCACCUUACUAAGAUGCUUUAAAUUCUAAUCUUCUCUGAAAGUAUCUUACUAAAAUGGUUUAAAUUCUAAUAUUCUCUGAAAGUGCAGAUCUGGAACAUUUGGUGAUACAUUGUGUUGCUGAAACUUGACAUAUUCUGCUGCUGCAACUUGAUGAACUAUGCUACUGCAACUUCAUAUAUGGAUGCUGCUGCUGCAACUUCAUGCAAUUUUGGGAACCUGUAAUUUGUUGGUGGCUUAUGUGCCAUGGUGCAUUGCACGAUGUGGUGCUUUAUGUAACUUUGUAUCUCAUCUUAUGAGAAUAAACUUGAGAUCUUAUGGUGCUGGAUUGAGUUCUUAUAUAAAUAAAAUUGAAUUGUUUGUCUAUGUGGGCUGUAUAUUUGUAUUUGCAAUAGUAAUGGGCUGUAUGUUGUAUAUGCUAUAAUAAAUAGCUGAGAAAAUAAAAAAUGGCUGAAUUCAACAUGUAAAUUUUCUGAAUGCCAAAUAAAAAUAGGCUGAUUGGAAAUGGGCUGGAAAUACGUCAAAAUUGGGUUGAGAAUAAGCUAGAAAAUGGCCCAUUUUUAUGUUGGGCUGUUAAUAAGUGGGCCAAUAUGCCACACCAUCAUCCUUGUCAUCGUCCACAUCAUUAUCCAUGUAAGCAUCCAUGAUGAUAUGGCAUUUCAUUCGUGACGUUUACUUUUCGUCGCAGGGAAUGGACUUGGGUUGGGCUAACAGGGCCAUGGGCUCAAUGGUGAACGGUUUAAACCUGUCACCGAUUACUUUGAUCUGCGACGGUUUUUGAUAAAUCGUCGCGAGGUUUAAUCCUUGACGCUCAAUCCGUAACGAUCUGUGAAACCAUCACAGAUGCUACAUAGUGACAGUAUUUUGGUGAUCGGUGACAGAAAUUUUUUGUCACUGAUUAGCAAGAUUCUUGUAGUGAUAGUGAGAGCAUCCAUACGAAAGUCGAGGCCUCCGACUCGACGCCCCUCCCCAGUUGCACGCACGGUCCUCGACAAUCGUAGCCACGAACAUGGAAAGAACGUCCUGCGAAUCGACUAAGCCUCGAGCGCCGGCUACCAUCGAAUACGGAAACAGGCUCUUACGAAUCGAAAGGCCUCGAGCACAAGGACGUCGCCCGCCGCCUGACGCGGGCACGGGAACCAGGGCAUUUAAUGCGCCUGCCGUGUUCUCACCUAACCCGUCAGUCACGGGAAGCGUGAUAGGGAACAAGCACCCGUCCUAUCGUUCUUUUCGCAGCCUUCCCCACCAAACAAGCCAGAACAUGGCAGGGCGCAGUUAGUGGGUCGGAACGUCCAGUCAAGACCCCCCUCGAGACGCCCAAAGUCAGCGCUCUGGCCAGCAAGGCGUUACAUGGCACCUGACCCUCAAGUAGGCACGUUUGCUUCCUGAGGAAGGAUCGGGCGACGAAUGACAGCACUUCAACCACUCCGACGUAGCUGCUAUCGCGACAUACAAGCAUGCAACAGAUAAACCAGUCCAGGACGGCGCACAGGAGCGGGAUACAGGGGCAUGCGUAAUCAUUAUCAAGGUACCAAGACAAGACGGCUUGAGGCCACGCCGGUACGGAGGCCUCGAGUAGGUCAGCGCGCCGCACCCCUAUCGACCCCUACUCUAUUGCCUAUGCAUGUAACCUAGGCCUCCCCUUGGAACUAUAAAAGGGGAAGCCCAGGAGAGGAUACGGGGGACAAGAGAUAUACGCAUUAGAGCACUCAUACUCCCUCACCACCCAUCCACGCCUGUAUUCACCCCUGUACAAGCACUUGGGUGCAAGAUAAUACAAACUCUCCUCCCCCGCUGGACGUAGGGCCUUCUCUUGCCCAAACCAGGAUAAAUCUUUGUGUCUUUUCUUGCAUCACCAUCUGGAAAGGGGAGCACGCACACAAGUUUUACUCGUUGGUGUGACCCCCCGGGGGAAAACACCGACAAAUAAUAUAUAUGCAUACAUUCAUGAAAAAGGAAUAUCCUGGAUUUGUUUUGAAUGACAUAAUUAUAUAACAAUGGUCAUUUUUAAAUCCUAGUAGGACAUUCUGCUACCACUGAAGUGUAGUAGACUCAGGCACUAUAGUUCAUAGUGCUACUCUCAAGAAUGAGUAUACGACCAUAAUAAAUCUCCAAGGUCUUGUGGGACUCAAUGCAUGAAAUAUUUUAGAAGAUGUCCUGUAGUAUUGAAAAUGGAAUUUUCAAGCUUUACAUUACCCUAUGAGAUAUAUAUGCUGCUCUAUAAACAAAUACAAUUACCUAAAGUUUUGUAUUAAAUGUCAUAGAAGACAUGAUGGUAAAUAAGAUUUUGUUGGUGAAUAUUCUCGAAGAAAUUUCUCUUGUAUAUAGAAUAUCAAAGAGCAAUGUAAUAAAUGAAGUAUUUAACUUUAUCAUCAGAAAAUACUCAAAUAGAAGUUGAGUUAGAAUUUUUAGACAGCUUUCUGAAUCAGAAUAUAUGACUUGCAUAUGUUGUACUCCUAGAAGAAUCAUUAUUACAUAUCACUACUAUGAAAUAAAGCAUGCAUGAAGCUGCUAAAUAUCAAUCAUAGAAGUUAAGACAUGUAAGAAUGGGUAAUGAAUUUUUAAGGUUUCUCUAGAAGAAGAACUUAAAUUAUAUGCAUAUAUAUUUGUUUUGUCUUUAAAAUUACUAUCUAGAAGUAUUAGUGGUGGCAGUGCUUUAAGUUUUAAUUCUCGUUGAAUUAAGUAGAUUUUACAAACUCAUAGAAGAGUUAAUGGUGAUUUUAUUAGCUUGAAGACUAAUAUCAAGCAUUUAAUAUUCUUAGUUGCAAUUCUUACUUGCAGUGGUAUGUGUCAAUCUUACAUAGAAUGAAUUGGAAUUAUAUGUUUGACAUAUAAACAAUUGCCCAUUUUGCCUAUCUAAAUAAGUUUUGCAUUGUUUUAUCCACAAAGAAGCCUUAAUUAACCAUGAAGGUUGUAGUCUUUGUGCAUAACUAUCAUAUAGGUUGGAGGGAAACUGAAUUUCCUAAGCAUAAAAAUAAUUGGACUAUAAAAAAACUAGAAGUUUAUGUCCUACCCCAAAUAUGUUGUUGUACAUUGAAUAGUACACGUGACAUGUGUAUUUCAUGUCAUAACCAUUAAAUACUAGAAGUAUGAUUGAAUUAUAUGAAACAUUUGAAAUGAUUAUUCAUAGAUCAUAAAUCUUAUUACUACUUGAAGUAAUUAAGGCAUGAAAAAGGGGAGAAAUUUCAAGUAAAAGGCAAGACAUAAGAAAAUGUGGGUAAUAUAUAUUUAAUAGGCAUAGCCUUUCUAAAUCUAUCUUUAAGUGCAUGUAUAAGGACUUGAAGUUCUAGUCAUGUCUUUUCCGGCAGAAUUAACUUUCUCUACAUUGCACUAAUUGCAAGUAAGCUUGUUGCUUUGCAUUUUGUUAUCUAUUAUGUUGGAUUGAAUACCAACAUUCCAUGUUACACUUGAAUGUGUAUUACUAUGUUGUGCUCCCGUUGAGUUGCAAGUAUCUCCACUCCUGCAUGGAUAUUAGCAUAGAAGAAGCUAAAUUUAUAGCCAGUAGCUAUCUUGCACUCUUCCCAUAAUUAGGUUGGCUAGUUAGUACGCUAUGUCUAUAUAGUUCCUGUUGAACUAAGAAAUAUUUUUCUUUUCAUGUGUUGCAUACAUAAGCAAUAUAUUGGUCUAUGGCCAAGCGGCUUAAGAUCAGGGGGAGUGAGUUAAUCUGAAAUUAGCUAAAUAGAGAAGUAACCCAAUUGAAGGGAUGAAUUAUUGUGGAAUUAAGAUGGUGGAUAACUCUAGACGAUUUGGGAUUUAUUAAGAAAAGAUAUUUGAGGAUAUUGCAUUAAUGGCAAUUAGAAAAUUCUUGAAGAAAUUCCAUGUAAAUUUGAAUGUUGCAUAUUUAUACAUUUGAAGUAUAUGGUCCAUUUUUUUAUGUAUGAGUACUUGGAUCAAUUUUUUAGGAUAAAGAAUAAAGAAGCUAAAUAAUAAAAUAGUUUUAUAAACUAUGAUAUGUGCAAAUCAGGGGGAGAACAUCCUUGAUUUUGUAGGAAUAUUGAACAUUCUUAAGUGCACUUUUUAAAUUCUAGCUCACUGCAUAUAGUGUAUAAUAACCUAUAUGAAUGGGCCUCCACUUGUAGUGGAGAUACAUGAAUUUGAAUAAUUUUAAGCCUAUCAUAGGGGAUUUCUUUUGGAGUAUGCUAUUAAAGAUCUAAUAUUGGCAUUAGGGGGAGAGAAAUCCUAUGUUGAAUGCCAAAUAUUAUUUUCAUAGAAGGAAAAUGAUCUUAAGAGAAAAUAUUCCUUGAAGCUUGAAGCAGAAAUAGUAUCACGCACUAAAUCAAACAAUAGUUUGACUAAUGCUCUUGUGAAGCAUGAAGCAGAGCAUAUGCCAGAUAUUUUUGAAAAUGAGAGGAGUAAUUUGAAGUUAUAAACAAGAAGUGUAUACUAUGAAGCUAAAAUCUACGGGGACGUCUGUGCAUUCUAGUUUAGUGUAUACUGGUUAAAUGAAAUAAAAAUAAACUCCUCCAUUCUUAUGAAGAGAACAUCUCAUGAAGAAGGUUAGGCAUCUCAUGAAGAGGAUCAUCAUGAAGAUGAAAUCCAACACACUAAGCGCGCACAUUAUAGUGUUGGGAAUGCAGAACAAUAAAUUAUCUCUUGUUUAGAAAAUAACAAAGAGAUAGGAUAAUCUCACAUUGUGAUUAUUAGGAGAAAAUAAUAGUUGUCGACAACACUACCUCUAUAAUUGUAAAUGUUUCUCUUAUGAGAACCUAGAUCCAGAAAACAAAGUCCAUAGCAAAGUCGCUUGAAGCGAUUAUUGUUGGCAUUUCUUAGCGUCACUACUAAAGAUAGACUAUAAAUCCAUCAUUAGUAAUGGCACCAAAAAUGUCGGGUGUUGGUAUACCAUAACUAUCGUUACAUCAGAGAGAUAACCCAAGGCCUUUAACGGCGCUGGCCUUAGCAGUGCAAUCUGGUAACAAUAAUUAGGAAUGCCGAAUUGGCCAUCCUAACCAUCCUUACUUACGAUAUGCAAAGCUGUAGCACGGCGCCAGAUAAAUGCAGAGAGUUUACAAUCUUAAGUAACGGUCCUUAGGUACGCCAAUCAAUAGUUCAUGAAUAUAAAGAAUAAAACUGCAAGCGAACAAAUCAUUGUAGCAUUUCAACCCGUGAGUAUUCAAGGGUUAUCGUAUUUAAUCCCAUAGGAGUGCGUAACAAAUGCAUCUAGCUUGGUUUGUAGCAUGAUCACUUAUUGAGACGCAUAGGUAGACAUAGUCUAAUUAGGGGUCACGGCAGGCUCUUAAAAUAUAGAUAGUGGACACACUCAUCGGGGCAACCUCAAGGAAUAAAGAGAAAAUAAGGAAAUAAAAGAAAUAAAGAACAACUACUUGAGCCGGCAUUGAUCUUAUAUAACUAUGCAAAUAAUUGUUAGUAGAACAUCUAAUCAAUAUAACUAGAGUUAGAACUAAGUCUGAGGCUCUGGGGAGAUCCCCGCAGCUGGACAUCCAGCCGAUAGGGACUUUACAGAACUCCUACUGGAAUACCUGAUCGUGGGGGAAUACCAGGGAUGACAGGGCUGUCACUACCCUGCCACCUACCCCUCUACCCGAAAGAUACCCGCGCAUCCGCUGAUUUCCGCAUACCCGAGCACCUCGCCCGUGUAAUUGCAAACACCUCCUAGCCUCCCGGGACCCCAACCCUUUGGAUUGACACGCUCGGCUAAGAGUGGCCAUCACAGCCCAACGAACCGUUACCCCAAUUUUAAUCCUUUGUCUAUUCAUACUAAUUCGAUGAACGAUGAAGAACAAGGAUGAACACAUCAAGAACAUAGCACAAGAAGUAAGAACUAGUUCAUAUACUAUGAACAAGAUAUGAACACAACUAUACUCUAAUUCAAUUGGAUAAUCAUAUAAAUAAGAUAAAAACUUACUCAUGGAGGAGAACUGAAUUGUAUUCAUACCAAGAAGUUCUAAGAUCCUCCAAGGAGACAAGCUUUCCUUGCUAGCUUUGCCUUGCUCUACUACUGAAUCUAUACUAAAGAACAAGUGUAGAAAUGUGAGGUGUAUUGCUCCAAAUGAUGGUGUGUGUGUUGAAUGGUGUGGAGCCAUCUAUUUAUAGCCCAACAAGGACGGUUCAUGGCGAUCUAAAUUUGGUAGGAGGUGAAACCGUCCUAUGCAUGCCACCAUGCAACCGCUUGAAAAAGGUGGGACCGAGUUGCCGCCACGGGGGGUGCGCCCGCACCAGGGUGCGGCCGCACCACUGGUGGCCCCCCUGGCCACCGCCUUCGCGUGGUCGGUUCGUCUCUAGGCCCUGAUCCUUCCCGUGGUUACGGAUGGAUCCAGUUCGGUGUUUUGGUGGGAUUUUCCAUUUAUCUUUGAUUUGUGCCUUUUCUGAAUACGCUUUCUUGAAGUGCGCUUUCUCGUGUCUUUUGCGCCUUUCCACGUGUCAUACCUGAAAUUGAUAUUUACAACAAAACUUGUGGAAAGGUUAGUUCAAAGCCCUACCAUCUAUUUAUUUUAUUUAUUAAAAUGAUGUUUAUAAUUAUAAGAUAAGGGGUACCAACAACUCCCCCACACUUGGUCCUUUGCUCGUCCUCGAGUGAAGGCACUAAAGACCAAAUGGGUUCAUCUUCCUUGUCAAAAGAAUCUGCAUACAGGUUAUUCACAGCUUCACCUGGAUUUAUGAACUUCAAAGUGUCUACCAAGUUGGGUAAUUGAAACAUGGAACAACCUGGAUUAAAAUCCUCUUACAUAGUCCCUGCGCAGAAACUUGGGGUUUUGCAAGAUUUUGAAAAAUAAAGAUAGCAUAUGUUUCUUGAAUGAUGCUCUCAAGUCCCUCCUAAUAUGUGAGUGGUUCCUUACCAAGGCAUAAAGAGUUGAUGCCUUCUUUUUGAUCAUCCUACUUCUAAAAGGCUUAUCUAGAGUUUUGGGUAGGUAUGAUGGUGGAACUUACUUACUCUGCAUAUGUUGUCGAGUCAAACCCAGAACCAUACCGGAGGGAGUGCGCCAUACCCUUAGAUCAGAAUGUGCAAGUGUGUGGAAUUUUUGGUGGAAUCCUAUCACUACUUUUAUUGCAACAUUCCUUGCAUCAAGACUCUCUUUUGAAAUGAGAUGAAAAACUUGAGAGGAUAUGGGCCAUAACACAAUUUUUUUAUUUGUAUUUUGGCUUUUUCUCAUAAUAAUUAUAUAUAUAUAGCCCAUUCCUAUGAUUUUGAUGAAAACAAAGGAGAGCUUUAUGAUAACAAAUGCAAGGAAUGUAUAUGAAUGCACAAUUCUUAGGGUGAGAUAUUGGCAUUUUUAUUUUGUGGAUAUAUGUGCACAACCCUCAGUGUAAGAGUUGGUGAAAUUUUGGGUGGAUGGAGAAAACAUGUUGUGCACGACUUCUCAGUGUGAGAGUCGGCUUUGCUGUAACACCCCAGUGUUAUGGUUGCAUCAUUCACAUGCAUAACAUGAGCAUCAUCAUCUUCAUAAGCAUAUCAUGAUCAUCAUUUACCUUGGGUCAUGUCAUUUUAUGCAAAAGUAUGGUUUCACUUGCUUAAAUAUGCUUUCUAUGCUUAUGUUUGCUUGUACCAUGCUCAUGUUUGUGUUCUAUGCUUUGGUAAUUAGUUCAUCUAUGCUUAACUCAACUUUUGGAGCAAUGUUCAUGUUGGUCACAUCUCCAAAUUAAGUACCUAAGUCAUACUUUCACUUAUAGGACCUAAAAACCUUUUUUGCUUAGGCUUUUAAAAAGUACUUCAUAAAAUGUUUGCAUGUCAAAACUUCCUAAAGCAAAGUUGUAGCAAAUUUUAUAAGGAACAAAAGCUGUUUCAUGGCCUUUUCAUGAAAAUGUGCAGAGCAAGCUCAAAAGUGUCCCACAAGGCAGAUUUGGGGCUGUUUCCAACACUUAGAAAUUUUUCUAAGUGUGGGAUCUAACCAGUUUGCUCGAGGGUGGUUUGGAUAGCUUCUAGUUUGAAAUCCAGGCUGAAUCAAGUCUUGAUCUUGUAAUAAAAGUUGGAGUCCUCAUGUAGCUCUACAGCAUGGAGCAAUUAGCUAGCAAAACCAUCGAUCAGAUUAGGAGAUAAUCAAAGCCAAAUAUCGAGUUUCAGUUGGUAUCCGUAACUGAUUGGAGGUAGCGUCAGUGGGGAGGAGCUCGCCGGUGACGCCGCGUGUUCGGACCCGUGGCGUCCGUACAUCGCCGUUGGCCUCACUUGUCAGCUCCCAGCACGUCCUCCAGGUCGCCACGACGCCCCCGGUCGCGUGGACAGCGCCAUUCUCCCCCUGGCUCUCUCUCUCUCUCGUGCUCGUCGUCUUCUCCGCGCGUCCGCCGCUGCUUCGGCGAGCUCGCGCGCUCGCGUCUCGGCAUCUCUGGCCGAGCAACUCCACCCAGUGCUCCGCCAGCUUCCCCGCGUCACCAUCGUCAUGUUGGCUGCGGCUGCCGAGCUUUGGUAAGCCCGCAUUGCCCUCUCCGUCGCGAGCUCACCUCGCCGGAGCUCCGCCGUGGUCACCGGUAUCGUGGCCAGGGCCCACCAUUUCUUCUCGUUCUUGUUCCAAAAGCUCUGCCUUGUCAUGCUGGUGCUUGUCAGGAUCUUCUUUCGCCCUGUCUCCGACCAGAGACGCCAGCGGUCGGCCGCACACCAUCGCCGUGCCGCCAUUCGCGAGGGCAAGGUCCUUAGGGUGCGGUAGAGUUAGGGUUUCUAGUACCAGUCGUCGCGCAAGAGAGUGAGGAGCACGAUGGUGCCCUUGGCCGUCGCCGAGACCUCGCCGUCGACGAGAUUUCCGGCGGUCAAGCCUCGUCUCUAUUCUCGGGUCACUGACGGGUGGGGUCCGUUGACCUGUGGGGUCCCCCUGUCAGUCUCUCUCUCUCCUUAGUUUGAAUUUAGGGUUUGUGCUGUUUUUGGAAAAUUCAUAUCUGGAGUUUGAAAAAUCCUCUUGAGGUGAUCCAAAUUUUGUUGAGUUCCUCAGAUGGUCUAGUUUUUAAUAAAAAUAUAAUAUGCACCAUGUUUUCUGUGAAAAAUAAUUGUUAUGAAUUAAUCUUGUUAUUUAUGUGUAAAUUCAUAUCUUUUGAUAUACUGCUCCAAUUGCUGUGAAAUUUUUAUGCUAUGCUCCGAGUAGUAUGAGAAUGCUCUGAUAAAUAUUUCAUGAUUUUUAGAGUGCUGUAUCUCUGAUAUGUAAUUUAUGUUGGUACUAUGGCUUGAUUUCAUAUUUAAAUCAUAAUAAAUGUUUGAUGCUUAUGCUGGUGUUCUCUUUUGGUGUCAAGCUUGUUUGUAGUAAUAGUAACAUGUAAAUAAUCUGAAAUCUGUUGCUUGACACUAUAUAAGCCAUGUUUCUUAAUUUAUGAAAUAAGCACCUUGUUACAUGUUAAUUACUUAUCUCAAGUUUGCCAUGUGCAAUUGCUCUGAAAAUUUUAUGGUAAUGUCCAAAUACCAUGCUUGUGCUUCAGUAAUGUUUGUAGAUUUUUCUGAGCACUCUUGUUGGUAUCUUGUAAUUAUGUCCUUUUAUGGAAUUAAAUUAAUAAAUGCCUUGUUAUUGCAUGUCAACAUGUGACAUUCUGAUAAUCUUAAGUUAUGCUGGUGCUUAUAAGCCACUUGGUUGACACUAAAUAUGUUUUUGCUAUGUCAUCAAAUAAUUAAUUAAGGGUUUAUAGCUGUUCUGGACAGCAAGGGAGUAAUCUGACCAUUGCUUGGUGAUAAUUUGGUUUUCUGAAAAUCUUGUCUAAAUCAAAGAUGUUGUAAACUUUGUGAGCUACCUGCAGUUUAAAUUUGGGAUCAUUUAGUCCAAUAGUUUAAAAGUUAUGGCUCUUCCAAGUUGGGUUCCAGAACUAGGUGCUCUCUGUUUUCUGGGACAGAACCUGGAACUUUGUUUAAUUGACCAAUUUAACUUGUGAAUCUUGCUAUGAUAUCUAAAGAUGAAAUAUAAAAUAUUUCAUAAGCUUUCCAGAAUGUCCUCAUUCAUGUUUGUUGGAUCUGUAUAGCUUUAAUUAUGAUUAGUUCUUUGAGCUGCCCUGUCUUUUAGUUGUUUCUGUUUAAUGAGUUAACUUGGUGAGUCUUGCUAAGUUAGUUAGUCAUCUUUUGUGAGCUUGUAAUGGGAGUCACUCCGUAAAUGAGUGUCCAGUGAAGUUCUAAUUAUGUUACCAAGCAUUCAUCCUCAUCUAGUAUGCACACAUUUCUUACUCAUCAUGCAUGCAAUAGGUGCACCGGAAGUGGCAACAUCGUUCGAGCUCGACCGGGGGAUCCACGAAGGCUCGGAGAUCACUCAGGAAGCGGAGGUCCAGCCAGCCGGACAAGAGGAGCCCGAAGAGGAGGUCGAGUGCCCUAAUCACGAGCCAGCUUCGUUCGUGAAAGGCAAGCCCCGGAGCAUCUUAAGUCUCCCACUUUAAUUUCAAAAACAUACUUGAUUAUGUUAUAUCUAUUGAUGCAUUACGUAUAGGAGUUGUGAUGAAACCCUUGCUGCAUUAUACCCUUUCCUUGUCCAGAUAUCUUACCACUACCUGGUCAUAGAGUUAGGAUCGAGUAGCAGCUUAGUCAUGCUUUAAUCGGUAGAAGUCGGGUGAUAUCCUGUCACCUACGCGAGAUAGAGUUGUGUCGGAUCAUGAUUGACUAUAUGUGCUAUCGUGGGAAAGAACCUGAUUAAAAUGACUCAAGAUGGGCGGAGUUUUGCAAGGUUGUAGUAACUCCAUCUGUGGCAGUUAAGGACUGAUCGUUGUACGUCCUCUUGUCAUGUUGAACGCAUACCUGACACUUAGUUGGCCGGAUAACUCGUUCCGACCGCGAAGCCUAGUAGUAUGACUCAGGCCGGAAGACCGGCAAGUAUAAAGUGCGCACUACCGGAGGAAGUGCGGUGUGCGGGGGACCAUUGGCGUAAGACCAAAGGCAGAUGAGUUAAAAGUCCUGACCUCCCUGGCAGAGUGAUAGCCCUGGGAGUGCGGCGCUGAUCGGAGCCACGAUUCCUGAGUCGUACCAAAGGUGACCCGUUUGCUCUCCGACGAGGGAUGCUUGGGUGAGUGCUAGGAAUAACCCUCUAGCUGAUAGGAAUCGAUUCGAAUCGCCAUUUCUCCCGGAUAGUGAGAACUUGACAGAGCAGCGGCAAACGUAGCAUUCACUAAGUACAAUGGUUCUUGAUAAUGAUGUUGAUGAUAGCAAGGAAGAACAUAUGAUGAACUUGAUAUGGUUAUUAUUGUUUGUAAUAAAUAAGUGAAGUGUUUAGUCUAGGUGCUAAUCUAGUGGUAGGCUAAUGAUGAUUAAUAUGAUGCUUUUACAAAUGGUGUAGUAUCCACUUAAGCUUUUGGCAAAUGUUGAGUCAAGCCAGCUACACUUUGUACUCAGCCUUGCAUGAUCCUUGGUGUCUUUAUGUUUGACUAGACGGGUAAGUCUAGCUGAGUACAUCCUCGUACUUAGGGUUUAUUCCCACCUGUUGCAGAUGAUGUCUUUUAUGAUGGCUUCUGCAAGACCUGUUUCCAUCCCGCUGGGGAUGAGGACUAAACCGUUGGGCACGGUCCUCUAACGACUUCGUACCUUGAUGCUUUUGGUGGAUGAGAUGAGACUCUUGCAGUAACAAGAACUUAUGAAAUGGGCGUGUGUAAACUAUUUUGCUUCCGCUACUCCAAAACUUGUGUUGUAAUAACUAAGUAACUCCGAUGUGGUGCCGCUUCGUCGGCAAUGAAUGACUAUGUAACAUCCGUUGUAUUAUGUUGAACUAUUACGAUCUUGGUUUGUUGCAAGUUGGUUUGAAGUUCUUCGUGAUUUUAGUUUACUACCGGGAUUAUAUGGGAUCAAGUCUCGAAACUUGAUUGCUAGUUGAUCGUUUCUACACUUGAACUCUUAUAAUUUGGUCGGUUCUGUGACAUUUUAUAUGGUGGGUGCAAGUGAAUUCUGAUUUUAGAGGCAUGAAACAUCUUUGGACAGCGGUCCAAAAAUUUGACCAAACUCAACACAGAGCAAGCAGCAUAUGUAGAAGGUUUAAUCAUGAACAAAUAUUUGGCCAUGGUAGGAAUAAAGCUUGAUUAUUCAAGAAACUUGCUAUUGAAUUUUGCUUUUUAUAAAAGAAAACCCAACUACUUUGCAAGAACCAGCAAGCAUCAUGUCAUCCUACUAUAUCACAUACAUCAAUUACUUAGAUAAAAUGGGGUCCCUAUAACAAGUGUUCAUAAAUCUCUAGGGAUAUUAGCUAAGAAUAAGAAGUAUGCAAAAACAUAUUUGAACAUAGGAGACAUGUUCGAUGGAGUAUGAAGGUAACAUCUUUUUAAACAUUUCAUUUGAAAAUCUUUUUGGGGAAGAGGGUUUUCACAAACCGAGAUUUUUAAUUGAAUAGUCCUUCCCCCACACUUGUUUUCUUUCCUGUCAUGGUUAGUCACAAUAUAUAUAGAAAACAAGUGCACAAGAUAAACAAACUUUUUUUUAUUGAUAACUUUGAAUAGGCACAUUACAUUGGACGGGAAAAAAUAUUUGAAACAUAAAUAUUGUGAAAAGGAAAAAUGUGCCUAAACAAAGAUUCGUGUAGGAGGUGUGGUCUAAAGAUCUUCAACAAGGCGACCAACACCUAAGGCUUCAGCGACCUUUCUAAGUUUAGUAUUAAACUUGAAGCAAAACCUAUUAACAUCAUCACUGAGGUUCCUAAUCUCAGUGUUCUUUUCCUCUAGGUCGUCUUCUAAAACCCGUAACUCAGCACGUAGGCUAGCCUGCUUAGCUAAAAGCUUGGCGAUGAUAUUGGGAUCAUCUUCUUCAUCGCUGCUCUCGUACUGUCCUGCACGACGCUUGAUUGACGGUUGUGGCAAGUGCCUCCUGAUCCUAGGGAGAGUACUGGACGAUUCCGUCUUCUUGGCCUUGCCACCCAUCUUGCUACCAGCAUGAUUGCCUUGCCUAUCACCACUAGGGGCUUUUCUCUUAAGUCCUAUGUUGCUAGUGGAUGAACGGGCAGUAGCAGGUAUGUUGGCGGCGCUAUUGGUGGGCGCUUUGUGGUUUGCUAGUAACAACGCUAACAACUUUCUCUUCUCAACAUGGACCUCCUUGCUAGAACUCUCUUGGUAAGGUGCUAUGUCUAGAUUGGCUAUGGUCUUGGGAGCAUUGAUCAGCGAGAGGGCAUAGCUAGACAUGGUCACUACUGAAGAAUGAGAUAGCUUAGCAAUCUUCACAAGAGAAAGAUGAGAAAUGGUUGGUGUGAGAAGAGAAGAGGCCUAUGGAAGAUUUUAUAGGUGCUAACGCAGUCUCUGAUCUGGAAACAACUUCAUCGUAACCAUGGACAUGAUGCUAAUCAGUGCAAAAGAGGAAGGGAAAAAGAUUGGGGCCGAUUGGCGGACCUGGGGGUGCGCCCGCACCACUGGGUCCACCAGUCGGCCUCAGUCUUUCGAGUAUUUCUUUCCCUCUCUGAGUAUUUCACAAUACUGGUUACGAUCAAUCAUGAUGCGCACUGGAAUCAGAGUGAUAGUGUGUGGGAUAGAGUUUUGAAUUUUGAAAACUUUCUAAAAGGUAUCACACUAUCAUGGAUUUAUGAGUGAUUGAUACCCAUGAUCACAAAGAUUCAAAAAUGAAGAAAAGAUCAUAGGGGCAAUAUGGACUACUCAUAAAUACAACAAAUGCACCAUUUAUUCAAAACAUAAAUAGAAAGAAUCUAUUCAAAAUAAAUAAAUAAGUCAAAAGAAAAUAUAUAUUUAUAUAUUUUUUUAUAAGUAAAAACUUACCUAGGGAUAACUUACCGAUUUACCUUCGGCAAGGGCUCAUCUUUAUACUCCGUUGAGCGGGACUCUUCUUCCAUUACUUCUUGCUUGAUGAUGGCACAUCCAUCUUGGGAGGAGUAGACGGUUGCACCUGCUUGGGCCUCCACUUUAGCAGUAUCACCUUUGGAGGUGUUGAAGUUUGUUCAACCUUCUGCUUUGGUUUCCACACCUGCUUCGGUUGUGAAGGCUUGGGGACUUCGUCCCUCUUUUCAUUCAUUUUAGGAGCUAUUUUCUUUUUCUGCUCCUUAUUAUUUUUCUUAGGAGCCACCUUUUCUUUUGGCUUUGGCUUUUUCUUAGAUAUUUUUGUAUUUUUAAUGAGUUGAGGCUGGAUCUCAACCAACCUGAUGCCUUGGGGGUUUGGCCCAUAGAGGAUGCGUAUCAUAUUGCACUCUUGUUGAUGGCGUGGCCUGAACUCGAACUUCUCUUCUUAGCCAUUAAUGUUGAAGCGGAUUUCUCCAGCCCCAACGUCAAUCUGUGCUCCAGCUGUACUCAAGAAUGGUCUUCCCAGGAUUAGUGGUGUUUCUUUAGUGAGCUCCAUGUUGAGCACCACAAAAUCCACUGGAACAUAGUAUCCUCUGAUCUUGACAGGGAUGUCUUGAGCAAUCCCUGCCAGGUAUCGGACUGACGAGUCUGCUAACUGGAGUGUCAUGGUGGUUGGCUCCAAGUUGGUGAAGUUCAUCCUAUCAUAGACUGAUUUCGGCAUGACGCUCACACUCGCCCCCAAAUCACAUAGGGCGUGGUCGAAUUGUUGGGCCCUAAUUGAGUAAGAGAUUGUGGGGCACCCAGGAUCCUGCUUCUUCUCGGGCAGCUCAUUGAGUAUAGCUGCGCUACAUUCUUCUGUCAGCUUGACAACUUCAGUGGACGGCAAUGGUCGCUUCUUGUUGAUGAUGUCCUUGAUGAACUUGGAGUAGGACGGAAUAUGCAAGACAUCCAUCAACGGUACACUGACGUGUGUCUUUUCGACCAUUUCCGCGAAGCGGAGGAACUGUUCAUCUCCGUCCUUCUUCUUCCUCCUUUCUCUUGUGGGAAAGGGUAGCAUCGUGGUGUCCCCUGUUGACGGUCCUUAAGUGUAACACCCCAGUGUUAUGGUUGCAUCAAUCACAUGCAUAACAUGAGCAUUAUCAUCUACUCAAGCAUAUCAUGAUCAUCAUCUACCUUGAGCCAUGUCAUUUUAUGCUUAAGUGUGCUCUAACUUGUUUAAUCAUACUUCCUAUGCUUAUGUUUGUGAGAACCAUGCUCAUGCUUAUGUGUUAAGCCUUGGUAAUUAGCUUAUCUAUGCUUAACUCAACCUUAGGAAUAAUGUUCAUGUUGAUCACUUCUCCAAAAUAAUCACUUAAGUCAUACUUCUUUGUAUAAGCCCUAGCAACCUCUUUUUUAGGCUUUUAAAAAGUGUUUCGUAAAAUGUUUGCAUAUCAAAACUUUCGACAUCAAAGUUGUAGAAAAUUUUAUAAGGAACAAAAGUUGUUUUAUGGCCAUCUCAUGAAAAUGAUCACAACUAGCUUAAAAGUGACCCACAAGGUAGAUUUGGGGCUGUUUCCAACACUUAGAAAUUUUUUCUAAGUCCAGGGAUGCAGCAGUUUGCUUGAUCGAUUUUGAAAACUUCAUAUCUCUCAAUCCAGGCCGAUCUGGCUCUUGCUCCAGUUGACAAUGUUGUAGAACUCAGCUAGUACUCCAACUUUGUUAACUACACCGUCUCGUAACUUGCUCCGGUUUGGGAGUUAAUCAUCGUCAAAGUCGCUCUAUCAGACAGUCAUCACAUUAACUGAAUCGAGGCCGAGCUCGUCGACGUGGCCGACCGGCGGCAGAGCUCCGUCGACAUUUGGCAUCCGUACAUCGCUCCUGGGCCCGCUCGUCAGCUCCCAGCGCGCGCAUGACCUCCACAGCGACACCUCGGGCGAAGUGGACGCGUUCAUUCCUUUCUGCCUCGCCCUCUCUCGCCAGAAACGCGGCCGCAGCGAGCUCACCGUCGCGAGCUCACUCCGGCGAGCUCGUACGCGCUCCUCGCUGCGCUGCUGUCCACCAAACCUCGCUCACAGCUCCGCCGUGAACCGCUCUCCACCUUCCACCCGCUAACUCGCCGUGAAACCCACCGGUGAGCCGCCAUUUCCAACUUCCCCUAAAUCGGGUCGCCGUGACCUUCUUCUUCGGCGAACUCAAUGCCGAGCUCCUCGGAGCCUCUCGUCUUGUCUGGUUAGGUCCUAGAUGUAGCUUAGGUCCUUAGCGAAUGUUUGCGCCACUUGGUGGACGCUCUACCGCGCUCACCGUCGCCGGACACGACGUGCAGCGCCGCCGUGUUUCCGCCGGAGUUGGGCUCUCUCGUGGCCAACUCUUUCCACCCCGUCUCAAGCCAAGUCGCCUACCUAGGAAGCUUCGCCGUAGUCCGCUGGUGCUCUAGGAAACCCUAGGUCGCGCUCUACCGGCCUGAGAGCUCCGACGUAACGCCGAGCACCUCUGCCGAGCCGCCAUGGUCGACGGCAAGCCAUUUCCGGUGGCUCCGCCGCGGGGAAAAGGGGGUCAAUCGAGUCGCAAGGGUCUGACGGUCACGUUGGUACCCUUGAUUUGGCCGGGAACCUCGCCGUCGCAGAGAAAUCGCCGGCGAGAGUCGCCUCGGCCGUGAGGAAGACGACCCUGACAGGCGGGACCCGCUGUCAUUGUCACCUCGUUUCCCUCCUUUUCUUUUAUUCAAAUCCAGGUUUCUGGCUUUCUUGCAAAAAUCAUAUCUCCUGUUUCUUAGAUCCAAAAAUUGUGAAACCAAUUUUAUGAGAUUCUUUGAGAUGUCUAUUGUUUUGUAAAAAUAUAAAAUGAACCAUGUUUUCUGGGAAAAAUAAUUAUUAGGAUUUAAUCUUGUUAUUCAGGAGUAAAUUCAUAUCUUUUGUUUUACUGCUCCUUUUGCCAUGAAAUUUUUAUGGUAGUCUCUGUGUGGUAUUAGAAUGCUAUAAUAAAUAUUGCAUGAUUUUUGGAGUACUGCAUCUGUGGUAUGUAAUUUGUGAUUGAGAUAUGGCUUGUUUUCUUAUUAAAAUCAUAGUAAUUAAUUGAUGCUUGUGCUGGUGCUCUACUUUGGUGUCACCCUUCUUUAUGGUAAUAGUAGUAUGUAAAUAAUCUGAAAUCUGUUGUUUGACACCAUAUAAGCCAUGUUUCUGAAUUUAUGAAAUAAACACCUUGUCACAUGUUAAAUGCUUAUCUUAAUUUUGGCAUGUGCAAUUGCUCUGAAAAUUUUAUGGUAAUGUAUAGAUGCUAUGCUGGUGCUUCUGUAAUUUUUGUAGAGUUUUCUGAGCACUUUUGCUAGUAUCUUGUAAUUAUGUCCUUUUAUAGAAGUAAAUUGAUAAAUGCCUUGUUAUUAAAUAUCUAGGGGUUAACAUAUGAUGUUCUGGUUAUCUUAUGAUAUAUUUGUGCUUAUGAGCUAAUUGGUUGACACUGUUUAUGCUUUGACUAUGUCAUCACAUAAUUAAUUAAAGGGUUAAGAGCUGUUCUGGACAGCAAGGGAGUAAUCUAACUUUUGCUUAAUGAUAACUUGGUUUUCUAGAAGACUUGUCUAAAUCAAAGUUGUUGUAAACUUUAUGAACUAGUUGUGGUUUAAUUUUGGGAUCAAUUGGUCCAAUGGCUUAAAAGUUAUAGCUAUUCCAAGUUGGGUUCCAGAAAUAGGUGCUUUCUGUUUUCUGGGACAGAACCUGGAACAUUGUUUAAAUGACUUGUUUAAUUUAUGAAUCUUGCUGUGAUGUUUAAAGAUGAAUUGUAGGCAAUUUCAUAAGAUUUCCAGAAUGUCCUCAUUUAUGUUUGUUGGAUCCUUACAGCAAUAGUUAUGACCUGUUUAUUGAGCUGUUCUGUUAUAUGAUGCUUGCUGUUUUUGGAUUGACUUGCUAAGUUUUGCUAAGUUAUUUAGUUACCCUUUUGUAAGUUUAUCUUAGAAGUUUACUCAGUAGAUGAGUGUCCAGUGAAGUUCUAAUUGCAUCAUCAAGCAUUCGUUCCCUUCUAGUAUGCACCCAUUCUUACUUAUCAUACAUGCAAUAUGUGCACCGGACGCAACAGCUUCGUUCGAGCUCCAGGUGAACCCCGAAGGCCAGGAGGGCAACCCGGAGGUGGAGGCCCAGCAAGCCGGACACGAGGAGCCCGAAGAAGAGGUUGAGUGCCCUAACCACGAGCCAGCCUCGUUCGUGAAAGGCAAGCCCCGGAGCAUCUUAAGCCUCCUACUUUAAUUUCGAAAGCUUAUUUGAUUAUGUCAUAUCUAUUGAUGCAUUUACGUAUAGGAGUUGUGAUGAAACCCUUGCUGCAUGUUACUCAAUCCUUGUCCAGAUAUCUUACCACUACCUGGUUAUAGAGUUAGGAUCGAGUAGCAGCUUAGCCAUGGUUUAAUCGGUAGAAGUCGGGUGAUAUCCUGUCACCUGCGCGAGAUAGGGUUGUGUCGGAUCACGAUUGACUAUAUGUGCUAUCAUGGAUGGAACCUGAUUAAAUUGAUUUAAGCCGGGCGGAGUUUUGUAAGGUUGUAGUAACUCCAUCUGUGGUAGCUAAGGACCGACCAUUGUACGUCCUCUUGUCAUGUUGAACGCAUGCCUAACACUUAGUUGGCCGGAUAACUCGUUCUGACCGCGAAGCCUAGUAGUAUGACUCAGGCCGGAAGACCGGCAAGUAUAAAGUGCACACUACCGGAGGAAGUGCGGUGCGCGGGGGACCAUUGGCGUAAGACCAAAGGCAGGUGAGUUAAAAUUCCUGACCCUCUGGCAGAGUGGUAGCCCUGGGAGUGCGGCGCUGAUCGGAGCCGCGAUUUCUGAGUCGUACCAAAGGUGACCCGCUGGCUCUCCGACGGGGGAUGCUUGCGUGAGUGCUAGGAAUAACCCUCCAGCUGGAUAGGAAUCGAUUCGAAUCGCCGUCUCUCCCGGAUAGUGAGUGUUGAUAUUUGGGAACGCAAUAAGGAAUUGAUCCGCAAGCGCACGGAUAUCGGUGAGCACUUCACCCGGGAAAUUAUCCAGAGUAUCGUAUUUAUUUUUUUACCACUAGGAGAAAGAGUGCAUCUGACUAACCGGUCUAUUACUACUAACCUUUAGGCACAAAGAAUGUCUUUCGAUGUGAGUGAUAAAUAGAGAAGACUGCAACCGUAGUCUCCUUCUAACCUUGGUAAGGAUGAUCUACUGUUCUAAUGGGGAGGCUAACGGAAUCUAGACACCACAAAGGAUGUUCGACCCGCACCUAUAAACCCUAUCCUUCUUGCUAACGAGAUGUGAUCUACAAAGGUAGCUCGGAAUUGUCACGUUCCUCACUACUACCACGGUCCAGCUAGUCAGGGAAUAUCUAUGAGUACCCCAGCCUAAACACCACGUUUACGCCAGCAAUGAUUACUCUAAACUCUACGCGAAGAGAUUAAAGUAAACUCAUAAACCAUAAGAACAAUAAAACAAGAACUUACUAGAAUUUAGAAGUCGAAUUACUGAAGAAUCCUAGGAGCAAGCUUCGGGUUAGGAGAACUUGAUCUCGCAGGUACAAGCUUGGAGUAGACACCGACAGGCCGGGCUUCCUCCACUCUACACCUCCACUCUAUCUCUCUCAAUCUAGUAGAAACUAGAAGAUCUAUUUCUACCUUACAUUGAUUGCUAAGCCUAAAAGGAAAUAUUAAUUAGAGAAGAGGUUUUCCUUCGAGGGCACCCCUCAGUCUCUAUGAUAAUUUCUUCAUGUCUUCUCCAGGGGCCAGGGGGGCCUUGCUUAUAUAGUCCUCCCCUUCUAUGCGUUUCUGGGUCGAUAGCCGAGGUGGUACUAUGUUUUUCUUGAUCCAAUAGGUCGGUGGAAUAUCCCGAACGAAAGAGUCCUGAUUUGGCUCCAACAGGGGGGCGGGCGCCCAGGAUACCAGGGCGGGCGCCCUGGGCCUGGCCUAGUUUUGCCUCCGCUUCGGUCUCGUGGCUUCUGGAGUCUUCUAGAUGAUGUAAAAUUGCGCGGUGCGUUGAUAUCUCUAUGUAAUCCCGACAUGUAGGCCUUUCUUCCUUAUUUCCUGAUAACCCCCUGCAGAAACAGAUAAACAACAAAACUCGUGGAAUUCUGUUAGAUCAAACCCUAAUUCUAGGUGUUGUUUGCAUAUUGGUCCUUUCUCUAGUUUAUUUGAUAAUUAAAAUUGAUACUUAAGAACUGUCAACAAAUACCCCCAUACUUAGGCUUUUACUCGUCCUCGAGAAAAGGAUGGUUAAGAAAAAUAUCUGGGGUAAAACAUUUAAAACAUUCUCUUUAUAUAAUUGCAGGGUGUUAAAAUUCCACUGUGUACCAUAGUCAGGGAUGUUUAUGGUUAAGAGUAAAGAUCCUUUCUUCUCAAUCCUGUCACUUGGAGUUUUUGUUAUAUUUUUGAAAGAAAGUUAGCAUACCUUUUUAUCCUCAUUGGUUCUCUCAGAUCACUCAUUAUCUUUUAUAUAUAUAUCUCACUGAGGUUGUUUUAUUUUUGCAAAAAUUCUCAAGCAUUCUUACUUUGCAUUUAUUGCCUGAUCAAAACGGGAUCCGAGGAGGGGAAUGUCAUACUCUUAGAUCAAAGACUUUGGAAAUUAAAAUCUUUGUCAACUCUUGCUGGCAUAUUGCUUAUUAGAGGGACCAUGGGCUAUCAUUUUCAUUUCAUCAUUUUUUUAAGUGGAUACCGAGGUACCCCUAAUUCUACUGCCGGACACUUGUCCAUUUUUUCUGCGAGGUUGUCGAGCACUUGCUCCUUUUUAUUUCCUCGAAAUAUUUUUAUUUUUGCAUAGCCCAUGCCUCUAAUGCAAUAAUACUUCGGAAGAGUGAAUCUUUCUGAAAUAAUGUCUUGAUCUUAGGAGCAUGAUAAAUCUCUCAACAAGGGUCUAACUCAUUUUGAACAAACUCAAUACAGAGUAGAUAGCUUUAUAAUCAUCAUUAAUAUUUUUAUUUUUAUCAGGCAUAUAAAACACUGAGGAUGGUAGCUAGAAUUUUGAAUAUUUUGAAAUAAAUUCUCCAAGCAACAAUGAUAUCAAGAAUAAGAAACUCAUACUCUACCAUCACAUAUUCCAUAUUGACUUGAGUAACACAGGGUUUUAAAAUGAUUUUAUAAUAAUUGUAAGUUUUCAGGAAAUAUCACAGAUUGAGAUUAAUCAUGAUUAGAAAUAUUUUAAUCUUUUUAUUUUAUCAUGUCAGAAACAGUAAUCUGCAUAAUCCAAAAUAAACGUAUGUAUGAAGUAAAGUGUGCAGAGUGUGUACCUGAACCGUGGAGUGGUGUAGUCGGAGUGUGUUUGGCAUGUUAAGGGAUCUCCCCCAUACUUGUUUUCUGCUUUCUUGCACAAAAAUAAAGUAGAGACACACAAGACAUAAUAAUAAUAGUAAUACUCUUUAUUGAUCUUGAGGCAUUUAGUACAAAAGACUGAUAACAAACUGAUAAUAAUAGUAAACUGAUGAUAAUAGUAAACCUAAACCGAAUUUUAAAGAUAAAUGACUAAGAUGCAUUGCCUCAAGGUCUAAUCUAGAUAACUUAACGGCGCUCUAAUUCCUUGAUCUUCUUGUUGGCACUGGCAAGAUCCUGCCUAAGGCCUAAUAUAACGGUGUUGUGGUUAGAGAGCUGCCUAGUGAGGGAAUUAAUCGAGGACUGGAGGUCUAUGAUAACUCUAUCUAGCCUGCGAACUUCCUCAUCAAUAUCCAUUAUAGUCUUGCGACGCUUGGGAGGUGUCUCAAAAGCAUUGAGAGAGUGCUUCGGGGCUGCCUUUGGAGGGAUGAAACGGACUUUGGAUGCUCUAAUCCCUUCAAAGUAAGGCCUUUCCUCCUCCGUAGUGUAGCGAACGCUGCUGAUCUCGCCGCUCCGGUUGGUCUUGACUCCAACGACCCUCUCAUUGGGUCUAGGUGGAAGGAUCCUUGUACCGAUUGGUACCUUGAUAGUGGUCUUCGUCUUGGAUGAUGGUCCUUUGAGGAGUAGGGGUUGUGGUGGUGCGGUGAGAACUGGUUGAGCAUGGUAGGAUUGGGCGGAGCUGCGUUGGCGUAAUGGCAUGGCUUCUAGUUGUCGCUCUGUGUUGGCCGGGACGAGAGCACGGGCAUCGGGGUCUUCCACUGGCUCCAUGUUGAGGUUGAAGGGGACGACUUCCCAAUCAUCGUGGUACUUCUCGGCCAUUGGAGUAGCAAGGAACUAAUAAAAUUUUAAUUGAAGUAGAGCUAAUUAAGCUCUAAUUGAAGGAGAGAAAGCUUGGUGGCUUGGUGUCUGAAAACUGAGGUCAGGGGUCUGUUUAUAUAGGGGUCAAAAGGAUGCCUCUAUGGGUUGUUCGGGUUGCUCCCGUCGAUGUGCGUGCGAAACUUUCCAUCCGAGGGAUUAUUCGGAUUACCCUAAGUGCAUUUUCCAUAUCAGAGAAAGUCGGGACCGAGGGGGAACAGGGGCUGGGCGCCCGCCCACUUGACCUGGGCGCCCGCCCUCUCUCUGGCUCCUCUGUGGGCCCACUUUUCCGAGCGCGUUUCUAGAUGCGAAAUUAUUUAGAAAAAUAUAUAUAUGCCCCAAAACCAUCAGACCAAAAGUGUCGGGCUCUAAUUCUCCAUGGGAAGGUAAAAAUGGACUACGUCUAUUUCUUCAAAUUCCUCAUUGGGCUCUAAAAAUAAUUUAAGACGUUGACCAUUUACCUUGAAUAACGUACCUUCGCUAUUUUGAAGUGUGAUAGCUCCGUGGGAUGAUGAAUUGAUUACCUUGAAUGGUCCUUCCCAUUUGCUCCGGAGUUUUCCAUGCCCGAAAAGCUUUACCCUGGAAUUAAAAAGUAAUACCUUAUCUCCUGGUGUGAACUCCUUCUUCUUGAUUCUCUUGUCAUGCCACCUCUUGACUCUUUCUUUGUAGAUUUUUGAAUUGUGAUAUGCCUUCUCUCGCCAUUCUUCCAAUUCUGAUAGUUGCAUUCUUCUAUAAUCUCCAGCAACAUCUAGGUCCAUAUUCCAUCUCUUUAUGGCCCAGUGUGCUUUGAACUCUAGUUCAACAGGUAGAUGGCAAGUCUUUCCGUACACCAAUUGGUAUGGAGACAUUCCAAUUGGGGUCUUGUAUGCUGUCCGGUAUGCCCAGAGUGCAUCGGGUAACUUGUCUUUCCACGCCGUUCCCAUUUCAUUUACUGUCUUCUGAAGAAUAUUCUUGAUUUGUUUGUUGGAAGUCUCUGCUUGGCCACUUGUCUGAGGAUGAUAGGGGGUAGCGACGUUGUGACGGAUUCCAUGUCUUGAUAGAUAUUGCUUGAAGCGUUUGUCGAUGAAGUGUGCUCCUCCAUCACUUAUCACUACUCUGGGAACUCCAAAUCUUGGAAAUAUAAUUUCUUCAAACAUCCUCUUUGAACUGACGUUGUCGGCAUGCUUGCAAGGUAAUGCUUCUACCCACUUGGAGACAUAGUCAACUGCCACCAAAAUGUACUCACACUUCUUUGAUGGAGGAAAUGGACCCAUGUAGUCUAUUCCCCAGACAUCAAAGAGCUCAAUCUGAAGGUUGUUGGUGAGUGGCAUUGCAUCCCUUGUAUUUAUGUUUCCGUGCCUUUGACAUGGCCCACAUCUCCUGAUAUAUUGCUUCGUGUCUUCAUACAUUGUAGGCCAGUAGAAUCCACACUGCCAGAUCUUUGAAUGUGUACGGAAUGCUCCAUAGUGACCUCCAUAUGGUGAUGAAUGACAUCUGUCGAUGAUCUUCCAUCCUUCCUCAGUGGUCACACAUCUCCUGAGUAAGCCAUCAGAGCAUACUCGGAAGAGGUAUGGCUCAUCCCAUAUAUGUGAACGACUUUCUUGAAUAAGCUUCUUCUUGUUUGCUCCUGGUGGUACAUACCCUGAAACCAUAAAAUUAACAAUAUCUGCAUACCAGGGGUCAGACCUGUUAAUCCCGUAGAGCAUGUCGUCCCGGAGUGAAUCAUUGAUUGGAGUUUCCUGUGGACUCUUAAAAUACAUUCUAGACAGGUGAUCAGCAACAGAAUUUUCUACUCCCUUUUUAUCUUUUAUUUCUAAGUCAAAUUCUUGGAGUAAUAAAAUCCAUCUAAUCAGGCGAGGUUUAGCAUCUUUUUUAGUGAGCAAAUAUUUUAGUGCAGCAUGAUCAGUGUAAACAAUUAUUUUAGCUCCAACUAAAGAAGAUCUAAAUUUAUCAAUGGCAAAGACAACAGCCAGAAGCUCUUUUUCAGUGGUUGCAUAAUUAAGUUGAGCUCCUGUCAAAGUUUUACUGGCAUAAGCAAUUGCAUGAUGCUUCUUAUCUUUAGUUUGUCCCAAUACUGCCCCCACAGCAUAAUCACUAGCAUCACACAUAAUUUCAAAAGGUAACGACCAAUCAGGGGGUUGAAUGAUUGGUUCAGAGAUGAGUGCUUUCUUUAAUAAAUUGAAAGAUGUUAGACAUGCAUCAUCAAAUUCGAAAGGAGCAUCCUUGGCUAGCAAAAGAGUAAGUGGUCUAGCAAUGAAUGAAAAAUCUUUUAUGAAUCUACGAUAAAAACCAGCAUGGCCAAGAAAGCUUCGAAUUCCUUUUAUAUUCACAGGUGGAGGUAGUUGUUCAAUUACUUCAAUUUAGCUUUGUCUACCUCAAUUCCUCUUUCAGACACUAAGUGUCCCAGCACUAUUCCUUCCCUAACCAUAAAAUGACAUUUUUCCCAAUUAAGGAUUAAGUGCUUUUCUUCACAUCUUUGCAAAACCUUAUCUAAGUUUUCAAGACAACUAUCAAAAGUUUUUCCAUAAACAGAGAAAUCAUCCAUGAAAACUUCUAUAAUCUCUUCAAUCAUAUCAGAAAAUAUAGACAUCAUGCAUCUUUGAAAAGAAGCUGGUGCAUUACAUAACCCAAAAGACAUUCUACGAUAAGCAUAAGUUCCAUAAGGGCAUGUAAAAGUGGUUUUGCUUUGAUCAUCGGGAUGGAUCGGGAUUUGAUGAUACCCUGAAUAUCCAUCUAAGAAACAAAAGAAUGAAUGGUUUGCUAACCGCUCUAGCAUCUCAUCUAUAAAAGGUAAAGGAAAGUGAUCCUUUCUCGUGGCUUUAUUUAGUUUUCUAUAGUCUAUGCACAUCCGCCAUCCUGUGACGGUGCGUUGCGGAAUUAGCUCGUUCUUUUCAUUCAUAAUAACUGUCAUGCCUCCCUUUUUGGGCACAACUUGGACUGGGCUCACCCACUCACUGUGCGGCACAGGAUAUAUAAUCCCUGCAUGCAGCAACUUAAUAACUUCCUUUUUAACUACCUCUCUCAUAGUGUUGUUAAGUCUACGUUGGGGUUCUCGAGAGGGUGUAACAGAAGGAUCUGUUGGAAUACGAUGGGUACAAAUUAUAGGACUGAUUCCUGUAAGAUCUUGAAGUGAGUAGCCGAAUACUGAGUGAUGUUUCUCAAGAAUGGUCAUUAAUCGCAGAGUUUGAUCCUGAGUGAGUUUAUCGCUAAUGAUCACAGGAAACUCUGGAUUAUUGUUUAGGAAAGCAUAGGUAAGACCGGGUGGUAAAGUUUUAAGCUCUAUGGGGGGUCUAGGUGUUUCUGCAAACUCAUCUAAGGGUUCAGGCUCAAAAGGUUCGUCUUCUUCUUCUGUGAAGAAAGGAGUUUCAUCUUCUAAGUCUAGUUCAUCUAAAAGCUCUAGAGAUGCACCCUUUACUUCCUCCAUAGGAUCAGGCAAAAGAUAUGACUCGGCCUUAUUGUUUAAGGAGUGUGAAAUUAUUAUUGAGAAUUUAAAGGUUUUUCCAAAAGAAAUGUGUAGCUUUCCAGUAUGACCUUCAUAAAGGAGUCUUCUAAAAGGUUGUCCUAUCAAUAGGUCGAAGUCCCAUGUAUCAAAGAUAUAGAAGUUCAAAUGAACCAUGGAGCCUUCUACCGUAAGAGGUAGGACAUUUAUAAUUCCAAGACUGGGGACUAAUCGUCCCGAAGAUUCCUUUAUGACCUUUGUUGUGGGGGUUAAGAUAAGAUUUUUAAAUAGUUUAAGUGCAAAGGAUUCAGACAUAAUGUUGAUCCCCACAACAGGAUUAUAAAGAGCAUUAAAUCGAUCAGAAUUAUAAGCACAGCGUAUAGUUAUAGAGGGUGUGUCCAAACGGAUCACAUCAGAGGAAAGCUCUGAUUCCUCCAACCAUUCGCUACUCAUGACUGAGAUAAGCUCUCUCAAUUGAUAUUCACUUGGUAAAUAAAUGCUAAAUUGACCGUUUUGGGGUUUGUCAAUAGAAUGGUAGUUUGAAAUAUUUCCAAAAUCGGCAAAAAGAUCGGAUUCUAUAUCCAGCAUGAAGUCCGGUAGUGGAAUUUCUUCCUCUUGAGGCUCAGAACAUGGGAUAGCUAAAGUAGAUGAAGAAUUUGGCAGAGUGUCUACUUCGGCUUCAUAGGUUUCAUCAUGAAGGGUAUUAUCCAUCUCAGCUUCUAGGAUUCUAUCUAGGAUCACUCUUGCUUCAUCAGCAGGGAUGCGAAAGAAAGAACCUCUAGACAUUGUGUGUAGCAUUUGUUUGUGAUUUCUAUGAAGACCUCGAAAAAAGUGAAAUAAAAGAACAGGGUCUUCAAGAUUAAGGUUUGGACCAGAUUCUAAAAGAUCAGGAAAACGUUUCCAGGAUUUUCCCAAAGUUUCAUUAUCUUUUUGUUUAAAAGAUAGGACUUCGAGUCUAAGGUCGGCUAUACAGUCAAGGGAAUAGAAAUCUAGACAAAAGUUGGCUCGUAAAACUCCCCAUUCACCUUGUUGUUGACUUACCUUCUGACUGUACCAUUGUCUAGCUUCUCCCCUUAGAGAAAAAGGAAAAAGCUUCCAACGUAAAGUCUUAUCACAAAUGCCUUCAAUGCGAAGACAAUCACAUGUUUGCUCAAAAUCUCUAAUAUGAAGGUAAGGGUUUUCGUCUUCCUUUCCCGAAAAAGAUAGGUUUUGAAUCAUGGCAAUCAACCUAGAACUUAACUUAUACAAGGGUGUUUGGAUAGGCUGUGAUGAUUCCCAUGGUAAAAGGUCAGUUGCUAAAGGGAUUGCAGACUCAUGGAUCGAUUUAGAAUUUUGGUUUUCCAUAAGGUAAGAAUAAAGAAAAUAAAUAAAGGAUAUAAAAGAUAAGAAAAGAUAAAAGUAUAGAUACAAGCUAGUAGCAAGACUCAGGUUAUCUCAGCAACCGUCUUUCUCCCCGGCAACGGCGCCAGAAAUGCUUGUUGAUAUUUGGGAACGCAAUAAGGAAUUGAUCCGCAAGCGCACGGAUAUCGGUGAGCACUUCACCCGGGAAAUUAUCCAGAGUAUCGUAUUUAUUUUUUUACCACUAGGAGAAAGAGUGCAUCUGACUAACCGAUCUAUUACUACUAACCUUUAGGCACAAAGAAUGUCUUUCGAUGUGAGUGAUAAAUAGAGAAGACUGCAACCGUAGUCUCCUUCUAACCUUGGUAAGGAUGAUCUACUGUUCUAAUGGGGAGGCUAACGGAAUCUAGACACCACAAAGGAUGUUCGACCCGCACCUAUAAACCCUAUCCUUCCUGCUAACGAGAUGUGAUCUACAAAGGUAGCUCGGAAUUGUCACGUUCCUCACUACUACCACGGUCCAGCUAGUCAGGGAAUAUCUAUGAGUACCCCAGCCUAAACACCACGUUUACGCCAGCAAUGAUUACUCUAAACUCUAUGCGAAGAGAUUAAAGUAAACUCAUAAACCAUAAGAACAAUAAAACAAGAACUUACUAGAAUUUAGAAGUCGAAUUACUGAAGAAUCCUAGGAGCAAGCUUCGGGUUAGGAGAACUUGAUCCCGCAGGUACAAGCUUGGAGUAGACACCGACAGGCCGGGCUUCCUCCACUCUAGACCUCCACUCUAUCUCUCUCAAUCUAGUAGAAACUAGAAGAUCUAUUUCUACCUUACAUUGAUCGCUAAGCCUAAAAAGAAAUAUUAAUUAGAGAAGAGGUUUUCCUUCGAGGGCACCCCUCAGUCUCUAUGAUAAUUUCUUCAUGUCUUCUCCAGGGGCCAGGGGGGCCUUGCUUAUAUAGUCCUCCCCUUCUAUGUGUUUUUGGGUCGAUAGCCGAGGUGGUACUAUGUUUUUCUUGAUCCAAUAGGUUGGUGGAAUAUCAGGAACGAAAGAGUCCUGAUUUGGCUCCAACAGGGGGGCGGGCGCCCAGGCUACCAGGGCGGGCGCCCUGGGCCUGGCCCAGUUUUGCCUCCGCUUCGGUCUCGUGGCUUCUGGAGUCUUCUAGAUGAUGUAAAAUUGCGCGGUGCGUUGAUAUCUCUAUGUAAUCCCGACAUGUAGGCCUUUCUUCCUUAUUUCCUGAUAACCCCCUGCAGAAACAGAUAAACAACAAAACUCGUGGAAUUCUGUUAGAUCAAACCCUAAUUCUAGGUGUUGUUUGCAUAUUGGUCCUUUCUCUUGUUUAUUUAAUAAUUAAAAUUGAUACUUAAGAACCGUCAACAGUGAGAACUUGACAGAGCAGCGGCAAACGUAGCAUUCACUAAAGGACAAUGGUUCAUAAUAAUGAUGGUAGCAAGGAAGAGCAUAUGAUGAACUUGAUAUGGUUAUUAUUGCUUGUAAUAAUCAAGUGAUGUGUUUAGUACAGGUGCUAAUCUAGUGAUAGGCUAAUGAUGAUUAAUAUGAUGCUUUUACAAUAAUAUAGCUAUCAGUUAAGCUUUUGGCAAUUGUUUAGUCAAACCAGCUCCACUAUAUACUUAGCCUUGCAUGAUCCUUGGUGUCUUUUAUGUUUUACUAGACGGGUAAGUCUAGCUGAGUACAUCCUCGUACUCAGGGUUUAUUCCCACCUGUUGUAGAUGAUAUCUUUUAUGACGGCUUCUGCAAAACCUGUCUCCAUCCCGCUGGGGAUGAGGACUAAACCGUUGGGCACGGUUCUCUAAUAAACUCAUACCUGCUGCUUUUGGAUGGAUGGUGUACGACUCUGGCCAUGACAAGAACUUGUGAAAUGAACUUUGGAAAGUGUGUGUAACUAUUUUGCUUCCGCUACUACAAACAUGUGUUGUAAGAACUAAGUAACUCCGAUGUGGUGCCGCUUCGACGGCAAUGAAUGACUAUGUAACAUUCGCUGUGUUCUGUUGAACUAUUACGAUCUUGGUUUGUUGCAAGUUGGUUUGAAGUCCUUCGUGAUUUCAGUUGACUACCGGGAUUAUAUGGGCUCGAGUUUGGAAACUUGAUUGCUUGUCGAUCGUUUCUACACUUGAACUCUUAUAAUUUGGUCGGUUCUGUGACAUUAAGUAUCAAAUUUAAUUAUUAAAUAAACAAAGAAAAGGAUCGAAAUGAAAUCAACAUCCAAAAUUAGGGUUUUAUCUGACAGAAUUCCAUGAGUUUUGGUGUUUGUCUAUUUCUGCAGGGGGUUAUUAGGAAAUAUGGAAGAAAGGCCCACACGCGGGAUUACAUAGAGAUAUUAACGUGCCACACUAUUGACGGUCCUUAAGUAUCAAAUUUAAUUAUCAAAUAAACAAAGAAAAGGAUCUAAAUGAAAUCAACAUCUAGACUUAGGGUUUUAUCUGACAGAAUUCCACGAGUUUUGGUGUUUGUCUAUUUCUGCAGGGGGUUAUCAGGAAAUACGGAAGAAAGGCCCACACGUCGGGAUUACAUAGAGAUAUUAACGUGCCGUGCAAUUAUCUUACAUCUAGAAGACUCCAGAAGCCACGGGAAGGAAGCGGAGGCCGAACGGAGCCAGGACCUGGGCGCCCGCCCAAGUCCUUAGGGCGCCCACCCUGCUACAGUGGCCAAUCACAUUCAACCUCGCGGAUUAUGCUCCACCGACCUAAAGGAUCAAGAAUAACCGUUCAAUCAAUGUCGGUUUGAUCCGACGGCCCAGGUUCACUUGAGGGGACUAUAUAACCAGACCCCCUGGCCCCUGGAGGAGGCACACCCCUUGAUCAUUAUUCAUUAUUCAUAGACAGAGCAAAAGCUAGGGUUUAGAGAUGAGAGCUCUCCUCUCUUCUCUAAACUAGAGUAGAUCUAGAUAGUAGCGAGAUGGAGAGCGAAGGAGGAUUAGAGGAGAGGCCGGCCUGUCGGUUCUUCCUCCGGUUGUACUUCGCCAUGAUCAAGCUCUAAUCAAGCUUGCUCAUGGGAUGACUCUGGUAAUCUACUUCUAAUUCAUUAUGCAAUUACUAAUCAUGUAUGUUCUGGUUCACAACUCUUCUGAGUACUUCUAAUCUAUAGGACCCUAUAGGUUAGAGUUGUAGUAUAGGUGUAAGCGUGGUGCUUAGACCUAGAUUACUUGUGGAUAUCCCCUGACUAGCUGGAUCGUGUGGUAGGCCGCGUAGGUGACAGUUACGUUGGUCCCCUGUAGUCCACCUCUCGUUAGCAGGACGGGUAGGGUUUAUCGGCCUAUGGAUAAGCAUCCUUUGUGGUGUACUCUUAUCACGUGGUUCGUCCCAGACAUAGACAUACCCCUUUGAAGUAGAGAAACCAUAGUUAUCCUCUCUAUUCUGCUACCAUCGCCCAUAUACUAGAAUUGCUCUAUUCUCUAUUCCCAUAUUAUCACUCACUGUUAUCUUACCUUUAAUAUUGUUCUUAUUCGAUUCUAUCAUCUUAACUAUUUACACCUAUCUAUCUAUCUUGGUUAAGUUAGAGCGUAGUUGGUUCUCCCGUUUCCCUGUGGAUACGAUAAAACCUUUAACCGGGUAAAAGCUUCAACGGUAUCCGUGCGCUUGCGGAUUAUCUGUGUGCGUAUAAAUACCAUAGUACACUCUAGUGCCAUGCUGGGGAUGACAACCUAGUAUUCAAGUGGUGUUAGCAAGUGUCAACAAGCAUUUUUGGCGCCGUUGCCGGGGAAACGGUUGCUGAGUUGACUACGAACUAGUUUAAUCAUUUUAUAAAAAAAUAAAUAAAAAAAAAUAUUUUCCUUUUAUCCUUUGCCUCAUCUCUGCUAUUCUUUCUUCUUAUCUAAUCCUUGAUCUCUGGUCUAUUAUGAAUUCAAACAUGUCUAUCUAUGAAUUUCAUAGACCUAUGGGCACACAUCUCGAACCACCAAAAUCUUCAAAGCCUAUCAUAGCAUCUAGUUUUGAGAUAGACCCCGAAUACAUAGAAUUUAUUCAAAAACAACCUUUCUCAGGAGAAGGUGAGGAAAACCCAUACACACACCUAAGAGAGUUUUAUCGAGUCUGUGACCUCCUUCGCAUAGAAGGCAUGUCCGAUGAGACCCUUAAAUGGAAGCUCUUUCUGUUCUCAUUAACGGGAAAAGCUAGACAUUGGUAUAAACUCAAAGUAGGGAGUGUUCAUGGAGAUUGGAAGGACUUAUAUAGUAGUUUUCUUUCUAAAUAUUUUCCAAUCUCCAAAGUGGUGGAACUUCGGCGUGAGAUUCUUUCUUUUAGACAACUGGAAGAAGAAUCUCUUGGCAAAUCAUGGGACCGCUUUAUUAACCUUACUCUCACUGGCCCAAAACUUUCUAUUCCAGAAGAAGUUCUUCUAAUUCACUUUUUUGAGGGCCUUAGUAAGGAAGAUAAGCAAACCCUUCAUGCGGCCUCUGGAGGAUCUUUCCACCACCUAUCCGCUAGUGAAGCUUGGAAUUUGAUUGAUUUAAUGAGCGGAAAGUCUCCUAGCUUUUAUAUCCCUGAGAAAGAGAAAGAACCAGUUCCUAGACAAGAAGAAGAAGUUUUGAUAGCCAGAUCACAACCACUUCAAUCCCAAACUUUAGCUAUCGAUCCUAAACCAUCAAUACCCCAAAAUUCUCCAAGGGAGGAAGGAAUUCCGACCUUAAAUCUUUUAGAUGCUGAUGGUUUAGACUUCUGGUUCUAUAAGAGACCUUCAAGCAGGGAUAAUUCAAAUCAUUGCAAUAAUGUUUCUCUUAGAGAAUGUCCUGGUUCCUAUCAUGAAGAAGUCGAGGAUGACAUAUCAAGUGAAGGAGAGCUAAGCCAUAUAGACAAUUCUAUCUACUCCCCUUCCAUGUUCACAAGUUCUAAAUCCAUCCUUGACCUUAGAGAUCCCUCUUAUCCCUCUUCUUUUCAGUCUCAUGGUGAUCCUAGCAAUUCACCAAGACGACCAAACCAUAGGAGUCAUGAAGACCAUAAGGAUGGCAUGUCAAGUAAUGUCAUAGAAGGAGAGCUAAGCCAUAUAGAAAAUUCUAACACCUCCCCUAUUUUGAUCACAAGUUCUAAAUGGCUAGAAUGUGGAAAAUGGAUGGAUAAGGAAGAAGCCUUAAUGGGUUCUGAUUUUGGCUCAAUUUCAAAUGGUGAGUUCUUGACUCCCUUUGAAGAUGAGAUUCAUCCAACUACAGAAGAGGACAUAGGUGAGACCAAUCCAGGAGAAACUCUGAAGAUGAGCAUGGAAUUUAUUUCAUAGCCACUUUGUUUACUCCAUGCUCAUAUGCAACAUCUUCCCAAUCUAUUGGUCUCUCCGACAUCACCACACUUGAGAUCUCCAACCCUCUCUUCCUUUCUAUUUAUAAAAAUUUUAAAAGAGCGGUUGUCGAUGCAUAUGUCUAUAAUAAAUAUUGCAGAUCUCGUUGAGUUGAUCUAGAUAUAGGUUGGCGUCGGAGGGGAAACCACUUCGCCAACAUAAACUAAUGGUUUCCCAAGGACAAGCUUAGUGUCUUAAAAUAAGCAUUGAUCAGAUCGUAACAUGAGCCUUUAAUUAUUUGCAACAUUACCUUGUGUAUUGAGCAUAUAAGGAUAAUUGUAAAAAAAAUAUAUAUAUAUUCCUUCGGGUAUUCUUGUCACUAACCUUUCUAAGAUUGGAGCAAGAAGAUCGGAUGAAUGACGAGCACAAGGUAUGUCCAACCAAUCAUCAUACAACAUUGAAUUAAAUUCAUCCAAACUUGAAUUUUGCAAAAUUCAAGCUUGGGGGAGUACUUUACAUAAAAACAUCCUUUGCCUUGUUGCUAUGCUGGUUGUCCUUACCUUUGAGACAUGCUCAAUUUGUUAAAUACUAAUCACACUACUUCAUCUCCACUUGAGUAAAUCUCUAUAAAUGCUGUCAUGCUACCUUUGUCUAUUUACUAGCAAGUGUUGGUUUGGAAGUACUCGCCAUACUUCCAUUGGCAUUUAAAUUAAGCAUGGUGCUUAGGUUAAAUAGCCUUCCUUAAUCUGAUUAGACAUGGAGUCUAGUUUGGUUAUUGAACUAAAAAAACUGCUUGAGUAGAUAUUGGUAUAUUUUGUCGGACUAACCCCUGCAGAAAAACUUUCAAUAUCGAUUUGGGAAGUCCUGGGAUAAACUCACAUCAGAGACGAAGAGAGUGACACAUGAAGUUUAACAAUUUGCACAAGAAGGACAUAGCUCAUUCAUCAUAGAGAGAUGAUCCAUGGAGGGUGUCACAAACACGAUGCACAACCGCUAAGAAAGGAAAGCUUCCACAAGAUGAUACUGUACCAUCACUCUUCAAGCAAGGUAACAUCUUAAGGUACUUGACUAUCACUUUUAUAAGCUUCUCCUUGGUUCUGGCGUUCAUAUAAAUAAAAGAGACAAACGUGUAUGAUUUACAACUCUAGAUUAACCAACCCUACUGAUUAAACAUGUUUAGUCCUUUAAUCCUUGUUCUUAGUACUACCUCCAUGAUCCCACACUCCUAAUCAUAUGAGCUAAAAUGUUACACAUUCAAUCAUUGUGAGAUAUAAAGAAAAAGACAUAUACAUAAAUAGAUUAUCUUUCCAUAAGGUUGAGCGAUCUGAUCUGACAAAUGUUAUAAGUGCUACACUCAUGAACUUAUCAUCCAUCAACUUUGUCUUGCUCACUAUGCUUAAGGUUAGAGAAGAACAAAUACACUUUUGGUUCUGUUGGUGUUUUCCACCAACAGGGCCCAUGCACUUGAUCUCUGCCUUGUCUCUAUGAGCAGGUAUACUACGAGCACAAACACACUGAGCAAGAUACUGCUAACACCUCACUUCGAACUGCUGGGCAAACGAAGAACAUGGGUGACACUGUAUUAAAAGGUGCAGACGUCAAGGUCCGCACCUGAAUCAAAUGACGCACCUGAAGAAUGAACACGAUGAGAAGUCUUGACAAGAAGACUUAAAACAUUGAACCCUCGCCGAAAGGUAAGAUUGGUAGUUAUCCAUAUUUAUCCUUUCUGCAUUCCCUUUUCCAUUAAAUUAUUUACUUUCCUUAAAUAGAUUAUUAGUUAAUCAUGCUAUCUUGAAAAGAAAAUAAAAAUAUUAAAAAAAUACUAAGCCCCAUGUGAGUAUACGAGUGGCAUAAAACCCAUAAGUACCUUCACUGUGGUGGCAUAAAAAUAAAAUAAAUAUUUCUUUUUUACUUUAUAAAAUAAAAAUAUAAAAACAGGGAGUAAUAUUUAUUGAGGAAGCUCAACGUGAUGAAGGCUAGAUAUUUAUGCUAACACUUAAUUAGUUCCACAAGCUUUGUUGUCUAUUUGAGCUCCACAGAAUUUAAGAAUCAAGAAGACUAGCAGAUGGAGGACAUUCUAAUCGCUGUCAGAAUGCUGCUGACUUUCAAAUACACCUCUGCCACCUGCUAGCUACAUCAAGAGAAAUUACGUCAAAAUUCAGCUUGGGGAGAGCACCCCCUAUUUAUCUCGCUAAGUAUUUCUACCUAUCUUUAUACUUAUAUUAUAUUAGAAUAUUAAAAUACAUAAACUAUGAAAAACCAAAUAAAGAUUUUGUGCUUAUAUAUAUAUAUCUUUUGCUUAGUGUGUUUAAUAAAUAAAGUGGCUAUGCUAAUCUGAAUCUUAAUAAUAAAACUCUAGCAUGGAUAUGAUGAAUAGUUGCUCUGCCUAAUUUGCAAAUUUGAAGUUCUCUCUCAAGUUUAGACAUAACUGUUAUAAUUUAAAGCUUGCUCUAGAUCUAAACUUGUGGGAUGAAAACUUGAUCUGAAAUCUAAGUUGUUAACGGAUAUGAUAUGGGAAGGUUGAGCUGCUGUUUAUCUAUUCCUAGAGAUGCUAGAAUUCUGGAGAAUUUUAUCUUUGAAAAAUCUUUAAAAUGUUGCAUGAUGAGUUCCUGUAUGAUGAAAGUUUAAAUUCCUACCACAGCCAUAUAUACAUGCUUGCUAGACUUUGAGCCACACAUUUAUUAUUUACUGCUUAUGAGCAUUGAGUGUGGUCAAGCUGUAUAGACCCUUAGGAGCUUGUCAUGUGGUUAAAUCAAGAUUCACUUGCACGUUCACUCAUAUAUAUGCUACUUCUACUCCGGAAGUACCAUCCACAUAUAUCCAUCCAUUUCCAUCUCUAGAAUCACCUAAAAAUAUUCUACUCCUAAUUCGGGAGAGAAUAGCCAAAAACAUCUGUGUUUUUCUCUUGUGAAAUAAAUGCUCAAGUUAUCUUGCUACUACCACUUGCUAUAUUAUCUCAAGAGAUGAGUGCUCCGAAAAAAAAGAAAAGAAAAAAUAUAUAUAUAUAAACGAGGAAAUAAAAAGGGGCAAGUGCCCGGAACCUCGAAAGAAAAGAAAAAGAGUGAGACGAGAGGUAAAAAUGGACAAGUGUCCGACAGUAGAAUUAGGGGUACAGGAUACCCAUCUGAGAGAAAAGAAAAAGAAGAGCAUCUCAUUCUCCUCAUAAAGUUUCAAAAAGCAAGGAAGGUAUGUAUCCCCUCAAAAGAGCAAAAGUAGAAUUAGACUUUCACCAUUGUUAUCACCAUCAUCACCAUACACUAUUCAUUCGCCACACAUGCACAUCUUGAUUUGGCUUAUUGAUUUGUUUCUUUGGAUCCAUGGUUUGACUAUACAAUAAAUGUCUUGUAAGUAUGUAUACUUUAUCUCCCACCUAUGAGCUCCAGAUAUUAAAGCCUUAUUAGAGUAGGGUGAGAGAGAAGGCAAUGUCACUAUGCCUUAUACCACAAAUACCACAUAUUUUGAGAGAAGGCAUAUACCAUCACUGCCUUGGUAAGGAUCCAGAAAUACCACAAAAGAGAGAUAUGAGAGAGUCAUACAAAGGAAUCUCUGAGUUUUAUUUGAAAAUCUGCAAAAACUCCAGAGCUAUAGCUGAUCAAGAAUAAGAGACAUGGCACUUGACUGGACUGUUCUAUCUUUUAACCACUCAAGACAGAAGUGACGGUUACAAGUCCCAUGGUGAAAGGUAAAGUAAGUAAGUUUUAGUUCUUGACAGUUUACUCUAACUCAGAGAUGAGAUCUUAUUUAAAAGCAUGUGUAUCGUCAAAUUUUUAAGAUAUUGCAACAACUUCUGAUCCAUUGCUGAGUCUAUCCUUGCUCAGGGACGAGCAAGAGGUAAGCUUGGGGGAGUUUGUUGACGGUCCUUAAGUAUCAAAUUUAAUUAUCAAAUAAACAAAGAAAAGGAUCUAAAUGAAAUCAACAUCUAGACUUAGGGUUUUAUCUGACAGAAUUCCACGAGUUUUGGUGUUUGUCUAUUUCUGCAGGGGGUUAUCAGGAAAUACGGAAGAAAGGCCCACACGUCGGGAUUACAUAGAGAUAUUAACGUGCCGCGCAAUUAUCUUACAUCUAGAAGACUCCAGAAGCCACGGGAAGGAAGCGGAGGCCGAACGGAGCCAGGACCUGGGCGCCCGCCCAAGUCCUUAGGGCGCCCGCCCUGCUACAGUGGCCAAUCACGUUCAACCUCGCGGAUUAUGCUCCACCGACCUAAAGGAUCAAGAAGAACCGUUCAAUCAAUGUCGGUUUGAUCCGAUGGCCCAGGUUCACUUGAGGGGACUAUAUAACCAGACCCCCUGGCCCCUGGAGGAGGCACACCCCUUGAUCAUUAUUCAUUAUUCAUAGACAGAGCAAAAGCUAGGGUUUAGAGAUAAGAGCUCUCCUCUCUUCUCUAAACUAGAGUAGAUCUAGAUAGUAGCGAGAUGGAGAGCGAAGGAGGAUUAGAGGAGAGGCCGGCCUGUCGGUUCUUCCUCUGGUUGUACUUCGCCAUGAUCAAGCUCUAAUCAAGCUUGCUCAUGGGAUGACUCUGGUAAUCUACUUCUAAUUCAUUAUGCAAUUACUAAUCAUGUAUGUUCUGGUUCACAACUCUUCUGAGUACUUCUAAUCUAUAGGACCCUAUAGGUUAGAGUUGUAGUAUAGGUGUAAGCGUGGUGCUUAGACCUAGAUUACUUGUGGAUAUCCCCUGACUAGCUGGAUCGUGUGGUAGGCCGCGUAGGUGACAGUUACGUUGGUCCCCUGUAGUCCACCUCUCGUUAGCAGGACGGGUAGGGUUUAUCGGCCUAUGGAUAAGCAUCCUUUGUGGUGUACUCUUAUCACGUGGUUCGUCCCAGACAUAGACAUACCCCUUUGAAGUAGAGAAACCAUAGUUAUCCUCUCUAUUCUGCUACCAUCGCCCAUAUACUAGAAUUGCUCUAUUCUCUAUUCCCAUAUUAUCACUCACUGUUAUCUUACCUUUAAUAUUGUUCUUAUUCGAUUCUAUCAUCUUUCCUAUUUACACCUAUCUAUCUAUCUUGGUUAAGUUAGAGCGUAGUUGGUUCUCCCGUUUCCCUGUGGAUACGAUAAAACCUUUAACCGGGUAAAAGCUUCAACGGUAUCCGUGCGCUUGCGGAUUAUCUGUGUGCGUAUAAAUACCAUAGUACACUCUAGUGCCAUGCUGGGGAUGACAACCUAGUAUUCAAGUGGUGUUAGGAAGUGUCAACACACACAAUUAUCUUACAUCUAGAAGAGUCCAGAAGCCACGGGAACGAACGGGAAGGCGAUCGGGCCCGGGGGCAGGGCGCCCGCCCUCCCCCCUAGGGCGCCCGCCCUGACCUAGAGUCCAAUCAGGACUCGCUUCGCGGAUUACGCUCCACCGACCUAAAGGAUCAAGGAUAACCGUUCAAUCAAUGUCGGUUUGAUCCAACGGCCCAUAUUCACUUGGAAGGACUAUAAAACAGGACCCCCUGGCCCCUGGAGAAGAGCACCUCUCAACCCUAAUUCAUUAUUCAUCAGGGAGAAGAAGCCUCUGAUCAAGCCUAGAGCCACCACAUCAAUUAGAUAUCUAGAUUAGCAUAGCUACAUAGGAUUAGAACUAGAAGGAGUCAAUCUUCGAUUGGUUUCCGGAUCUGUAAAGAGGAUUCUUGGUAAUUCUCUAUUGUUCUUCAAUAUUAUGAAUAUGACUUUGUUCUACUUCAAUAUAUUGAUUAUGACUUUGCUCUACUUGUUUGUAUUCGCAAUUAUAUUGUUCUUAGUUUAUCAUAGUUAUAUACUUGGCUUAGUUAGAUUGGAAUUAUAUACAUGUUUAGGAUCGUAUAGCGUUUAUCCAUCAGAUCCAUGGGUAAAUGAUAGAUAUUGUGUAGGCGUUGUUCUUAUACCGUAUUUAUCUGCGAUUGUACCCUAUAUGCCAGAUCGUGGGGUAGUUCGUGGUAGUGACAGCUCCAUUGAUUCUUAUAUAGUCCCCCUCUCGUGUAUAGGGCUGGCAGAGCAACAUUAUUACAGGGGAGUGAUUGCUAUGUUUCUCAUAUUCCUUGAUAAUAUCACUAUGCACGGGUGUAAUCUUGUCUCACAAUGAUUGCUAAGUAUAAUUGCACUAAUUAUGAUAUGCUAGACUGUAUAGUUAAGAAUAACUUAGGAAAUUGUUGACGGUUCUUAAGUAUCAAUUUUAAUUAUCAAAUAAACAAGAGAAAGGACCAAUAUGCAACCAUCACCUAGAAUUAGGGUUUGAUCUGACAGAAUUCCACGAGUUUUGUUGUUUAUCUAUUUCUGCAGGGGGUUAUCAGGAAAUAAGGAAGAAAGGCCCACAUGUUGGGAUUACAUAGAGAUAUCAACGCACCACACAAUUCUACAUCAUCUAGAAGACUCCAGAAGCCACGAGACCGAAGCGGAGGCGAAGCUGGGCCAGGCCCAGGGCGCCCGCCCUGGAAGCCUGGGCGCCCGCCCCCCUAUUGGAGCCAAUUCAGGACUCCUUCGCUCGGGAUAUUCCACCGACCUAUUGGAUCAAGAAAAACAUAGUACCACCUCGGCUAUCGACCCAAAAACGCAUAGAAGGGGAGGACUAUAUAAGCGAGGCUCCCCUGGCCCCUGGAAGACAUGAAGAAAUUAUCAUAGAGACUGAGGGGUGCCCUCGAAGGAAAACCUCUUCUCUAAUUAAUAUUUCUUUUUAGGCUUAGCAAUCAAUGUAAGGUAGAAAUAGAUCUUCUAGUUUCUACUAGAUUGAGAGAGAUAGAGUGGAGGUAUAGAGUGGAGGAAGCCCGGCCUGUCGGUGUCUACUCCAAGCUUGUACCUGCGGGAUCAAGUUCUCCUAACCCGAAGCUUGCUCCUAGGAUUCUUCAGUAAUUCGACUUCUAAAUUCUAGUAAGUUCUUGUUUUAUUGUUCUUAUGGUUUAUGAGUUUACUUUAAUCUCUUUGCGUAGAGUUUAGAGUAAUCAUUGCUGGCGUAAACGUGGUGUUUAGGCUGGGGUACUCAUAGAUAUUCCCUGACUAGCUGGACCGUGGUAGUAGUGAGGAACGUGACAAUUCCGAGCUACCUUUGUAGAUCACAUCUCGUUAGCAGGAAGGAUAGGGUUUAUAGGUGCGGGUUGAACAUCCUUUGUGGUGUCUAGAUUCCGUUAGCCUCCCCAUUAGAAUAGUAGAUCAUCCUUACCAAGGUUAGAAGGAGACUACGGUUGCAGUCUUCUCUAUUUAUCACUCACAUCGAAAGACAUUCUUUGUGCCUAAAGGGAUAGUAGCAAUAGAUUUGGUUAGUCAGAUGCACCCUUUCUCCCAGUGGUAAAAAUAUAAAUAUGAUACUCUGGAAAACCUCCCGGGUGAAAUGCUCACCGAUAUCCGUGCGCUUGCGGAUCAUUUCCUUAUUGCGUUACCAAAUAUCAACAAGCAUUUCUGGCGCCGUUGCCGGGGAGAAAGACGGUUUGCUGAGAUAACUUUGAGUCUUGCUAUUAUCUUGUAUUAUACUUUUAUACUUUUAUUCUUUUAUCUUUUUAUUUUUAUCUUUAUGGAUAACUCAAAUUCCAUACCUAUUAUUAAAUUCUUUGCACCUUCGGAGACCAGCCAUAGACCAUGGGAGUCAACACGUCCUGCCCCUAAUUAUGAUCUGUGUCCGGAGUUGAUUGCAAUAGGUCAAAACCAACCCUUUUCUAUAGCCGAGGUCCUAUCUUUUAAUCAAGAAGAUAAUGCACUUUUAGCUACACCUAGGGAGUCUUUUAAUCUUUCUAUAAAUUCUGGUUUAGACCUAGCCUUGCAAGACCAUGUUUUUCUUAGAUAUUUUCACAUUGGUCUUAAUCAUAUAACCUUUGGUAGAGUCCUUCUUUCUUUAUCAGUUAGUAACGGAAGGUAUGUCUUCAUUCGUGGACAUCCUUCUUGUACUAGUCUUCAUAGAAAAAUCAUAGAGAUAGAGAAGGAAUCAUCUCCCAUACAAGGAGAGGAAGUUUCAAUAGCCGAUUUCCAAACUUUCCAAUCCCAUGAUUCGGCUAUCCAACCCAUCCUUGAGCCUAAUAAUCUCUACUAUGCUCUUUCUCUUGAACCUCCCGAUAAUCCUAUGAAUCUCUCUAGACAUCCCAUGCAUAAGGAGGAUCGAGAAGAGCAACAUCAAUGGCUAGAGGGCAUUAAAAAUUCAUGUGCUAUCACCACAUUUGAGAUCUCCAACCCUCUCUUCUUUUCUAUUUAUAAAAACUUUAAAAGAGCGGUUGUCGAUGCAUAUGUUUAUAAUAAAUAUUGCAGAUCUCGUCGAGUUAAUUGAUGGUUUCCCAAGGACAAGCUUAGUGUCCUAAAACAAGCACUUAUCAGAUUGUAACAUGAACUUCUAAUUACUUGCAACAUUACCUUGUGUAUUGAGCAUAUAAGAUAAUUGUAGAAAUAUUCCUUCGGGUAUUCUUGUCACUAACCUUUCUAGGAUUGGAGCAAGAAGACCGGAUGAAUGACAAGCGCAAGGUAUGCCCAACCAAUCAACAUGCAACAUUGAAUUAAAUUCAUCCAAUCUUGAAUUUUGCAAAAUUCAAGCUUAGGGGAGUACUUCACAUAAAAACAUCCUUUGCCAUGUUGCUAUGUUGGUUGUCCUUACCUUUGAGACAUGCUCAAUUUGUUAAAUACUAAUCACACUACUUCAUCUCCACUUAAGUAGAUCUCUAUAAAUGCCAUCACGCUACCUUUGUUUAUCCUAGUAAGUGUUAGUUUGGAAGUACUGCACAUACUUCUAUUGGCUUUUAAAUUAAGCAUGGUGCUUAGGUUAAACAGCCUUCCUUAAUCUGAUUAGACAUGGAGUCUAGUUCGGUUAUCGAACUAAAAAUUGCUUGUAUAGACAUUGGUAUAUUUUGUGGGACUAACCCCUGCAGGAAAACUUUCAAUAUCAACCUGGGAAGUCCUGAGAUAAACUCACAUUGGAGAUAAAGAAAGUGACACAUGAAGUUUAACAAUUUGCACAAGAAAGACGUAACUCAUAAGAGAUGAUCCAUGGAGGGAGCCACAAACACGAUGCACAACCGCUAGAAAGGAAAGCUUCUACAAGGUGAUACUGUACCAUCACUCUUCAAAGGUAACAUCUUAAGGUACUUGACUAUCCUUUUAUAAGUUUCUCCUUGGUUCUGGCGUUCACAUAAAUAAAGAGACAAACAUGUAUGAUUUAUAACUCUAAAUUAACCAAACCUAACUGAUUCAACAUGUUUAGUCCCUUAAUCUUUGUUCUUAGUACUACCUUCGUAAUCCCACGCUCCUAAACAUAUAAGCUAAUAUGUUGCACAUUCAAUCUUUGGAAGAUAAAAAAAAUAGAUAGAUUAUCUUUCCAUUAGGUUGAGCCAUCUGAUCUAACAAAUGUUUUAAAUGCUACACUCAUGAUCCAUCAACUUUGUCUUGCUCACUAUGCUUAAGGUUAGAAAAGAAUAAAUACACUUUUGGUUCUGUUGGUGUUUUCCACCAACAGAGCCCAUGCACUUGAUCUCUGCCUUGUCUCUAUGAGCAGGACACAUUUUGAGAAACGUGAAGGCGUUUUACAACUCCCAGAUUCCAUUAAGUGAAGAACCAGGAUCUACGAGCACAAACACAAUGGAGAUCAGACACUUAGUUUCCCAAAGGAAAUAUUAAAGAACCUCUGUGUCCAAGUUGGUACCUUGUACGCUCCAGCAAACUUCGUGGUGGUACAGACUGGUACUGAGGAGAGGGCACCCAUCAUCUUACGGAGGCCAUUCCUAAACACCAGAGCUGUCAUCUACGCUAAUGAUGCCAAGAUCAGUCUCUACAUCAAGGGGAAGAAGGAGACUUUUCUUCAAGAACAAGACUACAUAAACUUCAGAGCAAUCCCGACAUGAACCAAGGAAGAGGACCAACAGGAGGAACAGGAACAAGUAAAUGUGGACCGAGUCAGCUAAGAUGGUCACUGCAGCUCAAGGAGGUCAAGAUCGUCGACUCAAGUCACCUUUCUUGAUCAAGGACGACCCUGGUGUUCCAAUCAUCGAGUGCACAACCAAUAGAUACUCUUUUUAGAAAACACUCUACGACACCGGAUCUAACGUCAACAUAAUGGCCGCAGUCACUUAUCAGCUCCUGCAUGGAACCAUGCCCCUACAACCAAUAUAUAUUUAGCUCCAGAUGAUUUUCAGAACAUUGAUAUGGGAGAAGACGAGUACGAUCCACCCAUCAUCCUUGGAAGACCAUUCCUCAACACUAUCCAAGUUAUCAUCUACAUUGGAACCGGAGAAGUCCACGUGUAUUUCCCCUCUGAGAAGGUACGCCAUUACUUUAAUGAUUCUAACUAUAUAGUUGAAGAUUCUAAGCAGGUCAGGACAAGAAGAAGACGACGCAACCGCAACCAGAGGAGGCAAAUCAUCAAGGAUGGAUGGGCAGACUACGAAGGAAAAGUUGUAAGGUCAGAAGACGUUGAGUUUAAACAGAAUUAUCCAGAGGAGACCGAAGCACCAAGUCAGGUGUGGAAAAGGAAGAUAACUAUACAUGAAGAGGAGGCGCUACCGGAAGUACCGACUACGCCACCCAACGAACCUCAGGAUAAUUGAGAAGGAGGAGAGUCCCGUUCGGAGGACUUAAAAACACCGAACGCCUUGCCAAGAGGUAAACUUGGUAGUUAUCCUUUCCCUUUCAAUUAUUUCAAGUAGUUCACUUAGUUAAUUAAGUUCUAAACAGAAAGUAAAAAUGUGAAAAACAGUAAGCCCCAUGUGAGGAUACGAGUGGCAUAAAACCCAUAAGUACAUUCACUGUGGUGUCAUAAAAAUAAAACAAAAAUAUUUUUCUGCUUUAUAAAAUAAAAAUAUAAAAACAGGGAGUAAUAAUUAUUAAGGAGUCUCAACAUGAUAAAGGCUAGAUAUUUAUGCUAACACUUAAUUAGUUCCACAAGCUUUGUUGUCUAUUUGAGCUCCACAGAAUCUAAGAAUCAAGAAGACUGGCAGACGGAGGAUAUUCUAAUCGCUGUCACAAUGCUGCUGACUUUCAAAUACACCUCUGCCACCUGCUAGCUACAUCAAGAGAAAUUACGUCAAAAUUCAGCUUGGGGGAGAGCACCCCAUUUAUCUCGAUAAGUAUUUCUAUCUAUCUAUCUCUAUACUUAUAUUCUUUUAGAAUAUAAAUAUACAUAACUAUGAAAAACCAAAUAAAGAUUUUAUGCUUAUAUAUAUAUAUGUCUUUUGCUUAGUGUGUUUAAUAAAUAAAUAAAGUGGCUAUGCUAAUCUGUAUCUAAAUAAAACUCAAGCAUGGAAAUGAUGAAUAGUUGCUCUGCCUAAUUUGCACAUUUUAAGUUCUCUCUCAAGUUUAGACAUAACUGUUAUAAUUUAAAGCUUGCUCUAGACCUAAACUUGUGGGAUGAAAACUUGAUAUGGGAAGGUUGAGCUGCUGUUUAUCUGUUUCUAGAGAUGCUAGAAUUCUGGAGAAUUUUAUCUUUGGAAAUCUUUAAAAUGUUGCAUGAUGAGUUCCUGUAUGAUGAGAGUUUAAAUUCCUACCACAGGCAUAUAUACAUGCUUGCUAGACUUCGAGCCACACAAUUACUUUUUAGUGCUUAUGAGCAUUGAGUGUGGUCAAGCUGUGUGGACCCUUAGGAGCUUGUCAUGUGGUUAAAUCAAGAUUCACUUGCACGUUCACUCACACAUGCUACUUCUACUCCGGAAGUACCAUCCACAAAUACCCAUACAUUUCCAUCUUCAGAAUCACCCAAAAAUAUUCUACUUCUAAUCCGGGAGAGAAUAGCCAAAAAUAAUUUUGUUCUUCCUUAUGUAAUAAAUGCCUCAAGAUCAAUAAAGAGUAUUAUUAUUAUGUCUUGUGUGUCUCUACUUUAUUUUUGUGCAAGAAAGCAGAAAAAAAGUAUGGGGGAGAUCCCUCGACAUGCUAAACACACUCCGACUACACCACUCCACGAUUCAGGUACACACUUUGCACACUUUACUCUACACAUAUAUAUAUUUUAGAUUAUGCAGAAUAUUGUUCCCGACAUGAUAAAAUAAAAAGAUUAAAAUAUUUCUAAUCAUGAUUAAUCUCAAUCUGUGAUAUUUCCUGAAAACUUGCAAUUAGUAUAAAAUCAUUUUUUUAAAAAAAAACCCUGUGUUACUUAAGUCAAGAUGGAAUAUGUGAUGGUAGAGUAUGAAGUUUCUUAUUCUUGAUAUCAUUGUUGCUUGAAGAAUUUAUUUCAAAAUGUUCAAAUUCCUAGCUACCAUCCUCAGUGUUUUAUAUGCCUGAUAAAACUGAAAUAUUAAAUAUGAUUAUAAAAGCUAUCUGCUCUGUAUUGAGUUUGUUCAAAAUGAGUUAGACCCUUGUUGAGAGAUUUAUCAUGCUCCCAAGAUCAAGACACUAUUUCAGUAAGAUUCACUCUUCCGAAGUAUUAUUGCAUUAGAGGCAUGGGCUAUGCAAAAAUAGAAGAUAUUUCGAGGAAAUAAAAAGGAGCAAGUGCUCGACAACCUCGCAGAAAAAAAUGGACAAGUGUCUGGCAGUAGAAUUAGAGGUACCUCGGUAUCCACUUAAAAAAAAGAGAAAAGAGAGAAAAAAAAUGAUAGCCCAUGGUCCCUCUAAUAAGCAAUAUGCUAGUAAGAGUUGACAAAGAUUUUAAUUUUCAAAGUCUUUGAUCUAAGAGUAUGACAUUUCCCUCCUCGGAUCCCGUUUUGAUCAGGCAAUAAAUCCAAAGUAAGUAUGCUUGAGAAUUUUUGCAAAAUAAAACAGCCUCAGUGAGAUAUAUAUAUAAAAGAUAAUGAGUGAUCUGAGAGAACCUAUGAGGAUCAAAAGGUAUGCUAACUUUCUUUCAAAAAUAUACAAAAAAAACUCCAAGUGACAGGAUUGAGAAGAAAGGAUCUCUACUCUUAUACUUCCCUGACUAUGGUACACAGUGAAAUUUUUUAACACCCUGCAAUUGUAAAGAGAAUGUUUUAAAUGUUUACCCCAGAUAUUUUUCUUAACCAUCCUUUUCUCGAGGACGAGUAAAAGCCCAAGUAUGGGGGUAUUUGUUGACGGUUCUUAAGUAUCAAUUUUAAUUAUCAAAUAAACAAGAGAAAGGACCAAUAUGCAACCAUCACCUAGAAUUAGGGUUUGAUCUGACAGAAUUCCACGAGUUUUGUUGUUUAUCUAUUUCUGCAGGGGGUUAUCAGGAAAUAAGGAAGAAAGGCCCACAUGUCGGGAUUACAUAGAGAUAUCAACGCACCGCGCAAUUCUACAUCAUCUAGAAGACUCCAGAAGCCACGAGACCGAAACGGAGGCGAAGCUGGGCCAGGCCCAGGGCGCCCGCCCCCUGCUGGAGCCAAAUCAGGACUCUUUCGUUCGGGAUAUUCCACCGACCUAUUGGAUCAAGAAAAACAUAGUACCACCUCGGCUAUCGACCCAAAAACGCAUAGAAGGGGAGGACUAUAUAAGCGAGGCUCCCCUGGCCCCUGGAAGACAUGAAGAAAUUAUCAUAGAGACUGAGGGGUGCCCUCGAAGGAAAACCUCUUCUCUAAUUAAUAUUUCUUUUUAGGCUUAGCAAUCAAUGUAAGGUAGAAAUAGAUCUUCUAGUUUCUACUAGAUUGAGAGAGAUAGAGUGGAGGUAUAGAGUGGAGGAAGCCCGGCCUGUCGGUGUCUACUCCAAGCUUGUACCUGCGGGAUCAAGUUCUCCUAACCCGAAGCUUGCUCCUAGGAUUCUUUAGUAAUUCGACUUCUAAAUUCUAGUAAGUUCUUGUUUUAUUGUUCUUAUGGUUUAUGAGUUUACUUUAAUCUCUUCGCGUAAAGUUUAGAGUAAUCAUUGCUGGCGUAAACGUGGUGUUUAGGCUGGGGUACUCAUAGAUAUUCCCUGACUAGCUGGACCGUGGUAGUAGUGAGGAACGUGACAAUUCCGAGCUAUCUUUGUAGAUCACAUCUCGUUAGCAGGAAGGAUAGGGUUUAUAGGUGUGGGUUGAACAUCCUUUGUGGUGUCUAGAUUCCGUUAGCCUCCCCAUUAGAACAGUAGAUCAUCAUUACCAAGGUUAGAAGGAGACUACGGUUGCAGUCUUCUCUAUUUAUCACUCACAUCGAAAGACAUUCUUUGUGCCUAAAGGGAUAGUAGCAAUAGAUUUGGUUAGUCAGAUACACCAUUUCUUCCAGUGGUAAAAAUAUAAAUACGAUACUCUGGAAAACCUCCCGGGUGAAAUGCUCACCGAUAUCCGUGCGCUUGCAGAUCAUUUCCUUAUUGCGUUACCAAAUAUCAACAGAAAUAUUCUUGUAGUUCGUCCUAAUUCCAUGCUAAUGACUAGCUAGAAUAUCUAAUUGAGGUGCUUAUCAUAUUUAUAUGUGGCUAAGUUAUGCUGAUCAAAUUAAUUAUCUUUGUCACCAUUCAUUACUUUAUAUAUCCUUAUGUGACACUUAUCCCUGUAUGAAAGAGUUAGAUAAAUGUUCUCAAUUAUACAUGCAAUGAUAGAUACUCAAUUCUAUAUUCUAUUCUAUAAUCAAAUUUGAUGGUUACUAAUCCCUUCCCCAUGGUAAAAAUAUAAAUAACGAUACCUGGAAUACUUCCCGGUUAAAAUGCUACAUCGGUAUUAAUCUGUGCGCUUGUAGAUCCCAUUUGUUAUUUAUUUAGAUGAGCAAUUGCAUAUUUCAAUACCGCGUCUCUUAUGUCAUGCUGGGGAUGACAACUUGGCUUAAGUGGCAUGAGGGAUAGGUUUGGCAUUUUUGGCGCCGUUAUCAGAAUUAGAAAACUAAGUCUACUUUUGGUAGUGACGUUAAGAAUGCCCAACAUCCCCGUAGUUGUUUGGGGUCGGCUCGUCUUCCAUGGAUUCUUUUGAUGGUUGAGCCGGCCCUUCUGCCUGUGUUUCCUCCUAUUGUCGUGGCGCCCUUCCUAUCUUAUGGUUAGGAUAAGGGGGAUCACGAGUGGUCUUACCCCCUCUCGUGGUCACCGCAUCUACAUUUUCAACAGAAUUAGGAGAAACAACAGCUUUAGCGGCAGAAGCAAGCUGAGCUACUUUUAACUCGAUCUUCUUAUUAAAAGCUAGCUGAUCUCUAAUAGACAGGGUCAGGCCAUCAAACUUUGUAUUUAUGUUGACAAACAUUUGAUCAUUUUCAGAAAGCUUUUUAACAAGAUUUUUAUUGAUUUUGGCCUGACCUAGCACAAGAUCCUUCAGCGAAGGCUGGGAGGAAUUAAAACUGGAGUAAUUACCUUGGGUGCGGUUCUGGUUGUUCCACCCAUUACCUUGCUGUUGUUGGCGGAACCCAUUGUUGAUGAACGAUGCGUCCUCCUGGGUUCCAGGGCAAUUGAUACCCAUGUGGCAAACAUUCCCACAUUCCUCACACGUCAUGCAUGAGUCGAUGGCUUGGACAGUGCCGGUGGUAGGAUUAGUGGCCUGUCCGUCCAAUCUCUUCAUUAGUAGGUCUAUUUUUACAGCAAGCAGAUACGUCUCCUUCACGGUAUGCAUGCCUUUUUGUGUUUUGCGUCCCUAUCCCCAACUCUGGUUGGCUACCAUCUUCUCAAUUAAUGUCGUAGCAUUCUCGAUGGCCAGGGAGAGGAACGUGCCUCCAGCAGCGGCAUCGACGUGCCCCUUAGACAUGGGCGAGAGUCCCUUGUAGAAAUUCUGAAACACGAGCCAAUCUUCCAUCCUGUGGUGGGGGCAGGCCCGGAUGUACUCCUGGAGCCUUUCUCAAGCCUCAGGAAUGGAUUCGAGUGAAGUCUGCUUGAAGUUUGAUAUCUUUCCCUUAGAGCAUUUGUUUUGCUCAUGGGGAAAAAUUUCGCGAGGAACGCCGCGGAACAUUUGUCCCACGUGUUGACAGCUUCCUUGCUCUGGUAGAACCAUUGCUUCGCCUUCCCCGAGAGGGAGAAGGGAAACAAGUGGAGCUUGACGCUUUUAGGUGCGACAUCCUUGAUGAUGAUGGUUUCGCAUAGCUCAAGGAAGUUUUGUAGAUGCACAUUUGCGUCCUCACUUGGCAAACCACAAAACUGGUUUGCCUGCACCAUCAUGAGUAGGACAGUGUGAAGCUCGAAGUUUCCAUUCCCAGUGUUGACUGCGGGCCCAACGGGCACGUUGGCAACAGCGGGGGUUGGAAUAGUCGCGGAGUGACCUGGCCAUGGUGGUUGAAUCGGAUGGUGUGCGGGGGUGAUUGGUUCGACUGUCGGCGGCGUGGUAGAGGAAGAAACGACACGAGUCCUUUUCUUCCUUAGGAGUGCCUCCGGAUUGUUGUUGAAGUUUGCCAGCAAGUUGAAACCGCUCAUACACUAUCCUGUUUUCAUUCCAAUAAAAAGAGGAAGAAAACAACAAAGAUUUCCUGCUUAAACUAUGGCUACCAAUGCUUAUUUUGUAAUCAAUGCUAAAUGUCAAUGCUAGAUGUUUGCAUUGUUCUUUGCCCUCCCCGGCAAUGGCACCAGAAAUGCUUGUUGGCAUUUCUUAGCGUCACUACUAAAGAUAGACUAUAAAUCCAUCAUUAGCAAUGGCACCAAAAAUGUCGGGUGUUGGUAUACCAUAACUACCGUUACGUCAAAGAGAUAACCCAAGGCCUUUAACGACGCUGACCUUAGUAGUGCAGUCUGGUAACAAUAAUUAGGAAUGCCGGAUUGGCCAUCCUAACCAUCCUUACUUACAAUAUGCAAGGUUGUAGCACGGCGCCAGAUAAAUACACAGAGUUUACAAUCUUAAGUAACGGUCCUUAGGUACAACAAUCAAUAGUUCAUGAAUAUAAAGAAUAAAACUGCAACCGAAUAGAACUGUCAUUGUAGCAUUUCAACCCAUGAGUAUUCAAGGUUAUCGUAUUUAAUCCCGCAGGAGGGCGUAACAAAUGCAUCUAGCUUGGUUUGUAGCAUGAUCACUUAUUGAGAUGCAUAGGUAGACAUAGUCUAAUCAGGGGUCACGGUAGACUCUUAAAAUAUGGAUAGUGGACACACUCAUCGGGGCAACCUCAAGGAAUAAAGAGAAAAUAAGGAAAUAAAAGAAAUAAAGAACAACUACUUGAGCCGGCAUUGAUCUUAUAUAACUAUGCAAAGAAUUGUUAGUAGAACAUCUAAUCAAUAUAACUAGAGUUAGAACUAAGUCUGAGGCUCUGGGGAGAUCCCCACAGCUAGACAUCCAGCCGAUAGGGACUUUACAGAAGUCCUACCGGAAUACCUGAUCAUGGGGGAAUACGAGAGAUGACAGGCCUAUCACUACCCUGCCACCUACCCCUCUACCUGAAAAAUACCUGCGCAUCCGCUAAUUUCUGCAUACCCGAGCACCUCGCUCGUGUAAUUGGAAACGCCUCCUAGCCUCCCGAGACCCCAACCCUUCGGAUUGACAGGCUCGGCUAAGAGUGGCCAUCACAGCCCAACGAACCGUUACCCCAAUCUUAAUCCUUUGUGUAUUCAUACUAAUUCGAUGAACGAUGAAGAACAAGGAUGAACACAUCAAAAACAUAGCACAAGAACUAAGAACUAGUUCAUAUACUAUGAACAAGAUAUGAACACAACUAUACUCUAAUUCAAUUGCAUAAUCAUAUAAAUAAGAUAAGAACUUGCUCAUGGAGGAGAACUGAACUGUACUCAUACCAAGAAGCUCUAAGAUCCUCCAAGGAGACAAGCUCUCCUUGCUAGCUUUGCCUUGCUCUACUACUGAAUCUAAACUAAAGAACAAGUGUAGAAAUAUGAGGUGUAUUGCUCCUAAUGAUGGUGUGUGUGUUGAAUGGUGUGGAGCCACCUAUUUAUAGCCAAACAAGGAUGGUUCAUGGCGAUCUAAAUUUGGUAGGAGGUGAAACCGUCCUAUGCAUGCCGCUGGAAAAAAAGUGGGACUGAGUUACCGCCACGGGGGAUGCGCCCGCACCACUGGUGGGCCCCCCUGGCCACCGCCUUCGCGUGGUCGGUUCGUCUCUGGGCCCUAAUUCUUCCCGUGGUUACGGAUGGAUCCAGUUCGGUGUUUUGGUGGGCUUUUCCAUUUAUCUAGGCCUUGCCUUCUACACGCAUGAACGCCAUUAGCAAAUAACAAAUCGUGUUAUAUCUAGACUCCGGCUCCUUUCCUUUUAAUUCCUUUGCUUUUGCUCACGGAAACAACGGUGGAUAGCAUGCGGGACGUGCAGUCCCUGGACUUUUAGUUAAUUAGUCCACCAUCUCCAUAUAAUACUAGCAAGCCACAUAUAUACCUCAUGAAGAUAUGCUUGCUCCUAAUUGGUCAAUACGUGAUUAAAUUGACUAAAAUCAACAACACCUCAUCAUCAAGCUUCAAUCUUUGUAAGACGAUCCACUACCAUGGCACUCUAUUUUGAAACAAUUUUGAGUGUCAACAUAUGUCCUCUUGUUUUUGAUCCACUACCAUGAAGUAAUCUGAUUAUGAUUUGUGGUGUGACCAACUGACCAUAGUACCAUCAAUAGCUGAAGACUGUCCUUUCCAUCUCUUUUCACGUGUACACUCCAGCAUGCAGGGCAAUUCAAAAAGACACCAAAGUUGCCUGCAUAACCUGAAUGGAUACUAAUAGCACACCUUGGAAGCUAGCGAAAUGCCAAGAUCAAAUAAAUCAGCCCAAAGGUGAAGGGAGACCAUCUGCAUGUAUACAUGUAGUCUGGUCUGUUAUCAUUUUUCUUGAUAAAACGUCGCUUUGCAAGCAUACACUGUUCUUACUACUUGUCUCCACAUUGAACCAUGGACUUCUGAUAUUUUUGCUGCACAGAGUAUGGUAUCCAGCUGGUUAUGAUUUGUCUGUUUCUACACAUAGACUCAAGUGUGUAGUCUGAAUCAAGCGACAAGCUCCAUGCAGAUGUGUAAAAGGACGCAGAUAACACCUUGAAAGCUUCCAAUACCAAGUUCUAUUAUGUCAAGCUGGAAUCGCUCCUCGUCUGUAUGCAGGCAGCUAGAAACACAAUUAACACGUUUAUUAAUCGGCCAAGUUCGAUUAGUAGCCCUGAUUAACGUACUUAAUCUGCAUAUAUGAUUAAGUAGUAACCACGAUUAAACACAUGCAUAUAUUUAAUCGGCCAAAUUUGACUACAGAAGUAGAAGCCAUGAUUAAACCAUGCAUAUUGAAUCAGAUAAAUUUGAUCACAGGGCAAUAAAAUAUCGGAUGUGUUAUCAUAGCUGUUCCAUAGCAAUUAUUGACUGUACUCCGCCGAAUAUGAGAGUCCUUCAAUCAUCCAAAUCAGCGGCAACUUCACGGGAACCAAAAUAGGCCGAUUUGGGAAUUUCUUGGUGAGCCGACCAAGUGAGCGAGAAUAGGCUCAGCCGACUAAGGGAAUUAACUUAGCCGACUCUGCUGCUCCUGCACAGAGAACACCAAAGUUUUCUUGCAUCGGCUUUUCUUUGAUAUGAAAAUUACACCCACCGACGUCAAAGCCACAUGCUUGUUGAGCAUUUAAAUAUCCUCAUGUUUUAGAAUAUGGCGAAUUCAAAAUUCAGCAAUGAAGGACCGAAAACGGCGACUAGAGGGGGGGUGAAUGGGAGCCGUAAAUUUUCUUUCGAAAUAUUUUUGGCCGCUGUCCCAAAUCACCGCCAAGCACAAACAAGUAUUCGAAAUUGAAUUACUCAAGUCAACUGAUGACAAGAGCAAUUAGAUAAAAUUCCUUGCAAUGGUAGAAGACCAACGCAACUGAUGGAAAUCAAAUCGGAGCUCAAACGAUUAAACUAUGCACGAAACAGAAAAUCUGAGCUAGAUAAAAUACAAUAAAAAUAGCAAACAAUUUGUUCAGCCAAUCCACUAGCACUGGACCAAACCGGAUGGGUCACUUACGUCUAGAAACAGUGCACACAUCAGAGCUGGAGCUGAGACACACAAUCACUGGAGCUACGAAAUCCACGCAGGGCCAUGAGCAAGCAAACAAGCUUUUGGACCAAUCAAAAGAGGCACAAACAAAAUGACUCACGAUGAGCACUGCUACUAGCUGGAUGAGCACACAGAACAAGGAGUGCUCCUGGUCUGCUUUAAAUACUAAAGAUGCUCGAACACAUGGAAGACAAUAAUCAGAGAUGGAGCUGCACAAACAGAAAAUCAACUAGCAAGAACAAGAAUGCAGACAAGGUAUGCACACGUACUGCAAACAAAGCAGACAAGGAAGCAGCUUGGUCAGGGUCUGCUCUGAUUCAAGACCAAAGGGGCGCGUCUGCAGGAGACAUGACAAAAAUCACAUAACACAUGCUGAACUGCAUCCGAGAGUUGCCGACCAAAAAUCAAGCGCAUGAACAGGGAGGGGGCGAGCUGCCAAUUAAAAUCUUGUACUCACUAGUGGAGACCUUUGUCAAGACCGGUGGCUUAGAUUCAAGCCCUCCACAAAUCGUAACCAGAGAGCAGGCGCCCAAAAUAAACCCAGACUACAGCCAGCGAACCCAACGAAUCGAAGACGACGAACGAAGAACAGAACAGAACCAAAAGCUACGAACAGCAACUAGCCUGGAGCGAAAACUAAGGGAACUCCACCAAAACAAAACAACUUGGCCUAAGAUCUAGCACAGGUGAUCUUCAUGAUGUUGGUGAGCUAUCCCUAGAGAAUCAUGGCUCGAACCCAACUCAACCUCCGUGAAUUGCAGAUCUCAGGUAAGAACGCGAAACUUUCCCAAAAUAAACGAAAAACACAGUAGAAGUGAAGAACGAAAAUCACAGGCAAAAGUAAUGAAUCCCGGAGGACAAAUGGAGGAUUCGAGCCUCCAUUCCCAACUCAAAAAUCUCAGCACAAACAACACAAAUUUUUAGUUCAUGACCCUCUACUCAAGAACUAGAAAGGAGAGGGAGGAGCUACGGGGGGAGAGAGAGCAGUAGGUGGAGAGAGAGUUAGGGAGAUGGGAAACUCCUCCGGUUUAUUUAUCAGGCAUAUUACAUAUUCCCCAAAUGUCCCUAGAUAUUUUUGAGCGAACUAGCUAGCUCCAGGGGCAUUCUAGUCCAACUCGACAUGACCUAAAUCCGACGGCCACCGCGCCUCCUCACCGGUAGCCUCGCUCCGAAGCGAUCUCACCGAUGCCGCCACGUGCCAUCCGUCCGCAUCGGGACCUCCGCCCGGGUUUUGAGGCCCAAACCCGCGAAACCCGCCGCGAGUAGCGUACUCCAUACACUUCCCCGCCACUCGACACGUGUCACCACCGUCUUCGACCGACCGGCCCGCCAAGUCCUCCUGAGCCUCGCUCGACUCGCGUCCACCGUCUUGACUUGAUCAACACGGUCACUCCCAUGUACACUUGCACUUGUCGAUGUCCCAGAUGUCAGCCACCGCAGCUGGUCAUCCGGCCUCCUGGUCCAUCGGUCCAAGCCUCACGUCCGUCUUUCACCGCUCCGGGUCCAUCGGCACGACACGUCUCUACUUGACCUUCACCUCGCCGUCGACCACCGCCUCCGAGCUCCACAGCUGAACACCACAAGCCAAGAGACAUGUCGCACACAUAGCUUUCGCCAUGGUAAAGUUAGUCACCAACUCAACCUAUUCGUGGAUCACGUUGACAAUCACUCAUCACAAAACGUACCACAAGGGUACUUCUCGACCUUGUGUUCGCAAUCUCCCCCUUGAUGAGUGCAUUGUCAACAUACUCACACGAACAGCUUGAGCAAAAGAAAAAAUAAAGAGAGAGGACGGAAGAACUCACCCAAAUGACCAAAAGCCAGAGAAAGCCAAAAUAGGGUCAUUUGAAGUGAGCAACGCUUGGCAAAAACUUGGUCCCCAAAGACAUGAGCAAAGGCUCGACACAACCAAGUAAAACACAGCUAGCCCUCAAGAAGAGGCAAACGGGCUCAACACCGCUAGCAAAGCUCGAAAAGCCAGAAAACAACUAGACCCUCCAGAAGAGGCAAAGGCUCAACACAUCUAGCAAAAGAAACUCAAAUGCAACUGUCCCUGAGCAAAUGCAAUCUCUCUCAAAUGAAUGCAUGUCUCUCUUUUUGUGUGAAACUUUCUCCCCCUUGUUGGCACAUGCACUUAUCAAGAUUUGCCCAAAGGAGUGCAACUCCCCCUCAAAACAUGCUAUGAAUGCAAAAAAAAUGCACAUAUAUAAAAGCUUCAGGAGUAUAGCAAUCAGAUUGAAAAGAUGCUCUAGGUGGUGCUGUCAUGUGUGUGUAGCAAUAAGUACAAGUUCUAGCAAAUGCUCAAACUGAUCAAGUGAACCGAAAUAUGACAUUUAAGCAUUUUUGAUCAAUUUUAAGCAAUUUUAAGGAGGAGUUCACCACUGAAAGUAGCACAUAGCAGGUAUAAGUAGGAAAUCAACCUAGUGCUAACAAAUGUAUACAAGGUGAACUACCCCAAGCAGCGUUCAUACAUCAUGUCAAAGACUAACUUUAGACUUGUGUUUUCAUCAAAUUUUCAUUUUAUCGGAGUUUGCAGCAUAUCACAAGGUUUAGUCAAAAACAUGUGUGAGUGCGAGAGGUUAUCUGUACCAUCAAACCAACUUAUCGACCAUGCCAAGCCUAUGUCAGAGACAAUCGCAAGCUUAAGACACUGAUCUCGGCAUCCACUACAAGGCUCAAGUUCAUCCAUAAGUGCAAUUGGAAGCAGUCUCGAUACCUUGACGUAGGACAGUACAGACCCAUCUCGAUCUUUUCUUUUUUACUUAGCUUGAUUUUCAAUUUUUAGCACAAGAAUUUACAAGUUGUCCAAGCAAGUGUAUAACUCAAAGCAUGAGACAUAGCAACCUAGCAUAUAAAUGAUAGCUCAAGUGAUCUCAACACAUCCUACACAUGCUAGUUGCCAAUCACAAUGGUGAACAAUUUUUAGGUUUCAACAAGUUUAUGUCAAUUUCACAAGUUAUAAAACAUGCUUAGCUCAUAACAUGCAUCAAGUGAUCAAAAAGAGCCUAAGCGACAAGCACCAUCACGUACAUACAAGACAUAUCACAAAGAGCAUAAUCUCAAUCUAACAACUAUAAUCAUGAAGCUCAAAAUGCUCUAAUAUACAUGAUGAGAUGAAAUGCAAUGCAAUAUGAUACAAAAAUAAAAUAAAAGCUAAACUAAAAAAAAUGAAACUAGAUUACAGUACCAAAGUUCCCCUCAACUAAAAAGGGAAACAAACACCAAGCUCCCCUCGCAAGCGAGCAAACUGGGCUUGGUCAAGGGGUUUGGUAAAGAUGUCUGCAAGCUGAUUUUGGGUAUCAACAUGGUGUAGGUCAAUAUCUCCUUUCUCAUAGUGGUCACGCAGGAAGUGAAAGCGGACAUCUAUAUGCUUGGUUUUUGAGUGGAGGACUGGGUGUUUAGCGACGCUUAUGGCACUGGUGCUAUCACAAAGCAGAGGCACUCGCCUAAACUCUAACCCAAAGUCUCUCAAAGUGGCUAUCAUCCAAAGCAACUAGGAGCAACAAGCAGCAGCAGCAACAUACUCGGCUUCUGUGGUGGAUUGAGCAACAGAGGAUUGCUUGCGAGAGGACCAAGACACAAGAGAAGUCCCAAGAAACUGGCAAGUCCCCGACGUGGACUUGCGCUCAACACGGCAGCCGGCAUAAUCCGCAUCAGAAUAGCCGCAAAGAGAAAGAGAGGAGGAAGCUGAAAACCAAAGACCAAACUCAGGUGUGAAACGAAGGUACCUCAAGAUCCGCUUGACGGCUUGACGAUGAGAUGUGCGCGGCGAAGAUUGAAAGCGCGCACACAAGCAGACUGCGAACUGGAUGUCCGGUCUUGUCGCCGUCACAUACAGCAGUGACCCGAUCAUGCUUCGGUACUCCUUCUGGUCCACAGCUUCUCCUUCUUCAUCUGCAUCCAGGGCCGUCGUGGUCGACAUGGGCGUCGAGAGAGGCUUGGCCUCGCCCAUAUCGAAUUUCUUGAGUACGUCCUUGGUGUACUUGCCUUGGUGCACAAACGUCCCUUCUCUAGUUUGCUUGAUUUGCAAACCAAUAAAGAACGUCAACUCGCCCAUCAUGCUCAUCUCAAAUUCCCUGCUCAUAGUUUCUGCAAACUUGCCAACAAGUGCAUGAGAAGAGCCACCGAAAAUGAUAUCAUCCACGUAUAUCUGAACCAAAAGAGUGUCAGUGCCUUGCUUUAGGAGAAACAAAGUUUUAUCAAUCGAACCCAUUUUAAAACCCUUUGCAAGCAAGAAGGUUUUCAAACGCUCAUACCAGGCUCUCGGGGCUUGUUUUAGACCAUACAAGGCUUUGUGGAGUUUAAAAACAUGGUUAGGAAACUUAGGAUUUUCAAAGCCGGGGGGUUGUCUCACAUAGACCUCUUCCUCUAUAUACCCAUUCAAGAAAGCACUCUUCACAUCCAUCUGAUACAGUUUGAACCCUUUUGAAGCUGCAAAGGCUAAAAGGAUCCUAAUGGCUUCUAGACGGGCAACAGGAGCAAAGGUUUCCUCAUAGUCUAUCCCCUCUUUCUGACAAAAACCCUGAGCUACCAACCUAGCCUUGUUCCUCACUACCACCCCAUCUUCACUCUGUUUGUUUUUGAAGACCCACUUGGUACCUAUGGGAUGGCAAUCUGGUGGAAGUGGUACUAAAACCCAAACCUUGUUUCUCUCAAAAUUUUCUAGCUCCUCAUGCAUAGCAUUAACCCAAUCGGAAUUAGAUAGUGCGUGUCCAACAUCUCGAGGCUCAAAAGAAGCAACAAAAGCAGAAUGAGCGAAGUGUGAGAUGUGAUAUGACCUGGACCGCGUGACUCGCUGGUCAAUUUCACCAAUCAUGGUCUGAGGUGGAUGGCGACGCUGAAUGUGUCGAGGUGCUUCCCUUGAAGAAGUCGCCUCCCCCUCAACUGCAGCUGGGGCCUCCUCAGGGACAGCCGGUGUAGGCUGAGGAGGCUGCUCGACCGGACCCCAAGUAGUGGAAGAAGAAGGAUCGGGGCCGUCAGCCGAAGUAGUCGUCGAAGACGUGAGAGGGGCAGCCAGUGGUGUCGGCUCGGGAUCAUCCCAAUCAGCAUCUUCUGCAUCAUCCUCAACAAAGAUGCUCUCACCAAUCUCCUGAUCACCUGCACAUUCAAAGACAGGAGAAGAACAAGGCAUAGUCUCAUCGAAUGUGACCUCACAGGUCUCCAUGACUCGGUUAGUUUCAAGGUUAAGUACACGAUAUGCAUGAGAAUGAGAAGCAUAACCAAGAAAAAUACCGUCGGAGGACCUGGACUCAAAUUUGUCCAAAUUACCUUGCUUCAGGAUGAAAUACUUGCAACCAAACACCCUGAAGUGACUUACCUUGGGUAGUCUACCAAAUCGCAACUCAUAAGAAGUCUUUUUCAAGAAGGCUCGAAGAAAAAUGCGAUUGGAGACAUGACAGGCGGUGUUGAUCGCCUCGGCCCAAUAUCUCCUAGGAGUCCUAUGCUCAUCGAGCAUCGUCCUGGCCAUCUCAACAAGGGUCCGAUUUUUGCGCUCAACAACACCAUUUUGCUGGGGAACAUAAGGAGAGGAAAACUGGUGCUCAAGACCCAAAGAAGCACAGAAGGUAUCAAACUGAGUGUUUUUGAAUUCUGUGCCAUUGUCACUGCGUAUAGCUCUCAUGGCAUUCUUAGGCAACUCAGUCUGUAAUCGAAGAAUCAAAUCUCGAACAUGAGAAAAAGCCUCAUCCUUACCCUCCAUGAAAAACACCCAAGUGUAGCGAGAAAAAUCGUCCACGAUCACUAGAACAUACCACUUCCCUCCCUCUGACCGAACCCAAGCCGGACCAACUGUGUCCAUAUGAAGUAGCUCACCGGGUCCCUUGGUCAUGACCUGAGUCAUAGGAGGGUGAGAAGCGGCAACCAUCUUCCCAUGACGACAAGGGUGACAAACCAAAUCCUUCUCAAAUUUCAAUUUGGGCAAUCCUCGGAUUAAGUCAAGUGAGCUCAACCUAGCUAGUAAGUCAAAGCUCAAAUGACCAAGUCUCCUAUGCCACUUCCAAAGAUCAGAAGAGGAUCCAGCCACAAGACAACGAGAAGAGCCAAAAGAGUGAGAAAAAUCAGCUCGAAAGACACGACCAAAAGGGACAAUCUGGCAAACAAGAUUUCCCUGAGAAUCAAGAACUCGAGACAAGCCAGUCUUAAAGCGCACUUCAAAACCAUCCUGAAGGAGUUGCGAAACCGAAAGCAAAUUGAAAUGCAAAUUUGAAACCAAAGCAACAUCCUUCAAGACAAAACUCUCAUUGACCCGAAUGGUCCCACGAGAAAGCACCUUACCUUUGCUAUUGUCCCCGAAUGUGAUGUAUUCCUUACAUUGCAUGGGGUCGAGGCUGGAGAACCAUUUUGAACUUCCGGUCAUGUGGCGCGAACAACCGGAAUCAACAAGCCACGUGUUCUCCAGGCCUCCGAUCUGCAUCAAUAGAAAGACAUGGGGUGAGCAAAUGGCGCAACACUAGGGUUAGUAAACUGUGAAGGAUACCAGUGUUGGGUCAUUUGCCCUGGCAAAGUGUUAGGAAAAACACCAAGCAUGCCAUGUCCCAUUUGAGGAAAGCGAUCACCACGAAAGGGAAAACAUGGUCCGCUAGAGCUGUGGGACUGAGAAGCAAAGCCACCGCCACGAGGUUCAAAGUCAUAUUGAUCAUGACCUAAACCACGUCGAGCACGACCACCACGUGGUCUCGCAACCUGAGGCCUAGCACCUUGAGGCAUUGCACCUCUAGGCUUAGCACUGCGCCUCUGAACAGGCGGCACAUGUACGCCAUGGGGUGGACGGUACAUGUUCCGGUUGUUCAACUCAUACUCUCGCCGCUCAUCUCUCUUCCUCCUAAAGCAAAACUCAACAAGGUGACCAUCCCUAUGGCAAUACUCACAGUGAUACCUUACCUCUCUCUUGGGUGGUUGUUGGUUCACUCUCUUGUGGGUAUGGUUCACUCUUGGUGGCUUUUUGGCUUUAGGAAGGGGAUCCUUGUUGACGGUUCUUAAGUAUCAAUUUUAAUUAUCAAAUAAACAAGAGAAAGGACCAAUAUGCAAACAACACCUAGAAUUAGGGUUUGAUCUAACAGAAUUCCACGAGUUUUGUUGUUUAUCUGUUUCUGCAGGGGGUUAUCAGGAAAUAAGGAAGAAAGGCCUACAUGUCGGGAUUACAUAGAGAUAUCAACGCACCGCGCAAUUUUACAUCAUCUAGAAGACUCCAGAAGCCACGAGACCGAAGCAGAGGCAAAACUGGGCCAGGCCCAGGGCGCCCGCCCUGGUAGCCUGGGCGCCCGCCCCCCUGCUGGAGCCAAAUCAGGACUCUUUCGUUCGGGAUAUUCCACCGACCUAUUGGAUCAAGAAAAACAUAGUACCACCUCGGCUAUCGACCCAAAAACGCAUAGAAGGGGAGGACUAUAUAAGCAAGGCCCCCCUGGCCCCUGGAGAAGACAUGAAGAAAUUAUCAUAGAGACUGAGGGGUGCCCUCGAAGGAAAACCUCUUCUCUAAUUAAUAUUUCUUUUUAGGCUUAGCAAUCAAUGUAAGGUAGAAAUAGAUCUUCUAGUUUCUACUAGAUUGAGAGAGAUAGAGUGGAGGUGUAGAGUGGAGGAAGCCCGGCUUGUCGGUGUCUACUCCAAGCUUGUACCUGCGGGAUCAAGUUCUCCUAACCCGAAGCUUGCUCCUAGGAUUCUUCAGUAAUUCGACUUCUAAAUUCUAGUAAGUUCUUGUUUUAUUGUUCUUAUGGUUUAUGAGUUUACUUAAAUCUCUUCGCGUAGAGUUUAGAGUAAUCAUUGCUGGCGUAAACGUGGUGUUUAGGCUGGGGUACUCAUAGAUAUUCCCUGACUAGCUGGACCGUGGUAGUAGUGAGGAACGUGACAAUUCCGAGCUACCUUUGUAGAUCACAUCUCGUUAGCAGGAAGGAUAGGGUUUAUAGGUGCGGGUCGAACAUCCUUUGUGGUGUCUAGAUUCCGUUAGCCUCCCCAUUAGAACAGUAGAUCAUCCUUACCAAGGUUAGAAGGAGACUACGGUUGCAGUCUUCUCUAUUUAUCACUCACAUCGAAAGACAUUCUUUGUGCCUAAAGGUUAGUAGUAAUAGACCGGUUAGUCAGAUGCACUCUUUCUCCUAGUGGUAAAAAAAUAAAUACGAUACUCUCGAUAAUUUCCCGGGUGAAGUGCUCACCGAUAUCCGUGCGCUUGCGGAUCAAUUCCUUAUUGCGUUCCCAAAUAUCAACAAGCAUUUCUGGCGCCGUUGCCGGGGAGAAAGACGGUUGCUGAGAUAACUUGAGUCUUGCUACUAGCUUGUAUCUAUACUUUUAUCUUUUCUUAUCUUUUAUAUCCUUUAUUUAUUUUCUUUAUUCUUACCUUAUGGAAAACCAAAAUUCUAAAUCGAUCCAUGAGUCUGCAAUCCCUUUAGCAACUGACCUUUUUACCAUGGGAAUCAUCACAGCCUAUCCAAACACCCCAGUAUAAGUUAAGUUCUAGGUUGAUUGCCAUGAUUCAAAACCUAUCUUUUUCGGGAAAGGAAGACGAAAACCCUUACCUUCAUAUUAGAGAUUUUGAGCAAACAUGUGAUUGUCUUCGCAUUGAAGGCAUUUCUGAUAAGACUUUACGUUGGAAGCUUUUUCCUUUUUCUCUAAGGGGAGAAGCUAGACAAUGGUACAGUCAGAAGGUAAGUCAACAACAAGGUGAAUGGGGAGUUUUACGAGCCAACUUUUGUCUAGAUUUCUAUUCCCUUGACCGUAUAGCCGACCUUAGACUCGAAGUCCUAUCUUUUAAACAAAAAGAUAAUGAAACUUUGGGAAAAUCCUGGAAACGUUUUUCUGAUCUUUUAGAAUCUGGUCCAAACCUUAAUCUUAAAGACCCUGUUCUUUUAUUUCACUUUUUUCGAGGUCUUCAUAGAAAUCACAAACAAAUGCUACACACAAUGUCUAGAGGUUCUUUCUUUCGCAUCCCUGCUGAUGAAGCAAGAGUGAUCCUAGAUAGAAUCCUAGAAGCUGAGAUGGAUAAUACCCUUCAUGAUGAAACCUACGAAGCCGAAGUAGACACUCUGCCAAAUUCUUCAUCAACUUUAGCUAUCCCAAGUUCUAAGCCUCAAGAGGAAGAAAUUCCACUACCGGACUUCAUGCUGGAUAUAGAAUCCGAUCUUUUUGCCGAUUUUGGAAAUAUUUCAAACUACCAUUCUAUUGACAAACCCCAAAACGGUCAAUUUAGCAUUUAUUUACCAAGUGAAUAUCAAUUGAGAGAGCUUAUCUCAGUCAUGAGUAGCGAAUGGUUGGAGGAAUCAGAGCUUUCCUCUGAUGUGAUCCGUUUGGACACACCCUCUAUAACUAUACGCUGUGCUUAUAAUUCUGAUCGAUUUAAUGCUCUUUAUAAUCCUGUUGUGGGGAUCAACAUUAUGUCUGAAUCCUUUGCACUUAAACUAUUUAAAAAUCUUAUCUUAACCCCCACAACAAAGGUCAUAAAGGAAUCUUCGGGACGAUUAGUCCCCAGUCUUGGAAUUAUAAAUGUCCUACCUCUUACGGUAGAAGGCUCCAUGGUUCAUUUGAACUUCUAUAUCUUUGAUACAUGGGACUUCGACCUAUUGAUAGGACAACCUUUUAGAAGACUCCUUUAUGAAGGUCAUACUGGAAAGCUACACAUUUCUUUUGGAAAAACCUUUAAAUUCUCAAUAAUAAUUUCACACUCCUUAAACAAUAAGGCCGAGUCAUAUCUUUUGCCUGAUCCUAUGGAGGAAGUAAAGGCUGCAUCUCUAGAGCUUUUAGAUGAACCAGACUUAGAAGACGAAACUCCUUUCUUCACAGAAGAAGAAGAAGACGAACCUUCUGAGCCUGAACCCUUAGAUGAGUUUGCAGAAACACCUAGACCCCCCAUAGAGCUUAAAACUUUACCACCCGGUCUUACCUAUGCUUUCCUAAACAAUAAUCUAGAGUUUCUUGUGAUCAUUAGCGAUAAACUCACUCAGGAUCAAACUCUGCGAUUAAUGACCAUUCUUGAGAAACAUCACUCAGUAUUCGGCUACUCACUUCAAGAUCUUACAGGAAUCAGUCCUAUAAUUUGUACCCAUCGUAUUCCAACAGAUCCUUCUGUUACACCCUCUCGAGAACCCCAACGUAGACUUAAAAACACUAUGAGAGAGGUAGUUAAAAAGGAAGUUAUUAAGUUGCUGCAUGUAGGGAUUAUAUAUCCUGUGCCGCACAGUGAGUGGGUGAGCCCAGUCCAAGUUGUGCCCAAAAAGGGAGGCAUGACAGUUAUUAUGAAUGAAAAGAACGAGCUAAUUCCGCAACGCACCGUCACAGGAUGGCGGAUGUGCAUAGACUAUAGAAAACUAAAUAAAGCCACGAGAAAGGAUCACUUUCCUUUACCUUUUAUAGAUGAGAUGCUAGAGCGGUUAGCAAACCAUUCAUUCUUUUGUUUCUUAGAUGGAUAUUUAGGGUAUCAUCAAAUCUCGAUCCAUCCCGAUGAUCAAAGCAAAACCACUUUUACAUGCCCUUAUGGAACUUAUGCUUAUCGUAGAAUGUCUUUUGGGUUAUGUAAUGCACCAGCUUCUUUUCAAAGAUGCAUGAUGUCUAUAUUUUCUGAUAUGAUUGAAGAGAUUAUGGAAGUUUUCAUGGAUGAUUUCUCUGUUUAUGGAAAAACUUUUGAUAGUUGUCUUGAAAACUUAGAUAAGGUUUUGCAAAGAUGUGAAGAAAAGCACUUAAUCCUUAAUUGGGAAAAAUGUCAUUUUAUGGUUAGGGAAGGAAUAGUGCUGGGACACUUAGUGUCUGAAAGAGGAAUUGAAGUAGACAAAGCUAAAAUUGAAGUAAUUGAACAACUACCUCCACCUGUGAAUAUAAAAGGAAUUCGAAGCUUUCUUGGCCAUGCUGGUUUUUAUCGUAGAUUCAUAAAAGAUUUUUCAUUCAUUGCUAGACCACUUACUCUUUUGCUAGCCAAGGAUGCUCCUUUCGAAUUUGAUGAUGCAUGUCUAACAUCUUUCAAUUUAUUAAAGAAAGCACUCAUCUCUGCACCAAUCAUUCAACCCCCUGAUUGGUCGUUACCUUUUGAAAUUAUGUGUGAUGCUAGUGAUUAUGCUGUGGGGGCAGUAUUGGGACAAACUAUAGAUAAGAAGCAUCAUGCAAUUGCUUAUGCCAGUAAAACUUUGACAGGAGCUCAACUUAAUUAUGCAACCACUGAAAAAGAGCUUCUGGCUGUUGUCUUUGCCAUUGAUAAAUUUAGAUCUUAUUUAGUUGGAGCUAAAAUAAUUGUUUACACUGAUCAUGCUGCACUAAAAUAUUUGCUCACUAAAAAGGAUGCUAAACCUCGCCUGAUUAGAUGGAUUUUGUUACUCCAAGAAUUUGACUUAGAAAUAAAAGAUAAAAAGGGAGUAGAAAAUUCUGUUGCUGGUCACCUGUCUAGAAUGUAUUUUAAGAGUCCACAGGAAACCCCAAUCAAUGAUUCACUCCGGGACGACAUGCUCUACGGGAUUAACAGGUCUGACCCCUGGUAUGCAGAUGUUAAUUUUAUGGUUUCAGGGUAUGUACCACUAGGAGCAAACAAGAAGAAGCUUAUUCAAGAAAGUCGUUCACAUAUAUGGGAUGAGCCAUACCUCUUCCGAGUAUGCUCUGAUGGCUUACUCAGGAGAUGUGUGACCACUGAGGAAGGAUGGAAGAUCAUCGACAGAUGUCAUUCAUCACCAUAUGGAGGUCACUAUGGAGCAUUCCGUACACAUUCAAAGAUCUGGCAGUGUGGAUUCUACUGGCCUACAAUGUAUGAAGACACGAAGCAAUAUAUCAGGAGAUGUGGGCCAUGUCAAAGGCACGGAAACAUAAAUACAAGGGAUGCAAUGCCACUCACCAACAACCUUCAGAUUGAGCUCUUUGAUGUCUGGGGAAUAGACUACAUGGGUCCAUUUCCUCCAUCAAAGAAGUGUGAGUACAUUUUGGUGGCAGUUGACUAUGUCUCCAAGUGGGUAGAAGCAUUACCUUGCAAGCAUGCCGACAACGUCAGUUCAAAGAGGAUGUUUGAAGAAAUUAUAUUUCCAAGAUUUGGAGUUCCCAGAGUAGUGAUAAGUGAUGGAGGAGCACACUUCAUCGACAAACGCUUCAAGCAAUAUCUAUCAAGACAUGGAAUCCGUCACAACGUCGCUACCCCCUAUCAUCCUCAGACAAGUGGCCAAGCAGAGACUUCCAACAAACAAAUCAAGAAUAUUCUUCAGAAGACAGUAAAUGAAAUGGGAACGGCGUGGAAAGACAAGUUACCCGAUGCACUCUGGGCAUACCGGACAGCAUACAAGACCCCAAUUGGAAUGUCUCCAUACCAAUUGGUGUACGGGAAGACUUGCCAUCUACCUGUUGAACUAGAGUUCAAAGCACACUGGGCCAUAAAGAGAUGUAAUAUGGACCUAGAUGUUGCUGGAGAUUAUAGAAGAAUGCAACUAUUAGAAUUGGAAGAAUGGCGAGAGAAGGAAUAUCACAAUUCAAAAAUCUACAAAGAAAGAGUCAAGAGGUGGCAUGACAAGAGAAUCAAGAAGAAGGAGUUCACACCCGGAGAUAAGGUAUUACUUUUUAAUUCCAGGGUAAAGCUUUUCGGGCAUGGAAAACUCCGGAGCAAAUGGGAAGGACCAUUCAAGGUAAUCAAUUCAUCAUCCCACGGAGCUAUCACACUUCAAAAUAGCGAAGGUACGUUAUUCAAGGUAAAUGGUCAACGUCUUAAAUUAUUUUUAGAGCCCAAUGAGGAAUUUGAAGAAAUAGACGUAGUCCAUUUUUACCUUCCCAUGGAGAAUUAGAGCCCGACACUUUUGGUCUGAUGGUUUUGGGGCAUAUAUAUAUUUUUCUAAAUAAUUUCGCAUCUAGAAACGCGCUCGGAAAAGUGGGCCCACAGAGGAGCCACAGAGAGGGCGGGCGCCCAGGUCAAGUGGGCGGGCGCCCAGCCCCUGUUCCCCCUCGGCCCCGACUUUCUCUGAUAUGGAAAAUGCACUUAGGGUAAUCCGAAUAAUCCCUCGGAUGGAAAGUUUCGCACGCACAUCGACGGGAGCAACCCGAACAACCCAUAGAGGCAUCCUUUUGACCCCUAUAUAAACAGACCCCUGACCUCAGUUUUCAGACACCAAGCCACCAAGCUUUCUCUCCUUCAAUUAGAGCUUAAUUAGCUCUACUUCAAUUAAAAUUUUAUUAGUUCCUUGCUACUCCAAUGGCCGAGAAGUACCACGAUGAUUGGGAAGUCGUCCCCUUCAACCUCAACAUGGAGCCAGUGGAAGACCCCGAUGCCCGUGCUCUCGUCCCGGCCAACACAGAGCGACAACUAGAAGCCAUGCCAUUAUGCUAACGCAGCUCCGCCCAAUCCUACCAUGCUCAACCAGUUCUCACCGCACCACCACAACCCCUACUCCUCAAAGGACCAUCAUCCAAGACGAAGACCACUAUCAAGGUACCAAUCGGUACAAGGAUCCUUCCACCUAGACCCAAUGAGAGGGUCGUUGGAGUCAAGACCAACCGGAGCGGCGAGAUCAGCAGCGUUCGGUACACUACGGAGGAGGAAAGGCCUUACUUUGAAGGGAUUAGAGCAUCCAAAGUCUGUUUCAUCCCUCCAAAGGCAGCCCCGAAGCACUCUCUCAAUGCUUUUGAGACACCUCCCAAGCGUCGCAAGACUAUAAUGGAUAUUGAUGAGGAAGUUCGCAGGCUAGAUAGAGUUAUCAUAGACCUCCAGUCCUCGAUUAAUUCCCUCACUAGGCAGCUCUCUAACCACAACACCGUUAUAUUAGGCCUUAGGCAGGAUCUUGCCAGUGCCAACAAGAAGAUCAAGGAAUUAAAGCGCCGUUAAGUUAUCUAGAUUAGACCUUGAGGCAAUGCAUCUUAGUCAUUUAUCUUUAAAUUCGGUUUAGGUUUACUAUUAUCAUCGUUUGCUAUCAGUUUGUUAUCAGUCUUUUGAACUAAAUGCCUCAAGAUCAAUAAAGAGUAUUACUAUUAUUAUUAUGUCUUGUGUGUCUCUACUUUAUUUUUGUGCAAGAAAGCAGAAAACAAGUAUGAGGGAGAUCCCUUAACAUGCCAAACACACUCCGACUACACCACUCCACGAUUCAGGUACACACUCUGCACACUUUACUUCAUACAUACAUUUAUUUUGGAUUAUGCAGAUUACUGUUUCCGACAUGAUAAAAUAAAAAGAUUAAAAUAUUUCUAAUCAUGAUUAAUCUCAAUCUGUGAUAUUUCCUGAAAACUUGCAAUUAUUAUAAAAUCAUUUUAAAACCCUGUGUUACUCAAGUCAAUAUGGAAUAUGUGAUGGUAGAGUAUGAGUUUCUUAUUCUUGAUAUCAUUGUUGCUUGGAGAAUUUAUUUCAAAAUAUUCAAAAUUCUAGCUACCAUCCUCAGUGUUUCAUAUGCCUGAUAAAAAUAAAAAUAUUAAUGAUGAUUAUAAAGCUAUCUACUCUGUAUUAAGUUUGUUCAAAAUGAGUUAGACCCUUGUUGAGAGAUUUAUCAUGCUCCUAAGAUCAAGACAUUAUUUCAGAAAGAUUCACUCUUCCGAAGUAUUAUUGCAUUAGAGGCAUGGGCUAUGCAAAAAUAAAAAUAUUUCGAGGAAAUAAAAAGGAGCAAGUGCUCGACAACCUCGCAGAAAAAAUGGACAAGUGUUCGGCAGUAGAAUUAGGGGUACCUCGGUAUCCACUUAAAAAAAAGAGAAAAAAGAAAAAAAAAUGAUAGCCCAUGGUCCCUCUAAUAAGCAAUAUGCCAGCAAGAGUUGACAAAGAUUUUAAUUUCCAAAGUCUUUGAUCUAAGAGUAUGACAUUCCCCUCCUCGGAUCCCGUUUUGAUCAGGCAAUAAAUGCAAAGUAAGAAUGCUUGAGAAUUUUUGCAAAAUAAAACAGCCUCAGUGAGAUAUAUAUAUAAAAGAUAAUGAGUGAUCUGAGAGAACCUAUGAGGAUAAAAAGGUAUGCUAACUUUCUUUCAAAAAUAUAACAAAAACUCCAAGUGACAGGAUUGAGAAGAAAGGAUCUUUACUCUUAACCAUAAACAUCCCUGACUAUGGUACACAGUGGAAUUUUAACACCCUGCAAUUAUAUAAAGAGAAUGUUUUAAAUGUUUUACCCCAGAUAUUUUUCUUAACCAUCCUUUUCUCGAGGACGAGUAAAAGCCUAAGUAUGGGGGUAUUUGUUGACGGUUCUUAAGUAUCAAUUUUAAUUAUCAAAUAAACAAGAGAAAGGACCAAUAUGCAAACAACACCUAGAAUUAGGGUUUGAUCUAACAGAAUUCCACGAGUUUUGUUGUUUAUCUGUUUCUGCAGGGGGUUAUCAGGAAAUAAGGAAGAAAGGCCUACAUGUCGGGAUUACAUAGAGAUAUCAAUGCACCGCGCAAUUUUACAUCAUCUAGAAGACUCCAGAAGCCACGAGACCGAAGCGGAGGCAAAACUGGGCCAGGCCCAGGGCGCCCGCCCUGGUAGCCUGGGCGCCCGCCCCCCUGCUGGAGCCAAAUCAGGACUCUUUCGUUCGGGAUAUUCCACCAACCUACUGGAUCAAGAAAAACAUAGUACCACCUCGGCUAUCGACCCAAAAACGCAUAGAAGGGGAGGACUAUAUAAGCAAGGCCCCCCUGGCCCCUGGAGAAGACAUGAAGAAAUUAUCAUAGAGACUGAGGGGUGCCCUCGAAGGAAAACCUCUUCUCUAAUUAAUAUUUCUUUUUAGGCUUAGCAAUCAAUGUAAGGUAGAAAUAGAUCUUCUAGUUUCUACUAGAUUGAGAGAGAUAGAGUGGAGGUGUAGAGUGGAGGAAGCCCGGCCUGUCGGUGUCUACUCCAAGCUUGUACCUGCGGGAUCAAGUUCUCCUAACCCGAAGCUUGCUCCUAGGAUUCUUCAGUAAUUCGACUUCUAAAUUCUAGUAAGUUCUUGUUUUAUUGUUCUUAUGGUUUAUGAGUUUACUUAAAUCUCUUCGCGUAGAGUUUAGAGUAAUCAUUGCUGGCGUAAACGUGGUGUUUAGGCUAGGGGUACUCAUAGAUAUUCCCUGACUAGCUGGACCGUGGUAGUAGUGAGUAACAUGACAAUUCCGAGCUACCUUUGUAGAUCACAUCUCGUUAGCAGGAAGGAUAGGGUUUAUAGGUGCGGGUCGAACAUCCUUUGUGGUGUCUAGAUUCCGUUAGCCUCCCCAUUAGAACAGUAGAUCAUCCUUACCAAGGUUAGAAGGAGACUACGGUUGCAGUCUUCUCUAUUUAUCACUCACAUCGAAAGACAUUCUUUGUGCCUAAAGGUUAGUAGUAAUAGACCGGUUAGUCAGAUGCACUCUUUCUCCUAGUGGUAAAAAAAUAAAUACGAUACUCUAGAUAAUUUCCCGGGUGAAGUGCUCACCGAUAUCCGUGCGCUUGCGGAUCAAUUCCUUAUUGCGUUCCCAAAUAUCAACAAUCCUCAGAGAUGUUUGGUAGAGUCUCAAGUGGGUUCCUGAGAUGGUUAGGUUUUGGAAUCCACACUUGUUUCUGAGGUGGGGAUUUUGGAGGUUCUUCAAACACUCCAUCUUUGACAGUGGGUUUGGAAGGCUCAGGUGGAGUGAAUUUGAUCAACUUGGGAGUAGUGGAUGGUUUCUCACUUGGGCUCAAACCACUAAACUCACCAACCUUGCCAUAAAGAUUUUCACCCUUCCCACCUAUAGCAAAGCCUACACCCGAUGUGCAAGUUCCCCGCCUGAACUGGCUCAUCAUCAUGCCCAACUGUGGCUCACUGCUAGACACCCAGCUCAAGAUGGACCGAAGGUAUGUGUUAUCUUCCUCGGAUCUCAUCUUAUCGUGCCUGCAAGACUCAAGCUCUAGCAUCAAACUCUCACAACAUGCACACUUAGCAAUAGUGCUAUCUGAACUGGCCUUCUCAAGAAUAGAGAUCUUGGCAUUCUUCUCUGCCAGCUCAGAUUGCAAGCCUGAGCAGGACUUGCACGCACCCAACAAGACAGGCUAGCCUUCAGCUCACCAUACUCAUCAAGCAAAGUAGCAUACUUAGAUUGCAAUUCAGAGAAGUUAGACAUAUGAACAGCACACUCAUCGCACUCUACUUCAUCUGACACAACCACAGCACACUCCUUAGCAACCUCAAGCUCCUUAAGCGCCAACUCUAGCUUGUCCUUAAACUCUUUCCUCUCACGGGCAGCACGCUUAAGCAAUUUAUCUUGACUAAUCAAGGUGAUAUUCAUGCUAUCAAGCUCAGCGACAAGGUCAUCGACAGAAGGUGGUACCUCGGAAGUGUCGUCGUCGAAGGAGACCUCAUCCUUGCUGGCCUUCAGCUCUUCAUCAAUAGCCAUGGUGCAGAAGCCUCCGUGAGUGGAGUCGGCGACGAAGCAAAGACCAGUCAGCUUCUCCUCCAUCUUCCUCUCGGACUCAUCGUCACUCGAGGGAGAAGAGGAGCGGUCAUCGCCGGAGUCGUUGUCGAGGUCGCUGAGGGAAGCAAGGAAAGCACGCUCUUGUGCCUUGGCUUUCUUGCGGUACAUCUUCUUGAGCGCCUCCUUGUCGAAGCCCUUCUUUGACUUGUACUUCUUGGAGGUGUAGUCGCGCUUGUCCUUGCGCUUGCCGGAGUCGUACAUGUCGGAGGAGUGCUUGUUCUUCUUGGGGCAGUGGGCGACGAAGUGGUCGAGAUCUCCACAGUUGUAGCAGCCCACCUUUUGAUCACCGCCCCGGCGGCGGUUCAAGCGGUUGUUGUGGAACCGCGAGAACCGACUGAUGAUCAACGCCAGCUCGUCAUCCCCAAGGGUCUCCAACUGCUCCUCUGAAACAGACACCAAAGAAGACAAGGCAAACGACAUCUGUGAAGGGUUAGCUGAAGAACUUGAACUGUUACCUGAGACUAAAGCCAUAGUCGGUGCAGAGGGACUCUUGAGCUUGGCUUGAGUCUGGUAGUCGAUCUCGGUGGACUUGAGCUUGCUGAACAGCUCGUCCACAGUGAUGGUGUCGUAGUUCGAAGACUCGAUAAUGGCGGACACCUUCACAUCCCAUACCUUCCGAUCUAGGGCAUAUAGAAGCUUGAGAGCCCUCUCAUGAUCGUCAUAAGGUAGCUGUGCCUUGUUUGCUCGCAUCUUGUUAAUGAUCGUCUGAAAACGAGAAAACAUGGCAUCGAUGGACUCGCCAUCAAGCUGAGUGAAGUUCUCGUACUCUCUCUUGUACGUCUCAUAGAGUCUGGUUUUGACAUGGGCUGUACCCUCGUGAUAGCUCUGAAGCCUCACCCAGAUCUCUCGAGCAGUACGACAAUCAGAGACACGCUCGAACUCAGGAAGCGAAAGACUCGAGAAAAGAACAGAUCUUGCUCUGCUAUUUGCGUUGUGCCGAUCUUUUUGAUCUUGCGUGGUUCGAGCAUGGGGUUCAAGCACAACGAAAGUAGCAUCCUCGCAAAUUUCCCAAACAAGCCAAUCAAUACCCUGGAGAUGGGCAGACAUGCGUAUUUUCCAAUAGGGAUAGUUUGUUCCAUCGAAGAACGGUGGUUUACCGGAACCACGCUCCAUGUCGCCUUCGUGGAUCACGGACCGAUUAAGGUGGAAUGAUCCUUAACCGGCUCCGAUACCAAUUGAAGGACCGAAAACGGCGACUAGAGGGGGGGUGAAUGGGAGCCGUAAAUUUUCUUUCGAAAUAUUUUUGGCCGCUGUCCCAAAUCACCGCCAAGCACAAACAAGUAUUCGAAAUUGAAUUACUCAAGUCAACUGAUGACAAGAGAAAUUAGAUAAAAUUCCUUGCAAUGGUAGAAGACCAACGCAACUGACGGAAAUCAAAUCGGAGCUCAAACGAUUAAACUAUGCACGAAACAGAAAAUCUGAGCUAGAUAAAAUACAAUAAAAAUAGCAAACAAUUUGUUCAGCCAAUCCACUAGCACUGGACCAAACCGGAUGGGUCACUUACGUCUAGAAACAGAGCACACAUCAGAGCUGGAGCUGAGACACACAAUCACUGGAGCUACGAAAUCCACGCAGGGCCAUGAGCAAGCAAACAAGCUUUUGGACCAAUCAAAAGAGGCACAAACAAAAUGACUCACGAUGAGCACUGCUACUAGCUGGAUGAGCACACAGAACAAGGAGUGCUCCUGGUCUGCUUUAAAUACUAAAGAUGCUCGAACACAUGGAAGACAAUAAUCAGAGAUGGAGCUGCACAAACAGAAAAUCAACUAGCAAGAACAAGAAUGCAGACAAGGUAUGCACACGUACUGCAAACAAAGCAGACAAGGAAGCAGCUUGGUCAGGGUCUGCUCUGAUUCAAGACCAAAGGGGCGCGUCUGCAGGAGACAUGACAAAAAUCACAUAACACAUGCUGAACUGCAUCCGAGAGUUGCCGACCAAAAAUCAAGCGCAUGAACAGGGAGGGGGCGAGCUGCCAAUUAAAAUCUUGUACUCACUAGUGGAGACCUUUGUCAAGACCGGUGGCUUAGAUUCAAGCCCUCCACAAAUCGUAACCAGAGAGCAGGCGCCCAAAAUAAACCCAGACUACAGCCAGCGAACCCAACGAAUCGAAGACGACGAACGAAGAACAGAACAGAACCAAAAGCUACGAACAGCAACUAGCCUGGAGCGAAAACUAAGGGAACUCCACCAAAACAAAACAACUUGGCCUAAGAUCUAGCACAGGUGAUCUUCAUGAUGUUGGUGAGCUAUCCCUAGAGAAUCAUGGCUCGAACCCAACUCAACCUCCGUGAAUUGCAGAUCUCAGGUAAGAACGCGAAACUUUGCCAAAAUAAACGAAAAACACAGUAGAAGUGAAGAACGAAAAUCACAGGCAAAAGUAAUGAAUCCUGGAGGACAAAUGGAGGAUUCGGGCCUCCAUUCCCAACUCAAAAAUCUCAACACAAACAACACAAAUUUUUAGUUCAUGACCCUCUACUCAAGAACCAGAAAGGAGAGGGAGGAGCUAGGGGGGAGAGAGAGCAGUAGGUGGAGAGAGAGUUAGGGAGAUGGGAAACUCCUCCGGUUUAUUUAUCAGGUAUAUUACAUAUUCCCCAAAUGUCCCUAGAUAUUUUUGAGCGAACUAGCUAGCCCCAGGGGCAUUCUAGUCCAACUCGACAUGACCUAAAUCCGACGGCCACCGCGCCUCCUCACCGGUAGCCUCGCUCCGAAGCGAUCUCACCGAUGCCGCCACGUGCCAUCCGUCCGCAUCGGGACCUCCGCCCGGGUUUUGAGGCCCAAACCCGCGAAACCCGCCGCGAGUAGCGUACUCCAUACGCUUCCCCGCCACUCGACACGUGUCACGACCGUCUUCGACCGACCGGCCCGCCAAGUCCUCCUGAGCCUCGCUCGACUCGCGUCCGCCGUCUUGACUUGAUCAACACGGUCACUCCCAUGUACACUUGCACUUGUCGAUGUCCCAGAUGUCAGCCACCGCAGCUGGUCAUCCGGCCUCCUGGUCCAUCGGUCCAAGCCUCACGUCCGUCUUUCACCGCUCCGGGUCCAUCGGCACGACACGUCUCUACUUGACCUUCACCUCGCCGUCGACCACCGCCUCCGAGCUCCACAGCUGAACACCACAAGCCAAGAGACAUGUCGCACACAUAGCUUUCGCCAUGGUAAAGUUAGUCACCAACUCAACCUAUUCGUGGAUCACGUUGACAAUCACUCAUCACAAAACGUACCACAAGGGUACUUCUCGACCUUGUGUUCGCAAGCAAAAGAGAGUAAGUAAUCCUUCUAGGACUUGAAACUCACCAGCUACUUGUUGUGCCACUAGCAAGGAAUAAUCGAUCAAAAGGCGUAAACAUGUCAUGCAUCAUGGAUUAAAAUAUGACCAAGCCGAAUAAAAAAACUUCACAUUCCGCUUAUGACGCAAAUAUAGUUUAACCAGCUCGAUGUCUCAAACAUCCAACACUUUGGCCUUAUUUGCAAGUCAAUUAAUCAUAUUGUCACAUCCAUGAAGUAAACUGUUGAAUAUAAUAUGGGUUUUUAGCCCAUAUUCUAUUUGAUGAUUAAUUCAAGGGCCCAUAAUGAAUGCUAUAAUGAAAACGGUUUAAUACCGUAUUGAUUAUUGAUCAUAUGUUAACUCAACUAAAUAAGUGGUCUUUGAUAGGUCCUAUGAAGAAGUUGAGGAAGGAAAAAAGGGUGCCACACGCGCGCGCCGCCGCCGAGCCGUGCCAUGGCGAGUAUGUCGUGUCUUGUCGAGUAAAAUCAGGGUCUGACCGGAUCUCACCGUUGUCUCAUUAAUGACAAUUAAUUACUAAUUGAUUGCCUCGUUAAUGGCAAUUAAUUGCAAUUGAUUGUCAUUAACUCACACGUUUCCUCCUGAGCCUAUAUAUUCUAUACCUGCGAGACUCUUGCGAUUGAUUGCCAUUAACUUAGACGUUUCCUCCUGAGACUAUAUAUUCCAUACCUGCGAGACUCUUUCCCUGUGCGAGACACAAUCAGUCAUUUCUUUCCAUUCUAGUCGUGUUGCUCUCUGUUCAUCUCCAUCCCGAACCUCUCUUUCCCUGUGCGAGACACAAUCAGUCAUCCAUCCCGAACCUCUCUUUCCCUGUGCGAGACACAAUCAGUCAUUUCUUUCCAUUCCAGUCACGUUGCUCUCUGUUCAUCCCCAUCCCGAACCACUGCGCGCACAGAGAUCAGGAGAGCAGGCCUCCGGAACCCGACGCCCUGCAUCGAGACACCUGCUCGGGUGUGCGGGCAAUUAGGUUUUUGGGAAGCGUCUUCCACGACUGCUCGCCAACGAGAUAGUCUACUUUCACUCCUGCGGAUCGGGAUCGUUGGUGAACAUUCGAGACUACGACUACUUCGUCUUCUUCCUGGUGGACGUUCGCGGGACUGCACUGCGAACAUCUACCUGCAUCGACUGAGGUCCACUACUUCAAGCAACACACUAUGUCGACUAGUGUGAAUGGAGCCGCCGGUGCCUUCGGCACCGGUCCCUCCUCAGGGUACAAUCCAAAUCGAUUGUGUUUUAUUUUUAGUAUGUCUGCAGUAAUAUUUGCAAUGUUUAUCUCUAAUCUGAGUAGUGAUAAAAUUGCACACGUGCACAUAUAUGCCACCACAAUAUUAUGUGUAAUUUUCUGUAUUAAAUCAAACAUUAAAAUAUCUAAUUUUCUAACAUAAACCCCAUAGUGUAUAUUUCAUGCCCCUCGAACCUUAAGUCAUCAAAGUAAAUUCCAUAGAGGCUCUUCUAAUAGCAUGAUGGUUGCAAAACAUUCAUUGACUAUAUUUUUACACUGAGGGCAAUAUCAAAAUAUCAUCCAUAUGAUUCCAUCCGCAAAAGUAUGCAUGACCGAAAUAAAACUAUGUAACUUUUUUAAUUUUGUGGUGCUAUUUAAUUAAUUAAUUUUCUAUAGAAAAUCAUAGAUAAAUCACAACUUCUCUGUUUUAAUUCUGAUUUUUGUGAUCUCUAGAUGGGCAAUAGGAGCAAAGGUUUCCUCAUAGUAUAUACACUCUUUCUAACAAAAAUCCUAAGCUACCAACCUAGCCUUGUUCAUCACUACCACCGCAUCUUCACUCUGUUUGUUCUUGAAAACCUACUUGAUACCUAUGGGAUGGCAAUCUAGUGUAGGUGGUACUAAAACCCAAACCUUGUUCCUCUCAAAGUUCUCUAACUCCUCAUGCACAGCAUUGACCCAAACAAAAUUAGAUAGAGCAUGCCCAACAUCUCAAGGCUCAAAAGAAGAAACAAAAGCAUAAUGAGCGAAGUGUGAGAUGUGAUAUGACCUGGACUGCGAGACUCGCUAGCUGAUUUCACCAAUCAUGAUCUGAGGUGGAUGAUGAAAGGUCCUUGUUUGGUUUUGGUAAUUGAGUGACAACUUAGGUGGACUAAUAGUGUUUAUGUGAGAUACACAGGAGAUUAGUCCACAUGAGAUUAUGUGAUGAUGGUGGAGCUCAUUGCAUAUGAGAUAUGACAUGGAGUCAUAUGACCAAGGUGGAGAAGAUCAAGAUGAGGCGUGGCUCGAUGGACCGGUUGCAAGAGUGAAGGGCAAGUCAGAGGCUUUGAAGCGAGGGACCGCAUGUGACGAUGAAGCUUGAUCAAGACUUGGCGCCAAUGGACCAAGGCAACGGUGAAGAGCAAGUGAGGUCAAGAUCGACAAACCAAUACGGUCACAUGAUGAUAUGAAGUGGAUCAUAUCAUUUGGUGAUAGGUUGGUGCAUGUGUUGCGUCAACAUCGGAGGAGAUGGAAUGGAAUGCGCAAGGCAAAGGUAUAACCUAGGGAAUUUCCAAUUCACCGAUCAUAGGUGUAUAGAGAAGUUUAUGACCCGAUUUAGGAUAGAUGGCCGUACUAUCAAGAGGGGCAAAUUUGUUUGCAUAUCGGUCAUCUAGUGCCACUUGAAUGAUCUAACUUUGCAUACGUGUUAGGAUUGAAUGGCGUGGCAAGUUGAGAGGCUAACUCCUUCGAAGAAAAUGUUUGUGAAAAUGCUAACACACUUGCACAUGUUGGUACAUACUAGGUGGUGUUGGCACACUUUAAUAAGGAGGUUGAGUUUGAAGGGUAGAGAGGGGUUUAGGGUUCCUCUCUCUCUCCCGAGCUUGUGAGGUGGGAUUUGGCGCUUUUGAGAAAAUGAAAUGCAUAUUUUCUAUUGCGCUGGUGGAAAGUUUGGAGAAGUCGCGGGACUCACCGGACGCUAGACCGAAUGCGCUCUUUGCGUCCGGUGAGUGGUACUCGCUAGGGUGUACACACUGACCCGCGCACAUUAACAUGAGCGAGUCCAGUGACGAGCAUCUGGUGGUGUGUAGAAGUAGAGCCCGCGGCAUCGAACACAGGAGAGCAUCCGAUGGCCUACGUUCGGUGACCCUAUGUGAAAACCACCCUCUCUGUGUAUGGGUCUGGUGUGCACUGGAUGUUUCCAGUGUGGACCAACAGAGCGUCUAGUGCUACUGCUUUAGGUGCGAUCGCAUGUUAGCCGUUGGUGGCAACGGUCAAGUUCAAAUGGCUAGUGACACGUGGCUGUCGUCUGAGCACCAAACGCUAGGUUCGAGCGUCCGGUGGCUCCCUGCAGUGCGUCCGGUGCCCACGAGUUUUAUCUAGUGAAGGGGCAAUGGCUAUUUCAGCCCUUGGGGCUAUAAAUAGCAAUGGUGGCCGGCCUUGGCUGAUGCUGAGCACCCUUGGGACUUAGUGUCCAUGCUUGAGGAGUGCUAGUGAAGCCUCUAACUUACAUAUGCUUGAUAGUGAUCAUCUGAUUGUGUGAGUGAGCGAUUCUAGUGCAAUUGCAUUGAGAGAUUGCAUCGAGUAGCACUAAGUGUUCGUGUUGUAAGCCGGUGGUGCUUAUUAUUCUUGGAGGUUGCCACCUCCUAGACGGCUUAGUGGCUUGUGACUCCGUUGAAGCACGCAAGGAGGUUGUGCGGUGCUCCAGAGAAGAGAUUGUGAGGGGUACGGUGCUCACCCCACGGGGAUCACGAAGAGCAACUUUAGUUGAGUGAGACAUGAAGGGUGACAAGUGGUCCGGUCAGGUCAAGUGCUAGAGCUUGUGGUAAGCACUCCACGUGGGAGAGUGUGACUUGCGGGUCACCACUAGCAAGAGGACCGGCGGCAACCAUGGAGCUUGUCUCAAUGGAGACGUAGCUUGGUGGCAACCAAGUGAACCUCGGGAGAAAAUCAUCAUUUCAACAUUGUUCUUCCUGUUGGUUUGCAUGUCCCUAACACAAUUUUGACCUUAUAUUCAUAUACUUGUGCUUGUGUAGUUGCUCUUGUAAUUAGUUAGCUUAUGUAGCUUGCUAGUUGCCUUCUUGCUUCUGUAACCUUGUUAGUCACAUUGCUUAGUUUGUGUAGCUAGGUAAGUUGUGCUCUCUAAUUUGGCAUUGGUUGCCUUGUUAUUGAGCUUUACUAGUGAGCUUAGAAGCUUUGUGCUUUUGCUUACAAGUAAUGUAGGAGCUCCCUAGGUUUGAAAAGUACUACUGGCAUAGGCUUGUGUGACCUUGCUUCUAGAAUUGGUUAGGUGAGCUCUUGAUAAGGUAGAACCUUGUUUGCUUGUUUAGGAUCUUUUACAAGGUACUAGAGAACUUAGAUAGAGGGGUGUAGUCUUGGCUAGACCGAUAGUCUUAAUUCCACCCUUGGUUGGACGCCAUCUUCUCCACAAGAGUUGUGGCUUGUGGUAUGGUGAGUGAUAAGAAUGCUCCUCCAGCUGCGGCAUCCAUGGUUUCUCGGGCACUAUUGCCGAGCCCAUGAUAAAACGUCUGCAUCAGUAGCCAGCUCUCCAUUUCAUGAUGGGGACAUUCUAGGAUGUAGUCUUGGAAGCGCUCCCAUGCUUCUGGAACAGAUUCAUCAUGUUGUUGCUGAAAACUUGUAAUCUUCCCACGGAGAGCAUUAGUCUUGCCCAUCGGAAAGAAUUUAGCCAGAAAGUUCGUGGAGCAGAGUGCCCAUAUAGUAUUCUUCUCCUUUGUAGCGUAGAACCACUGCUUCGCUUUCCCUAACAGUGAGAAUGGGAAGAGGCGAAGUAGUAUAGCAUCUCUGGGGACUCCUGAUAUGGUGAAUGUGCUGCAAAUCUCCAGAAAGUGUUGGAGAUGAGCACUAGCAUCUUCAUGUGCCUUCCCACAGAACUAGUUGGAUUGCACCAUGUUGAUAAGUCCAGGCUUGAGCUCAAAGUUACCAUCGAUCUCUGUAGCAGGUCCAGUGCGGAUGUUGUCCGUAGUGGGAGCUGAGAACUCACGGAUCGAUUUGUUCGCCAUGACUUCGAACUCUGAAGACAUGUUUUGGGUGAAACUUCGGUGAUCUUCUUGAUUGGAUGAAGCUUCGUGCUGAAGUGUUGAUGAUCUCUUCUUGAGCUUGGCUCUUGUUUUUCAGAAUAACGCUUCGAGAUUGUCAACAAAAUUUCCUGGAAGAUGUCUUCUAUUCAUAUAUUACCCUGCAUAUGAUAAAAUAGAAAAAAUAUCGGGGUGAAACUGUAUGAGAGAAUUGAUAAUCUCAAUCAUAGUAGUGAUGCGGCUGAUGACUCAAAAUUAUAUAUUCAUUUCUGAUUAGUAAUCAACCUUCCCUAGCAACGGCGCCAAAAAUGCUUGUUGGGUAUUCUUAACAUCACUACCAAAAGUAGACUUAGUUUUCUAAUUCUGAUAACGGUGCAAAAAUGCCAAACCUAUCCCUUAUAUCACUUAAGCCAAGUUGUCAUCCCCAGCAUGAGACAAGAGACGCGGUAUUGAAAUAUGCAAUUUCUCAUCUAAAUAAAUAAUAAAUGGGAUCUGCAAGCGCACAGAUUAAUACCGAUGUAGCAUUUUAACCGGGAAGUAUUCCAGGUAUCGUUAUUUAUAUUUUUACCACUGGGAAGGGAUUAGUAAUCAUCAAUGUUGAUUAUAGAAUGGAAUAUAAGAUUGAGUAUCUAUCAUUGCAUGUAUAAUUGAGAACAUUUAUCUAACUCUUUCAUACAGGGAUAAGUGUCACAUAAAGGAUAUAUAAAGUAAUGAAUAGUGACAAAGAUAAUUAAUCUGAUCAGCAUAACUUAGCCACAUAUAAAUAUGAUAAGCACCUCAAUUAGAUAUUCUAGCAAGUCAUUAUCAUGGAAUUAGGACGAACUACAAGAAUAUUUCCUAAGUUAUUCUUAACUAUACAGUCUAGCAUAUCAUAGUUAGUGCAAUUAUACUUAGCAAUCAUUGUGAGACAAGAUUACACCCAUGCAUAGUGAUAUUAUCAAGGUAAAUGAGAAACAUAGCAAUCACUCCCCUGUAAUAAUGUUGCUCUACCAGCCCUAUACACGAGAGGGGGACUAUAUAAGAAUCAAUAAAGCUGUCACUAUCACAAACUACCCCGCGAUCUGGCAUAUAGGGUACAAUCGCAGAUAAAUACGGUAUAAGCACCACGCCUACACAAUAUCUAUCCUUUACCCAUGGAUCCGAUGGAUAAACGCUAUACGAUCCUAAACAUGUAUAUAAUUCCAAUCUAACUAAGACAAGUAUAUAACUAUGAUAAACUUAGAACAAUAUAAUUGCGAAUAUAAACAAGUAAAGCAAAGUCAUAAGCAAUAUAUUGAAGUAGAACAAAGUCAUAUUCAUAAUAUCGAAGAACAAUAGAGAAUUACCACGAAUCCUCUUGACAGAUCCAGAAUUACCACGAAUCCUCUUGACAGAUCCAGAAACCAAUUGAAGAUUGACUCCUUCUAGUUCUAAUCCUAUGUAGCUAUGCUAAUCUAGAUGUCUAAUUGAUGUGGUGGCUCUAGGCUUGAUCAGAGGCUUCUUCUCCCUUGAUGAAUAAUGAAUUAGGAUUGAGAGCUCUCUCCUCCAGGGGCCAAGGGGUCUGGUUUUAUAGUCCUUCCAAGUGAAUAUGGGCCGUCGGAUCAAACCGACAUUGAUUGAACGGUUAUCCUUGAUCCUUUAGGUCGGUGGAGCACAAUCCCGAAAGAGAAUUCUGAUUGGACUCCAACAGGGGGCGAGCGCCCUGGGCCAGGCUCCGUUCUGCCUCCGCUUCAUUCCAGUGGCUUCUGGAGUCUUCUAGAUGUAAGAUAAUUGCGUGGUACGUUAAUAUCUCUAUGUAAUCCCGACGUGUGGGCCUUUCUUCCGUAUUUCUUGAUAACCCCCUACAGAAAUAGACAAACACCAAAACUCGUUGAAUUCUGUCAGAUAAAACCCUAAGUUUGGAUGUUUACUUCAUUUGGAUCAUUUUCUUUGUUUAUUUGAUAAUUAAAUUUGAUACUUAAGGACUAUCAACAAACUCCCCCAAGCUUACCUCUUGCUCAUCCCUAAGCAAGGAUAAUCUCAGCAAUGAUCAGAAAUUGCUGUAAUGCCUUCUAAAAAUUGACGGUACACAUGCUUCUAAAUGAGGUCUCAUCUCUGAGUUAGAGUAAACUGUCAAGACUUAAAACUUAUUCAUUUUAUCUUUCACCAUGGGACUUGUAACCGUCACUUCUGUCUUGAGUAGUUAAAAGAUAGAACAGUCUAGUCAAGUGUCAUGUCUCUUAUUCUUGGUCAGCUAUAGCUCUGGAGUUUUUUUUUGCAGAUUUUCAAACAAAACUCAGAGAUUCCUUGUAUGACUCUCUUAGAUCUCUCUUUUGUGGUAUUUCUGGAUCCUUACCAAGGCAUUGAUGGUACAUGCCUUCUCUCAAAGUAUGUAGUAUUUGUGGUAUAAGGCAUAGUGACAUUGCCUUCUCUCUCACCCUACUCUAAUAAGGCUUUUGAUAUCUAGAGCUCAUAGGUGGGAGAUAAAGUAUACAUACUUACAAGACAUUUAUUGUAUAGUCAAACCAUGGAUCCAAAGAAACAAGCCAAUAAGUCAAAUCAAGAUGUGCAUGUGUGGCGAAUGAAUGGUGUAUGGUGAUGAUGAUGAUAACAAUGUUGAAAGUCUAAUUCUACUUUUGCUCUUUUGAGGGGAUACAUACCUUUCUUGCUCUUUUGAAAAAUUUUUUGAGGAGAAUGAGAUGCUCUAUAUUUUGUUUUUCUUUCCUCUCAGGUGGGUAUUUUGUACCCCUAAUUCUACUGUCGGACACUUGUUUAUUUUUACCUCUCGUCUCACUUUUUCUUUUCUUUCGAGGUUCCGGGCAUUUGCCCCUUUUUAUUUCCUCGUAUUUUAUUUUUUUAUUUUUUUAGAGCACUCAUCUCAUGAAAUAAUAUAGCAAGUGGUAGUAACCAAGAUAACUUGAGCAUUUAUUUCACAGGGGAAAAAUAGAAAUAUUUUUGGCUAUUCCCUCCCGGAUUAGGAGUAGAAUAUUUUUGGGUGGUUCUGUAGAUGGAAAUGGGUGGAUAUAUAUGGAUGCGUACUUCCGGAGUAGAAGCAGCAUGUGUGAGUGAACGUGCAAGUGAAUCUUGAUUUAACCACAUGACAAGCUCCUAAGGGUCUACACAGCUUGACCACACUCAAUGCUCAUAAAAAGUAAAUGUGUGGCUCAAAGUCUAGCAAACAUGUAUAUAUGGCUGUAUUUGGAAUUUAAACUCUCAUCAUACAGGAACUCAUCAUGUGUUAUUUUAAAGAUUUGAAAGAUAAAAUUCUCCAGAAUUCUAGCAUCUCUAGCAACAGAUAAACAGCAGCUCAACCUUCCCAUAUCGUAUCCGUUAACAACUUAGACUUUAGAUCAAGUUUUCUUCCCACAAGUUUAGGUUUAGAGCAAGCUUUAAAUUAUAACAGUUAUGUCUAAACUUGAGAAAGAACUCAAAUUUAAAAAUUAGGCAGAGCAACUAUUCAUCAUACCCAUGCUAGAGUUUUGUUAUUAGGAUUCAGUUUAGCGUAGCCACUUUAUUUAUUUAUUAAGCACACUAAGCAAAAGAUAUAUAUAUAAGUACAAAAUCUUUAUUUGGUUUUUUCAUAGUUAUGUAUAUUUAUAUUUUAAUAUAGUAUAAGUAUAAAGAUAGAUAGAAAUACUUAGCGGGAUAAAUGGGGGUGCUCUCCCCCAAGCUGAAUUUUGACGUAAUUUCUUCUGAUGUAGCUAGUAGGUGGCAGAGGUGUUUUUGAAAGUCGGCAGUAUCCUGACAGCGAUUAGAAUGUCCUCCAUCCGCUAGUCUUCUUGAUUCUUAAAUUCUGUGGAGCUCAAAUAGACAACAAAGCUUUGUGGAACUGAUUAGGUGUUAGCAUAAAUAUCUAGCCUUUAUCAUGUUGAGCCUCCUUAAUAAGUGUUACUCUCUAUUUUUAUAUUUUCGUUUUAUAAAGCAGAGAAGAAAUAUUUAUUUUAUUUUUAUGCCACCACAGUGAAUGUACUUAUGGGUUUUAUGCCACUCGUAUAUUCACAUGGGGCUUACUAUUUUUUAGCAUUUUUAUUUUCUUUUUAAGAUGAUAUGAACCUGAUAAACUAAGCAAACUAUUUAAAUAAUUGAAAGGAAAAGGAUAACUACCAAGUUUACCUCUUGGCAAGGCGUUCGGUGUUUUUAAAUCCUCCGAACGGGACUCUCCGUUUUCUCAGUUGUCCUGGGAUUCAUUGGGUGGCGCAGUCGGUGCUUCCAGUGGCGCCUCCUCUUCGUGUAUAGUUAUCUUCUCUUUCCACACCUGACUCGGUGCUACGGUCUCCUCAGGAUAAUCUUGUUCAAGCUGUAUAUCCUCAGAUCUUAUCACUUCUCCUUCAUAGUCUGCCCAUCCGUCCUUGAUGAUUUCCCUCCUCUGGUUGCGGUUGCGUCGUCUUCUUCUUGUCCUGACCUGCUUAGAGUCUUCAACGAUAUAGUUAGGGUCAAUUAAAUAGCGACGUACCUUCUCUGAGGGGAAGUGCAUAUGGACUUCUCCAGUUCCAAUGUAGAUGAUUGCUUUAACGGUGCUGAGGAACGGUCUUCCAAGGAUGACGGGUGGAUCGUAUUCGUCUUCUCCCAUGUCAAUAACCUGAAAGUCUGUGUAGACAAAAUGAUUGUCUAUUUUGACAGGGACAUCAGUUACUAUACCUUUAACCUCUCAAAAUGUCUGAUCCGCCAUCUGGGGCUGAAUGUAUGUUGGUUUUAAGGGCAUGGUUCCGAACAAGAGCCGAUAGGUGACUGCGGCCAUUAUGUUGACGCCCGAUCCGGUGUCGCAAAACGUCUUGUAGAAAUUGUAUCCAUUUAUGGAGCAAUAAAUGCUUGGCAUUCCUGGGUCGUCCUUCUUGGUCAGCAACGGUGACUUAAGUCGAUGAUCUUGACCUCCUUGAACUGCAGUGACCAUCUUAGCUGACUCGGUCCACACUUUCUUGUUCCUGUUCCUCCUGUUGGUCCUCUUCCUUGAUUCAUGUCUGGAUUGCUCUGGAAUUUGUGUAGUCUUGUCCUUGAAGGAAAACGUCUCCUUCCUCUCUUUGAUGUAGAAACUGAUCUUGGCAGCACUAGCGUAGAUGACAGCUCCCGAGAUGUUUAAGAAUGGCCUCCCUAAGAUGAUGGGUGCCCUCUCAUCAUUACCGGUCUCUAUCACCACGAAGUCUGCUGGGGUGUACAAGGUACCAACUCGGACGCAGAGGUUCUUUAAUAUUCCCUUUGGAAAACUUAACGUCCAAUCCGCAAACUGCAAACACAUGGUUAUUUCUAAUAAAGGAUAUGUAAAGAAUUUUUCAUAGAGUACCCUGGGCAUAAUGUUGACGCUGGAGCCAAAGUCACAGAGUGCUUCUGGGACGUCCACCAUGCCGAUGGAGAUCGGGAUGACGGUGCGUCCUGGAUCGCCUCUCUUGACCGGCAGAAGGUCAGUAUUAACUUCAGUGACGGGAUAACUCCAAUAGUUGCCUACAUCAAACAUGUCUACAAGAUUUGCAGAUUCUAAUCCUUCCGAUUGUGAUGGUAUACCAGGGUUAGUAGCAGGAACAACAGCAGCUAUUUGAUUUAAGUGAGAUUCAAUCAUUUUAUUAAAGCUAAUUUGAUUCUUGAUGGCAGUAGAGAAAUUAUCCAUUCUAUUAUUUAUAUUUUCUAGCAUUUUAUCAUUAGACGCCAAUUUCUUAGAUAGGUUAUCCAUUAGCUUUCUUUGAUUAGACACUAACUCUCUCAGAGGUGGAAAAUUAUUAUUAUUGUUGUAAGAACUGUUACCUUGAUAAUUACCUGAGUAGUUAGGCCUCUGUUGAUCCCAACCUUGAUUUUGUUGAGAACGAUUGUAGUAGUUGUUGUUGUUGUGAUUGUUGAUGUAGUUCACAUCCUCAAGCAUCUCAGGGCAGUGAUUGCCUGAGUGUCCAAUAUCUCUACACUCCUCACAAGUCAUGUGAGAGUCGUAGAUGUGCAUAACUUCUUUCUUAUCUCCACCUCUACCAUCGAGCUUCUUCAUGAGUAGGUCUAGCUUUGCAGACAGCAUGUCUACCUCCAUGAGCUGAUGCAUACCUCCACCUUUCUUGCGUGUGUGGGUCCUCUCUUCAUUCCAGCCUUGGUUGGACGUCAUCUUCUCCACAAGAGCUGUGGCUUUGUGGUAUGGUGAGUGAUAAGAAUGCUCCUCCAGCUGCAGCAUCCAUGGUUUCUCGGGCACUAUUACCGAGCCCAUGAUAAAACGUCUGCAUCAGUAGCCAGCUCUCCAUUCAAUGAUGGGGACAUUCUAGGAUGUAGUCUUGGAAGCGCUCCCAUGCUUCUGGAAUAGAUUCAUCAUGUUGUUGCUGAAAACUUGUAAUCUUCCCACGGAGAGCAUUGGUCUCGCCCAUCGGAAAGAAUUUAGCCAGAAAGUUCGUGGAGCAGAGUGCCCACGUAGUAUUCUUCUCCUUUGUAGCGUAGAACCACUGCUUCACUUUCCCUAACAGUGAGAAUGGGAAGAGGCGAAGUAGUAUAGCAUCUCUGGGGACUCCUGAUAUGGUGAAUGUGCUGCAAAUCUCCAGAAAGUGUUGGAGAUGAGCACUAGCAUCUUCAUGUGCCUUCCCACAGAACUGGUUGGAUUGCACCAUGUUGAUAAGUCCAGGCUUGAGCUCAAAGUUGUCAUCGAUCUCUGCAGCAGGUCCAGUGCGGAUGUUGUCCGUAGUGGGAGCUGAGAACUCACGGAUCGAUUUGUUCGCCAUGACUUCGAACUCUGAAGACAAGUUCCGGAUGAAACUUCGGUGAUCUUCUUGAUUUGAUGAAGCUUCGUGCUGAAGUGUUGAUGAUCUCUUCUUGAGCUUGGCUCUUGUUUUUCUGAAUAACGCUUCGGGAUUGUCAACAAAAUUUCCUAGAAGAUGUCUUCUAUUCAUAUAUUACCCUGCAUAAGAUAAAAUAGAAAAAAUAUCGGGGUGAAACUGUAUGAGAGAAUUGAUAAUCUCAAUCAUAUUAGUGAUGCGAAUGAUGACACGAAAUUCUAUAUUCAUUCCUGAUUAGUAAUCAACCUUCCCCGGCAACGGCGCCAAAAAUGCUUGUUGGGUAUUCUUAACAUCACUACCAAAAGUAGACUUAGUUUUCUAAUUCUGAUAAUGGUGCCAAAAAUGCCAAACCUAUCUCUUAUAUCACUUAAGCCAAGUUGUCAUCCCCAGCAUGACAUAAGAGACGCGGUAUUGAAAUAUGCAAUUGCUCAUCUAAAUAAAUAAUAAACGGGAUCUGCAAGCGCACAGAUUAAUACCGAUGUAGCAUUUUAACCGGGAAGUAUUCCAGGUAUCGUUAUUUAUAUUUUUACCACUGGGAAGGGAUUAGUAAUCAUCAAUGUUGAUUAUAGAAUGGAAUAUAAGAUUGAGUAUCUAUCAUUGCAUGUAUAAUUGAGAACAUUUAUCUAACUCUUUCAUACAGGGAUAAGUGUCACAUAAAGGAUAUAUAAAGUAAUGAAUAGUGACAAAGAUAAUUAAUCUGAUCAGCAUAACUUAGCCUCAUAUAAAUAUGAUAAGCACCUCAAUUAGAUAUUCUAGCAAGUCAUUAGCAUAGAAUUAGGACGAACUACAAGAAUAUUUCCUAAGUUAUUCUUAACUAUACAGUCUAGCAUAUCAUAGUUAGUGCAAUUAUACUUAGCAAUUAUUGUGAGACAAGAUUACACCCAUGCAUAGUGAUAUUAUCAAGGUAAAUGAGAAACAUAGCAAUCACUCCCCUGUAAUAAUGUUGCUCUGCCAACCCCAUACACGAGAGGGGGACUUUAUAAGAAUCAAUAAAGUUGUCACUAUCACGAACUACCCCGCGAUCUGGCAUAUAGGGUACAAUCGCAGAUAAAUACGGUAUAAGCACCACGCCUACACAAUAUCUAUCCUUUACCACGCCUACACAAUAAGCUGUCCUUGAUCCUUUAGGUCGGUGGAGCAUAAUCCCGAAAGAGAAUUCUGAUUGGACUCCAACAGGGGGCGGGCGCCCUGGUCCCUAGGGCGGGCGCCCUGGGCCAAGCUCCGUUAUGCCUCCGCUUCGUUCCCGUGGCUUCUGGAGUCUUCUAGAUGUAAGAUAAUUGCACAGUACGUUAAUAUCUCUAUGUAAUCCUGACAUGUGGGCCUUUCUUCUGUAUUUCCUGAUAACCCCCUGCAGAAAUAGACAAACACCAAAACUCGUGGAAUUCUGUCAGAUAAAACCCUAAGUCUGGAUGUUGAAUUCAUUUGGAUCCUUUUCUUUGUUUAUUUGAUAAUUAAAUUUGAUACUUAAGGACUGUCAACAGCAUGGUCUUGUCAACUAUGACCUCACAGGUCUCCAUGACUCGGUUAGUUUCAAGGUUAAGUACAUGAUAUGCAUGAGAGUGAGAAGCAUAACCCAAAAAAAUACUGUCAGAGGACAUGGACUCAAAUUUGUCCAAAUUACCUUGCUUCAAGAUGAAACACUUGCAACCAAACACCCUGAAAUGGUUUACCUUGGGAAGGCAUACAAAUCAUAACUCGUACAAAGUUUUCUUCAAGAAGGCUCAAAGGAGAACACAAUUUGAAACGUGACAAGUGGUGUUGAUCGUUUUAGCCCAAAAUCUCCUAGUAGUCCUAUGCUCAUCGAGCAUCAUCCUAGCCAUCUCAAUAAGGGUCCUAUUCUUGCGCUCAACAACACCAUUCUGCUAGGGAACAUAAGGAGAGGAAAACUAGUGCUCGAGAUCCAAUGAAGCACAAAAGGUAUCAAACUGAGAGUUUUUGAAUUAUGUGUCAUUGUCACUGCGUAUAGCUCUCAUGGCAUUCUUAGGCAACUUAGUCUGUAAUCAAAGAAUCAAAUCUUGAACAUGAGAAAAGUCUCAUCCUCCCCCUAUGUGAAAAACACCCAAGAGUAGCAAGAAAAGUCAUCCACGAUCACUAGAACAUACCACUUUCCUCCCUCUGACCGAACCCAAGCUAGACCAAUUGUGUCCAUUUGAAGUAGCUCACCAGGUCCCUUAGUCAUGACCUGAGUCAUCGGAGGGUAAGAAUUGGCAACCAUCUUCCCAUGGCGACAAGGGUGACAUAGAAGAUCUUUCUUGAAUUUUAAUUUGGGCAAUCCUCAGAUUAAGUCAAGUGAGCUCAACCUAGCUAGUAAGUCAAAGCUCGAAUGACCUAGUCUCCUAGCCACUUCUAGAGAUCAGAUGAAGAUCUGGUCAUAAGACAACAAGAAGAGCCAUAGGAGUGAGAAAAAUCAUCUCAAAAGACACAGCCAAAAGGGAUAAUCUCACAAACAAGAUUUCCCUAAAAAUCAAGAACUCAAGAUUAACUAGUCUUAAAACGCACCUCUGAAAGGUCCUAAUAUGGCUAGAGGGGGGGUGAAUAGCCUAUUUAAAAAUUCUACAAAAAACACUAGAGCAAGAGGUUAGUAAAUAACAAAGCGAAGCUUUUUGCUCUAGCUCUAAUGGGGUGUUUGCAAGCCACCUACCCAACAAUUCUAGUUGCUAUGAUCACUAUGCACACAAGAACUAGGUCUCUACUUACACUAGAGAGCUACCUAAAGUUUCUAUACAAGAAGUAAGCUACUCUAGUUUGCAAGAAAGUAAAGAGAGAGAGUUUGAACUUUUAUACCACCACGUAGAGGGGAUGAACCAAUCACAAUAUUAUGAAGUCCAAUCACCAGGAGAAAUCCAAUCAACAAACACAAUGGAGACACAAGAUUUUUCUCCCGAGGUUCACGUGCUUGCCGGCACGCUACGUCCCUGUUGUGUCGACCAACACUUAGUGGUUCGGUGGCUAAGAGGUGUAGCACGAACCUCGUCCUCACUAGGACACCACAAGAACCUACCCACAAGUGAGGUAACUCAAUGACACGAGCAAUCCACUAGAGUUACCUUUCGGCUCUCCGCCGGGGAAGGUACAAGACCCCUCACAAUCACCGGGAGAUGGCCACGAACAAUCACCAACUCGUGCCAAUCCUCCUCCGCUGCUCCAAGCCGUCUAGGUGGCGGCAACCACCAAGAGUAACAAGAAAACCGCAGCUAGAACGAUCCCCAAGUGCCACUAGAUGCAAUCACUCAAGCAAAUGCACUUGGAAUCACUCCCAAUCUCACAAAGAUGUUUAAUCUAUGAAGGAGAUGAGUGGGAGGUGUAUGCUUAGGCUCACAAGGAUGUCAAGUAUGCUAGAAUGCCAAGAGGGUGAGCCCUAAGCCGGCCAACAACUAUUUAUAAGCCCCUCAAACAAAUAGAGCCGUUGGCUCUUUCACUGGGCGAAAUACGGGGUCACCGGACGCUCAGCACCAGCGUCCGGUGCUCCGACGUCAGCCGCGUGUCAAAGUCUAACGGUCACCUGCAGUGCACUGGACAUGCGCAGAGAGCUCCGCAAACUCACAGGGUCACCAGACGCGAGCCACCGGACCGUCCGGUGCUCACCAGACCCAUGCGCAGAGAGGGUCGCAAAACACCCGCACACCGGACGCGCACCACCGGACGCUCAAGCCAGCAUCCGGUGCCUAUUGUCCGGUGCCUUACCCUAGCUGGGCCAGGCAGCCUGCACACCGGUUGCUCAGACACAGCGUCCGGUGCUUCUGAGCCAGCGUCCGGUGAGUGUUCCUCAGCGAGAAACACUCCCGCGACUUCUCCAAAAUUCCCACCGGCGCAAUAGAAAAUAUGCACUUCAUUUCUCGAAAAGCGCCGAAUCCCGACGAGCAAGCUCGGCGGGAGGGAGAGAGGAACCCAUCCUCUCUCUACCUUUUAAACUCCACCUCCUUCUCAAAGUGUGCCAACACCACAAAGUGUAAACCAACUUGUGCACGUGUGUUAGCAUUUUCACAAUCAUUUUCUUCGAAGGAGUUAAGUUAGCUCACUAGGUUCUAAAUGCAUGCACAUGAACAAUUACACCUAGUGGAACUUGAUAACCGCUUAGCCAAAGAAUUCCCCUCUUUAUAGUACGGCUAUCUAUCCUAAAUGUGAUCACACCCUCUAUGGUGUCUUGAUCACCAAAACCAAAACCCUAAGCAAUACCUUUGCCUUGAACUCCAUAGGGUUUUGUUUUUCUCUUUCUUCUUUUCUAAGUUGAGCACUUGAUCAUCUUGUGGUUAUCACCAUCAACACCAUGAUCAUCACUUGCUCCUUCACUUGGCAUGUACCAACCUCAUUAAGUCUACACACACUUAGUAUAGAGGUUAGUACUAGGGUUUCAUCAAUUAUCCAAAACCAAACUAGGGCUUUCAACCUCAAAGCCAUCUUUAAGGAGUUGCGAAACUAAGAGCAAAUUGAAAUACAAAUUCAAAACCAAAGCAUCAUCCUUCGAGACAAAACUCUCAUUAACCCGAAUGGUCACACGAGAAAGCACCUUACCUUUGCUAUUGUCCCUGAAUGUGAUGCACUCCUUAUAUUGCACGGGGUCGAGGCUGGAGAACCAUUUUGAACUUCCGAUCAUAUGGCGCGAACAACCAAAAUCAACAAGCCACGUGUUCUCCAGGCCUCCAAUCUACAUCAAUAGAAAGACAUGGGGUGAGCAAAUGGCUCAACACUAGGGUUAGUAAACUAUGAAGGAUACUAGUGUUGGCUCAUUUGUCUUGGAAGAGUGUUAGGAAAAACACCAAGCAUGUCAUGUCCCAUUUGAGGAAAGCGAUCACCAUGAAAGGGAAAACAUGGUUCGCUAGAGCUGUGGGACUAAGAAGCAAAACCACCACCAUGAGGUUCAAAGUCAAUAUUGAUCAUGACCUGAACCACACCGGGCACGACCACCACGUGGUCUCGCAAGCUGAGGCCUAGCACCUUGAGGCAUUACACCUCUAGACCUAGCACUAUGCCUCUGAACAUGCAGCACAUGUACGCCAUGGUGUGGGCGGUACAUGUUCCAGUUGUUCAACUCAUACUUCUACCCCUCAUCUCUCUUCCUCCUAAAGCAAAACUCAGUAAGAUGACCAUCCCUAUGGCAAUACUCAAAGUGAUACCUCACCUCUCUCUUGGGUGGUUGUUGGCUCACUAUCUUAUGGGUAUGGUUCAUUCUUUGUGGCUUUUUGGCUUUAGGAAGGGGAUCCUCAGAUAUGUUAGGUAGAUUAUCAAGUGGGUUCCUAAGAUGGUUAGGUUUUGGAAUCCACACUUGUUUCUGAGGUGAGGCUUUUAGAGGUUCUUCAAACACUCCAUCUUUGACAGUCAGUUUGGAAGGCUCAAGUGGAGUGAACUUGAUCAACUUGGGAGUAGUGGAUGGUUUCUCACUUGGGUUCAAACCACUAAUCUCACCAACCUGGCCAUAAUGAUUUUCACCCUUCCCACCUAUAGCAAAGCCUACACCUGAUGUACCAGUUCUUCGCCUAAACUGGCUCAUCAUCAUGCCCAACUGUAGCUCACUGCUAGAUACCUAUCUCAAGAUGGACCAAAGGUAUUUGUUGUCUUCCUAGGAUCUUAUCUUGUCGUGCCUAUAGGACUCAAGCUCUAGCACUAAGCUCUCACAAUGUGCACACUUAGCAACGGUGCUAUCUGAACUGGCCUUCUCAAGAUCACAGAUCUUGGCAUUCUUCAUUGCCAGCUUAGAUUGCAAGCCUGGGCAGGACUUGCAUACAUCGAACAAGACAGGCUAGCCUUCAGCUCAUCAUACUCAUCAAGCAAACAAACAUACUUAGAUUGCAAUUCAAAGAAGUUAGACAUAUGAUCAGCACACAAAUCGCACUCUACUUCAUCGGACACAACCACAAUAUACUUCUUAGCAGCCUAAAGCUCCUUAAGCACCAACUCUAGCUUGUCCUCAAACUCUUUUCUCUCAUAGGCAGCACACUUAAGCAAUUCAUCCUAUCAAGCUCAGUGACAAGGUCAUCGAUAGAAGGGGAUACCUCGAAGGUGUUGUCAUUGAAGGAGACCUUGUCCUUGUUGGCCUUCACCUCGAUAUCAACCGCCAUGGUACAGAAGCCUCCAUGAGUGGAAUUAGCGAUGAAGCAAAGACCGGUCAGCUUCUCCUCCAUCUUCCUCUCAGACUCAUCGUCACUCAAAAGAGAAGAGGAGCAGUCAUCAUCGGAGUUGUUGUCGAGGUCACUAAGGGAAGGAAGAAAGGCAUGCUCUUGGGCCUUGGCCUUCUUGCAGUACAUCUUCUUGAGUGCCUCCUUAUCGAAUCCCUUCUUCGACCUAUGCUUGCUAGAGUUAUAGUUGCGCUUGUCCUUGCGCUUGCUGGAGUCAUACUUGUCGAAGAAGUGGUUGUUCUUCUUGGGGCAGUGGGUGACAAAGUGGUCGGGAUCUCCACAGUUGUAGCACCCCACCUUUUGAUCACCGCCCUGGUGACGAUUCAAGCAGUUGUUCUGAAACUAUGAGAAUUGGCCAAUGAUCAAUGCCAACUCGUCAUCCCCAAGGGCCUCCAACUGCUCCUCUAGGACACACACCAAAGAAGAUAAGGCAAAUGACAUCUAUGAAGGGUUUGCUGAAGAACUUGAAUCGUUACCUAAGACCAAAUGCACAGUCAGUGCAGAGGGAAUCUUGAGCUUGGCUUAGGUCUAGUAGUCGAUCUCGGUGGACUUGAGCUUGCUAAAAAGCUCGUCCAUGGUGAUGGUGUCAUAGUUAGAAGACUCGAUGACGGCGGACACCUUCACAUAUCAUACCUUCCAAUCUAGGGCAUAUAAAAUCUUGAGAGCCCUCCCAUGAUCGUCAUAAGGUCACUGAGCCUUGUUUGCUUGCAUCUUGUUAAUGAUCGUCUAAAAGCGAGAAAACAUGGCAUCAAUGGACUCACCAUUAAGUUGAGUGAAGUUCUCCUACUCUCUCUUGUAUGUCUCAUAGAGUCUGGUUUUGACAUGGGUUGUACCCUUGUGAUAGCUCUGAAACCUCACCUAGAUCUCUCGAGCAGUAGUACAAUUAAAGAUACACUCGAACUUAGGAAGGAAAAGAGAUGACAAAAGAAUAGCACUUGCUCUGCUAUUCAUGUUGUGCCGAUCUUUUUGAUCUUGCGUGACUCGAGUAUGGGGUUCAAGCACAACAUAGGUAGCAUCGUCGUAAAUUUCCCAAAUAAACUAGUCAACCCCCUAGAGAUGCGUAGAAUUUGUUCCAUCAAAGAACGAUGGAUUGUCGGAACCACACUCCAUAUCGCCUUCGUGGAUCACGGACCGAUUAAGAUGGAAUGAUCCUUAACCAUCUCCGAUACCAAUUGAAGGACAAAAAAAGGCGACCAGAGAUGGGGUCAAUGAGAGCCGUAAUUUUUUCCAAAAUAUUUGUAGCCACCAUCUCAAAUCACCACUAAACACAAGUGAGUAUCCAAAACUAAAUUACUCAAGCCAACUGAUGACAAAAGCACUUAGAUAAAAUACUCACAACGGUAGAAGAUCAACGCAACAGACGAAACACGAAUCAGAGCACAAACGACUAAGUUGCGGACGAAACAAGAAAUCAGAGCCUGAAAAAAUGGACAAAAAAGCCUUAAAAAUUCAAGCUUGAAGAGCACAAAUAAGCACAAGACUGCAAACAUGUAUUGACACACGCACUGUAAUCAACAACUGAGCAAACACUACUAAGCCAAAGAUUGCUUGAAUGAAACAAGUCCAAAAGCUUAGGAUUUAGUUCACUUGAGUUGCUGCUCCUGCUCUUGGUGCUCUGCAGGCACAAGCUCCUGGACUAGCACCUAGGGAUGUAAAUGGAUCGGAUACGGACGGAUAUUACCGAUAACAUAUUUGUUUUUAUAUUUCUGGUCGGAUUCGAAUACGGAUAAUGUCAACUAUGUCGGAUAAGAUAGGAUUCGAUGUCGACAUCAUAAACAUACGAUUUAAGUAUUCGCAUACGGAUACGGUAUCAUAUGUUGAAUAUUCAAAUUCUGAUACGGACAAAUCUAAAUCCCUCUAAAUGAAUUUGGUUUCGAAUACAUUCGAAAAAUAUCCGUACCCUUUUCAUGUCUGCUAGCACCGAUUGGUGCUUGGAGAGCGUUGGAGCUGAGCACCUGCUGCUGAGAGCUGAGCGUCCCCUGCAGUGCACACGGACCGUGAACAAGGGGAGGCACGGACGUGGGUCUGCACACGAUGAACAGACAAGAACGGGUGGAGAGAAACAGCCGGUAGUGGGUCUGCUCACCGCCGGGAGCGCUUCGGCGCUGGUGACACAGAAAGAUCAGGCGAACGGCAGAAAGAUCAAGGAAAGGAAACAGGGAGCGGAUGUAGCUGCUUGGCGCAUAGGCAAAUGCCGCUCAACAGGGUUGUAGCGCUACCGCUGGUCUCGGCUGGGACUGCCCUUGCACUAGGCCUCGAUGUGAUAAACGCAUGAACAGAACACGAGGACCAGCGAGCACCAGAAAAGGAUAAAAAACUCAACGAGAUGCUCCCAAAUCCAAAUCGAUCAAAAACUCAACAAGAUGCUCCCAAACUUUGCACAGGUGAAAUUCAUCAGACCACAAAUCUAGUCCUUAAAAAUCAUUGCACGGGACAGCUCCAAACCUGGGAAAUCAGGAUCUUAACCAAGAACAAAAAGGGGAAAAAACUCAAGAACACAGUGAACAAAAAUCAAAGAUUCAAUUGAAAAAUCUCGGAGUACAAGUGGAGGAUUCGGGCCUCCAUUCCCACUCCAAAAUCACAGAAAAAAUACCACGAAUUUUUUUAGUUCAUGGGACCUCUCUAGAACACGGAAAAACCUAACCCUAGGUGCAAGGGAGGGAAUGAGAGAAUGGAAGAGGUGAGAUGGCUUGGGGCUGCCACCUCUUAUUUAUGGGCAUAUUACAUAUUCCCUAUUUUCACUUGAUAAUUUAGAGCGAACUAGCUAGCCACAAGGCAUUCUAGUCAAACCUGACAUAGUUUUCAUCUGUCGGCCACCACACUCUUCAUGAGGUAGCUUCGCAUCGACACAAACUCUUACAUGCCACCAUGUGUCGUCCACUGCUCGACACGUGUCACCGCCGUCCUCGACCGGCCGGUCCACCAAGUCUUCCUGAGCCUCGCUCAACUCGCACAUCUGCCGUCUUGACUUGGUCAACACGGCCACUUACAUGUACACUUGCAUUUAUCGAUGUCUCAUAUGUCAGCCACUACGGCUGGUCACCCGGCCUCCUGGUCCGUCAGUCCAAACCUCACGUCCGCCCUUCACCGCUCCGGGUCCAUCGGCACAACAUUUCUCUACUUGACCUUCACCUCACCGUUGACCGUCGUCUCUGAGCUCAAUACCUGGACACCACAAGACAAGAGACAUGUUGCACACCCAACUCACGCCAUGGUUAGGUAACACACUCAACCUCGGUCGUGGAUCACUUUAAUAAUCACUCAUCACAAAUCGAACCAUAAGAGCACAUUUUUAACCUUGUAUUCACACAAUGCUUCCUCAAGUGAAUAUGAUGAUGAAAAGACACCUUUCAAAUCACUUCGCUAUCAACAAGAAGCCCUCUCUAUUUGACACUAUCGCACAUAUUCACCACGAUUACCUAGCAUCUAUUCACUACGGUCACCACAGGAACAUGUGCUUGCUAGGUGCCUCUCGACCCUCCAUAUGAAAUUAGUGUUUACGUUACCUACUAAUUAGGGCAUCCAGAGUGUGGAAAUUUGAUCGGCUUUAAAAACAAUGCCACAUUUUUUACUUCACCGUUAAAUGUCACAGGAUUGAGUUUAGGCGCAAAAAACGUGUGCUGAGUCUCAAGCUUGAGACCCAACAUUACCAAACAAUUAACAAAAAAAACUGAGCCACUAGACUGCAAUGCAAGCAAGUGGUUGCUGCCGUCUACAUGCCCCACGAGGGCCGAGAAGAGAGGGAACACGGAACAAGCAGAUCAUUGACAGCGACAACAACCACACACCUUCCUGAUGCCCUUAACCUUUAGGCCUACUUUGGCAGCCAUAGGGUGAUUGAAAGCCCAAGUUUGGUUUUGGUAAUUAAUGACACCAAGUUGCUAAUGCCUUGUGUUUGAGUGAUGUGAGUUAGGCAUAGCAACACAUGUGAUGAAGGUGCAUGGUGGCAUGGAAAGGUGGCCACAUGAUCACAAAGGGGUGAAGCAUAAAGUGAAGAUCAUGGUAACGAGGAGCAAAGCUAUCAAGGCAAAGGUAUAAACAUAGGGUUUUACUUUUCCCGGUCUAAGAUGAGUAGAGAAGUGAUUGACCGGGUUUAGGAUAGAUAGCCGACUAUCAAGAGGAGAAAUCACGGUCAUCUCUCGAAUCAAGUGCUACUAGGUUCAUAUCUUGAGCAUAUGCAUUAGGAUCUAGUAAAGUGCUAACUUAACUCCUUUGGUGAAAAUGUUUGUGAAAAGCUAACACACAUGCACUUUGGUGGUGGACACUUGUUGGUGUUAGCACAUUUGCAAAGGAGGUGGAGUUCCUAGGGUUGAGAGGGGUGUGGGUUCCUCUCUCCCUCCCGCUGAGCUUGCGAGGCGGGAUUCGGCGCUUUUGAGAAAAAUAAGAGUAUAUUUUCUAUUGCGCCGAUGGGAAAUUUAGUGAAGUCGCGGGAGUGUUUUCUCACUGAGAAACACUCACCGGACGCUGAGUGCGGAGGCACCGGAUGCUGGCCUCAGCGUCCGGUGUGCUUGACCAUGCUAGGGGUAAGCACCGGACGCACUCUGGUAGCGUCCGGUGGUUAGAGUCCGGUGUGAGGGGUUUUUGUAACCCUCUCUGCGCACGAGUCCGGUGAGCACCGGACCGUCCGGUGCCCAGCGUCCGGUGAGGUCGCGAGUUUGACACCCUCUCUGCGCACGAGUCCGGUGAGCACCGGACAGUCCGGUGUGGAUUUGCAGAGCGUCCGGUGUGUUGCAGGUAGCCGUUAGAAACUGACGCGCGAGAUUCAGGACGGACACGUGGCCAACUCCAGUGCACCGGACGCAGGGAGUCGAGCGUUCGGUGCUCACUUAGUAGCGUCCGGUGCCCCCAUUUUCAGCCCAGUGAAAACAGCCAACGGCUAGUUUCUUUGAGGGGCUUAUAAAUAGAAGGUGGCCGGCUUUGGGAGGUUCUCUCUUACACUUUUGAAUUCUUGAGGCAUACUUUGAGCUAGAGAACACACCCUCCACUCAUCUCCUUGCUUGAUUGCCAAUCCUAGUGAGAUUGAGUGAGAUUCAAGUGCAUUGCUUUGAGAGUUGCAUUUAGUGGCACUUGAUUCUUGAGUUUGCUGCGGAUUUCUUGUUACUCUUGGGUGUUUCCCGACGCCCUAGAUGGCUUGGAGCAGCGGUGGUGUUGAGCUCAUGAUUGGAGAUUGUUUCGAGCCUCACCAAGUGACUUGUGAGGGGUUCUUGAGCCUUCCCCGCGGGAGAUCGCAAUUGGCUACUCUAGUGGAUUGCUCGUGGCUUGGAGGAUCCCCAUCUUGUGAGUGGAUGUGCGGCACCCGCUGAGGGUUUGGCUUUGGAUUGCCAAUUAGCUCGUGAUCCAUCAAGUGGGUGUAUCGCCACAACGAGGAGUAGCUUGCCGGGAAGCAAGUGAACCUCGGUAAAAAAUAUUGUGUCAUCUCUUGCCGAGGUCUCUCUUGUGAUUGUGUACGUGAUUGGUUGGAUAUAUCUCUUCUCUACAACGACGGUAUAACAAUCACUCUCCUCUCUUUGCAUUCUUGCCUACCUUGUUAGUUUAGCUUGUGUAGCUUAGUUCUUGUUAGUAUAGUGUUGUUGUGCUUUAGUGUUUAGCCUUGUACUAGACUUGUAUAGGUGGCUUGCAUAGCUUAGUUGUGCUAGUGCUAGUAUAGCUUCGCCUUUUGUUUUACUAAUCAACUUGUCUAGUUGAAGUUUGUAGAAAAUUUAAAUAGGCUAUUCACCCCCCCCCCUCUAGCCAUUUGGACCUUUCAAGUGGUAUCAAAGCCAAGGCACCGUUUAUUUGAGGCUUAACAACCUACGGUGAAGAAAUGGCUCUUAGUUUGCAUAUCAACAACACAAAGAAGGCACCUUACUUUGAUGACACCAAUUAUGCAUAUUGGAAGUCCAAGAUGACCGCUCAUCUCAAGUCAAUCAAUAGAGAGGUUUGGAAGGUGACCGAAACAAAGUUUGAGGUUGCAAAUGAAAAUGCACCAACACCGGUCGAAGAGAAGAAGCUACAAUGCAAUGAUAUUGCCAUUAGUGUUCUUCAUGAAGCUCUUGAUGACAAGACCUUUGAGAAAAUUAAGAAUAUUGAGAUUGCUCAUGAUGCAUGGGCAAAAUUAGAAGAAACAUUUGAGGGCACCAAGGGAACCAAGACCGCCAAAGGAUAUAUCCUCCAAGAAAAGUUCUCAAGCUUCAAGAUGCAAGAAGAUGAAAGUGUGCCGGAGAUGUUUUACCGGUUGCAAGUCAUUGUGAAUGAGCUCAAGGCACUUGGGGAAGAAGUGAAAGAUAGUCAAUUCUCUAUGAAAUUCUUGAGAAGCUUACCCAAGAGAUUUGGCACAUUGAUCACCGUGCUACUCAAGACAACACUUAGUGAAUCAACUCCCCAACAAGUGUUCCAAGAAGUGAUGACCGAUGAUGCUUAUAGAGAUGAUGAUGAGAAGGAUGAGUUGGUCAAGAAAAGGAAGAAGGAAGGUGAAAAGAGGGAUGAUGAGAAGAAGAAGAGUGUGGCAUUCAAGGCCUCCACAUCCAAGAGCAAAGCCAAGGUAGACUCAUCAAGUGAAGAAGAAGCAAGCUCUUGCGAUAGUGAUGAUGAUGAGGAGAUGGCUCUUCUUGUCAAAAGAUUUGGCAAGUUCAUGAAGAAGAAAGGCUAUCGAGCAAGAAGAAAGAAGAACUCUUCCAAGAAGAAUGAUUACUCCAUGAGGUGCUUUAGAUGCCAUAGCAAGGAUCAUCUCAUCGCCAAGUGUCCUUAUGAUAGUGAUGAUGAAGAUGCUAUCAAGAAGGAAAGAAAGAAGCAAAAGAAGAAGCAAGAAAAGAAGGAAGGCUCAAACAAAAAGAAGGGUGAUGCCCAUGUUGCAACUUGGGAUAGUGAUGACUCCUCAAGUGAUGAUGAGAGCACCAAGAAGAAGGCGCAUGCUAGCAUUGCAAUUCAAGGAAAGAGCUCCAUCUUCGACACUCCAUCAUGCUUCAUGGCUAAGGCCACUAAGGUAUCAUCCGAUGAUGAGAGUGACCAUGCUAGUGAUAGUGAUAGUGAUGAUGAUGAACCAACUAAAGAUGAACUAAUCACUAUGCUAGAAGAUUGCACUCAUCACUAUAAAGAAACUAGAAAGGAGUGCAAGGCUUUGCUUAAGGAUAAGAAAACCCUUGAGCAAGAACUUGAUGAGCUUAGAGCAUCUUAUGAGAGUCUAAAGGAAGACCAUAAGAAGCUUCAAAAGGCUCACACUAAGCUUGAAGAAGCUCAUUCCUCUCUAGUUAACAAAUGUGAAAAUGAGCCAACUAAAAUGGAGAAAGCUAAAACUUGCAACAUAGGCCUAACAUGUGAUAUCUUAAGCAGCGGUGGUGUUGAGCUCGUGAUUGGAGAUUGUUCCGAGCCUCACCAAGUAACUUGUGAGGGGUUCUUGAGCCUUCCCCGCGGGAGAUCGCAAUUGGCUACUCUAGUGGAUUGCUCGUGGCUUGGAGGAUCCCCAUCUUGUGAGUGGAUGUGCGGCACCCGCUGAGGGUUUGGCUUUGGAUUGCCAAUUAGCUCGUGAUCCAUCAAGUGGGUGUAUCGCCACAACGAGGAGUAGCUUGCCGGGAAGCAAGUGAACCUCGGUAAAAAAUAUUGUGUCAUCUCUUGUCGAGGUCUCUCUUGUGAUUGUGUACGUGAUUGGUUGGAUAUAUCUCUUCUCUACAACGACGGUAUAACAAUCACUCUCCUCUCUUUGCAUUCUUGCCUACCUUGUUAGUUUAGCUUGUGUAGCUUAGUUCUUGUUAGUAUAGUGUUGUUGUGCUUUAGUGUUUAGCCUUGUACUAGACUUGUAUAGGUGGCUUGCAUAGCUUAGUUGUGCUAGUGCUAGUAUAGCUUCGCCUUUUGUUUUACUAAUCAACUUGUCUAGUUGAAGUUUGUAGAAAAUUUAAAUAGGCUAUUCAACCCCCCCCUCUAGCCAUUUGGACCUUUCAGUGAUUAACCCAGGGAACGAAUCGGAGGGGAGGGAUUUUCCUGGACUCCAGAAUCCACGUCCAAACCACAGGUAGACAUCCAUGCAUGGAUAAUUUCCCAGCUGUCGUUUGGAUGCGGAAGGGCAAGUGGCUUCGGUCACAAGAAAAUACGUACGGAGCCUCUCUAUUCUUGUCACGUAAGUUAUGCAUAUAGAUUUAUAGAUUAUCAAUAUACCACACUUUUCCAACAGAGAUAUAUACACAAAAUAGCAGAAAACAUAAUAUGAAUGAAUAAAUUAAAGCAUCAGGGUACAAAAAAAUUCGUACGGAUGUUGUACUCAAAAAAUUCGUCAGGAUACAGAUGAUAUGAGCACAAGGUCUACUCCAACAAAAAAAAACACUAGAAUAAACAUCAGUUCACCAUGCCAAAAUAAACAAGAUAAAGUAGGACUCAGUCCCAACAUUAGACAAGUAACUGUGCUCAGACAUUUCAGAUUACCAUAAAAGAUAAAUAAUUGUGCUUAGACAUUUCAGGUUACCAAAAUAAUAUAAAUAAUUGAGUGACAUGUGAAGCCAACUAGUAAAAACAAUUUUCUUCUCAAAUCUUGCUUUUGCUUCCACACCAAGAACCCUGCAUAUAUACAAGAAAAAAUUAAUAGCUAGAGACACACCUAAAGUAAACUAAUCUAGGAUAUGAUCAUAUUUGACGCAAGAAUGUUUUUGUGGACUGACUAUCGCAUUCUUCCACUAGGAUAUGAUCAUGGUGAUAUUCUACUUUAUUUAGAAAAUUGACCACAUAAGGUCCAGAUCAAGAACCUAACAUUAACAUGCAAGGUUAAAUCCAGAUCCCAAAAAUCCAUAUCCCUAAUUAUUAUCUUUGGCUUCGACCUAUGUAACCCCUGGCCAUGGCAAGAGUCGAGGAGAGGUUUCAUAUUGCAGAGGGAAGGAAAUCUUAGGAAAGAUGGAGUCCGGAUUGAGGCGAUGGAGCAACGCAAUCAUUGCCAGCUUAACCAAAUCUAAAAAGAGCAUACAUCUAUGGGCUACCAUUAGGACAGGGAAUCAACAUUUCGGGAAUCAGAACAGGGACUUAAAUCACAAAAUAAAUGCAGACGCAUGGAGCUUCUGAAUCAAGACUAUUAUAAAAUAAAUACCUGCAAGCUGGACCUUGCACCUGAAUCUGGAGAGAAGUGAUGUCCUACUGGUACAACCCUCUGGCGUUUGUUUCCUGUGGAGAAGAUACAGAUGCAUCAUCAUCAGUCAUCACAAAACACAUAUGACGAAAAGAUGUUUCUGAAAAAUUAUGUCUCUGAGAAAUUAAAAAAUAUGUCUCUGAGAAAUUAGAAACAAAGAUGUUUCUGAAAUUCCAAGUGGCAAUUACAUACAUCCAAUGUUUCUUAAAAAAAAUUAGAGAAAUUCAACGACCCAAUGAUUGCCAGAUCAGCUUCCAAACCUCCAUCGCUAAGAUACUAGCAGUGGUGCAAUUAUCAGGAUAUGCAAAGACAGGGCAAAGACAUAUGAGCUGACUACUGAUACAGGAAUCCAGAUCAAGUAUAUAUAUAUAUAUAUAUAUAUAUAUAUAUAUAUAUAUAUAUAUAUAUAUAUAUAUAUAUAUAUAUAUAUAUAUGAGCUUUUGUUUCAUUUGGUGACACAGACAUGCAACAGAUAUAUAUAUAUAUAUAUAUAUAUAUAUAUAUAUAUAUAUAUAUAUAUAUAUAUGAGCUUUUGUUUCAUUUGGUGACACAGACAUGCAACAGAUCAAUCUCACCAAAAAGAAGGAUAUGCAAAGAAUCGAUUUUCUCAUGAUCAGAGCAAACCAAUAUACAGACCACAAGAACGAUGACUGCUCGAUCUAUGUCUUCAUCUGCUUUACAGAAUGUGGUGAAAGGUCUCUCCAAUGUAGAAUCUGAUAUCUUCUGUUCUUUUAGCAAUCCCCAGAUCUCUUAUCUGUAAAAUAGUAAGAGAAGACAUGAACACUUAUUAGGUAAAGGCACUUAACUUGCACUUCUCAUUCCCUGUUUUCUGGAGCUGAUUCGAGUGUUUGGAGCCAAAGAGAGUAUAUACGACAUGUUUUCCAUACUAAUAAAAGAUNNNNNNNNNNNNNNNNNNNNNNNNNNNNNNNNNNNNNNNNNNNNNNNNNNNNNNNNNNNNNNNNNNNNNNNNNNNNNNNNNNNNNNNNNNNNNNNNNNNNNNNNNNNNNNNNNNNNNNNNNNNNNNNNNNNNNNNNNNNNNNNNNNNNNNNNNNNNNNNNNNNNNNNNNNNNNNNNNNNNNNNNNNNNNNNNNNNNNNNNNNNNNNNNNNNNNNNNNNNNNNNNNNNNNNNNNNNNNNNNNNNNNNNNNNNNNNNNNNNNNNNNNNNNNNNNNNNNNNNNNNNNNNNNNNNNNNNNNNNNNNNNNNNNNNNNNNNNNNNNNNNNNNNNNNNNNNNNNNNNNNNNNNNNNNNNNNNNNNNNNNNNNNNNNNNNNNNNNNNNNNNNNNNNNNNNNNNNNNNNNNNNNNNNNNNNNNNNNNNNNNNNNNNNNNNNNNNNNNNNNNNNNNNNNNNNNNNNNNNNNNNNNNNNNNNNNNNNNNNNNNNNNNNNNNNNNNNNNNNNNNNNNNNNNNNNNNNNNNNNNNNNNNNNNNNNNNNNNNNNNNNNNNNNNNNNNNNNNNNNNNNNNNNNNNNNNNNNNNNNNNNNNNNNNNNNNNNNNNNNNNNNNNNNNNNNNNNNNNNNNNNNNNNNNNNNNNNNNNNNNNNNNNNNNNNNNNNNNNNNNNNNNNNNNNNNNNNNNNNNNNNNNNNNNNNNNNNNNNNNNNNNNNNNNNNNNNNNNNNNNNNNNNNNNNNNNNNNNNNNNNNNNNNNNNNNNNNNNNNNNNNNNNNNNNNNNNNNNNNNNNNNNNNNNNNNNNNNNNNNNNNNNNNNNNNNNNNNNNNNNNNNNNNNNNNNNNNNNNNNNNNNNNNNNNNNNNNNNNNNNNNNNNNNNNNNNNNNNNNNNNNNNNNNNNNNNNNNNNNNNNNNNNNNNNNNNNNNNNNNNNNNNNNNNNNNNNNNNNNNNNNNNNNNNNNNNNNNNNNNNNNNNNNNNNNNNNNNNNNNNNNNNNNNNNNNNNNNNNNNNNNNNNNNNNNNNNNNNNNNNNNNNNNNNNNNNNNNNNNNNNNNNNNNNNNNNNNNNNNNNNNNNNNNNNNNNNNNNNNNNNNNNNNNNNNNNNNNNNNNNNNNNNNNNNNNNNNNNNNNNNNNNNNNNNNNNNNNNNNNNNNNNNNNNNNNNNNNNNNNNNNNNNNNNNNNNNNNNNNNNNNNNNNNNNNNNNNNNNNNNNNNNNNNNNNNNNNNNNNNNNNNNNNNNNNNNNNNNNNNNNNNNNNNNNNNNNNNNNNNNNNNNNNNNNNNNNNNNNNNNNNNNNNNNNNNNNNNNNNNNNNNNNNNNNNNNNNNNNNNNNNNNNNNNNNNNNNNNNNNNNNNNNNNNNNNNNNNNNNNNNNNNNNNNNNNNNNNNNNNNNNNNNNNNNUGUUUUUUAAUGUCCAUGGAGAGAGUCGAAGACAGCGAGCCCGAAAGGUAGCAAAACUUCAGUGUUACAGAAAUGGUGAAUGUAUGGUAUACAUAAUUAGUGCCAAAAAAAUACUUACAUUGCUUCUUUGUUUUCUGUUUUCCAUUAAACUUUAGAUGCAUUUAACUGGGGUUUUACUGCCUUCGUGAUUUCCAAAUUAAGCUUUAAAAGUAAGCCACAAAGUGUGUCAUCAUGUAUAUACAUGCAUUUUAAUCUAGCUGAUUUCUGAGGGAAGUAGAAAAUAGUGGGUAAAGGCCAAACGCAGCCACCACUUAGAACUUUUCGGUCAGAUGAAAAUCUGUAUACCAGAACAUGCGUUUCAGUUAUGUAAUGGGGUCAUACCUCAUUCCUUCAUAACUAAUAACUGGUGUUGCUAUAAUUGAGAUGAAUUCACUGUUUCUUUUAUGCAGGUCCACAACUUAAGAUUAGCAACUUCUCAGAGAUAGAAAAUUGGAGUGAUGAAUGUAUAUACUCUCUUUGGCUCUUUAAUCAUAUAAAGAAAUAUGUAUGUUUCCAGUUUAUAAUCUAAAUGCACAAAAAUAAAAUACCCAGAGAGGGAGAGAGUUAUGGGGAGUCCUUACCCAAGCAAUAGCAGGAGGCACAGCGCCCUCAGAUCUCCUGCUGCUCUCAGAUUCUGGUUCUCGUGCUGUGUUGCUCGACGUCGAAGCCCUAAUCAGCCGUGGCCUAGCGAGACAGUCUGUGAGAAGAGCGGAUCAAGAAACACGAAACCCUAGCGCGAGGCAUAGAGAUGUAGGCUGAGGCGGGUUCACCGUUGCUGUGACCGAAGCGACGAGAAGGUGGAGGGUCGGCGGCGCCGGCGACAGCGACGUCACGGCGAUGGCGACGAGAUGCUGGGGCGGCGAGCCGGCGACGACAAGGAUGCUGGAGCAGCGGCGGCUUCGCAACUGGGCAACGCCGCGAGUCGCGACUUCGCGAGUCAGCUGCGUGAGUCGGGGGAAACCUUCCCGGCCUCACGAGUCGUGGAUUUGUAGCGCGGAAAAGGAAGGGAAGCGGGCUGAGAUCCUCGGUUGAGUGGGCUGCCAAAGAGCGCAAAAAUUUAGCCCGAGAAAGAUUGGCACGGGGGAAAUCGGCCCAGGGAAAACGUUGGGAUCCCUCCGGAAAAAUGGGCUGCCAAAGUAGGCCUUAAAGAACAGGCUGGGAUGGGGCAUUCUGUACUGUAAUUGGCUAAUUUCGAAACUUUGCAAUAUGCAAUUGAGAACACAUUCUGUUUCGUAGUGUCAACUCUCCUUUUUGUGACCGAUGUCCAGAAAACGUGGAGCUCAUAGCCACGUCGUUUAGUUUUUACUUACAGGCUUCCCCAAUGUCAACGCUACAAUCCUAGCCCCAGGGAAUCGAACAGCAUGCAACCAUCCCACAUCACAUACAAUUCCCACAAAUAGAAACUAUAUAUUUGGCCAUGAUUACCACUUGAUCACUAGAAAUUACGGCCUGCCUGAUUAAUUUCUGGAGCAAAUCAAUGCAAGGCCACCGUAACCAGCAUUCAAGCUUUACUUACAGGCUUCCCCAGUAAUUAGAUAAAUACUCCAUAUAUUAUAACAUUAAGUUGCAAAGAGAAACACCAAAAGUGCUUGCCACGCGUAACUGUUUUUCCAUGUCAACAGCUCACAGCUACUUCCUGCAUCUUAAGGGACAAGGUUUCCUAGCCCCAUCACUCCAGCCUCCUGCACAUUCUUCGAUUUCUGCAACAAGUACACAGUUUCAGAUUAUAUAUAUAGAAGAAGUCAUCAGGGCUUCUUUAUGUGUUUCUCUAGAAAAAAGAAAAACAAUUCAAUUUCUACUAGGCUGCAAGCUGCAUUGACACAGUAUGUCAGCACAGUUCGCUCAAAGUUACUACCAACAAUCACCGAGUUCAUCCUAAUAUAAAGCAAACCAAUGGUUGUAGUAUUUGCUUGUAAGUUCCGACGCUAAUAAAAUUCAAAGAGUGAAAAUGAACUGUGGGCCCCUAAACUUUUCCCAUAUUCACAUAUGGGUCCAAAACUCUCAAAUUUAUUAUCUAGGGCCUUCAAUUUUUCAAGUGGUUCAUUCAAAGUGGGAACUUAGGUACAUGACUGGAGCUAGAGUGAACUUAGAAUGAACUAUUUGGAAAGUUCAAAUGAACCUAGAUGAGCAUAUGGGAAAAGUUUAAGGACUCAACCGUGCAUUUGACUGAAAUUCAAAUAUUACUAUGAUGGCUAUACAAGAAUAUGCAAAACAAACAUAGUCCCGCAUUUCAUGGGAAGUAAUUCGGUGUACAUAUAAUAUAGGGUAAUGAUCCGAUAAUAUGCACAACAAAAACAUUUUUUUGCUUUAUUUCAUAAAAAACACUUCAAUACUAAGUCACCGGAGUCCAUGAAUUUAUAAACAAAUCAUUAACACUCAUUAUCAAGAAUAUCAGUAUAGUUGGUUUAAGGUUAAAAGCAAACUAUUAGACAGGGUCCCAACAACCUAAUUCUGUAUUUCAACAUACUCUCCGAUACUCUUGCUCGAACCCUCCAUUGUUGAUCAGCCUAGAAACCCUUGCUGUUCUCAUGGACAGAGUUGUCCCAAGGGAAAAUGAAACCAUAAGAAAAAAAUGAUCAAAUAUAGAUUUUUCUAGAGCAAAGGAGUGUACCAACCCAGGUCCAAUUACUGAAUGCUGCUUUUCCCUUUUAUCACUUGAUUUUUAUUUUUAUUUUUGGCCACUGCAUAGGUUUUAGGCCCAUGUUUAAAUUAGAGAAAACAGUAGCCAAUGGGGAAAAAGAAGAAUGACAAAUAGAUAAGAAAUUAUCCAAGAACACCAAUGAUAAAAAGGAAAACUUCCCAGCUUCAAAAUGAAAGCAAAAUACAGCAUCAGGUUAACCCAUCCGUAGAGAAAAAAGGCACAUUGCCAGGCUAGGCUCCAAAGAAUACUAGGGCAGUACAAAGCACUGCAUAAACACACACCCCCCCACCCCCCCACCCACACACCUAAUGGCCUUUGGCAAGGAUAUCCCAGAACUACCAUAUAUAGAAAACUGGUUUGCCCUCAUGGCAGUAAAAUGAGGAAUGCAAAACAUCAAAACAGCUCAAGUAGAAAUGACAAUGGAAUUAUCAAAGCAAGUUCCUCUACCGAUACUCACGUAGCCAUGUCUGCCAGUAAAGCUCUAAUACAGAUUGCAUUGUAUACAUAUGGAAUAAGUAGGACACAUCUCAACAAAUUUUAAUUUCAAUAUAGAUCGUGGGUUUAACUAUCUAGACUUGCACGCACAUUUGCGAUCUCGAGACGAGCUAAGUAACACUUCUAUAAAGUUUCUAGUUCUUUCCUAUUGGAAUACUUAAGCAAACAACUGCUCCCUCCAUCCUGAAAUAUAAGGUUUCGAAUCAUUCAAAAUUUGCCUCAAAUUACAAGGGAUUCUAGUGAAUUUAACUCUCCUAGGCACCAGUUACAUGCCUACCAACCAUUAAUGUCUGUUGUCAACCCAACCACCAAGCUCGAAAUAUGGUAAGCACAGUAUCUCCCUACUCUUAAAGAAGUUAAAUGCUUUCUACUUUACCCAUAAAAUGUCUUAGAAUCCUAGGAUACCUUAUACUUCAGGACAGAGGUAGUAUAAGGAUUAUGAAGAAGAUCAGCACUAAAUUUUACUGUAACUGCAAUGCUUGUGUUACUGCCACAAUUGACAUCACACAAAGAGAAAUAAAAGCUUACAGCAUAAUGUAGCUCAUAAGUAAUGGAUAGCCCCUUGUGGGAGACUCCUACCUGAAUUGACGGUAACUCAAAACAGACAUAAUUCCAAUAAUCAACUAACUUGUGAUCUUUUGGAACCACUUCAUUAGCCCUUCCAGCACAAAAGAUAGCGUAAGCAUCAGCCGCAUACCUAGAGUAAGAGGCAACAUUCAAAUUAAUGACUCGACAGGGCAAAAAACAACAUUCUAUGAAUAGUCCACAUACACAGAAGAGUUUAGUGGGGGUGGGGGUAGGAGGGGGGGCCACUCACUUGCCAACACCACAAAGCUCAGUGAUAUAGGUCCAUUCUUCUCCAACAUAAGCCUUAGAGAAUUUCUGGAUUCUCUUUGUUUUCACACGCUGAAAUCCAAGAGGUGCUAGAUACUCUGCCAUCUUUUUGGGAUCAGCUCUAUAUGCAGUCUGAGGAUCAGGAUAGCGCUCGAAGAAGCCAUUCACUUUCUUCUCGACCUGCAGCAGUAAACAAAGAAAAUUCAACCCUUAAACCCAAAGAAUGAAUGUUCCACCAGAGCAACAGCAAACACGGGAAUAGCCUUGGUAAUGAUAAAUGCAAAUGCGAAACAAGCAUAAGCAUCAGGGUAAUAAAUAGUCUUCGUAAAAAUAAACAAAUGUGAAACACCUACCUGAGCCAGUGUUACACUUAAAAUGCAAAACAAACUAGCCUGUUUCAGGGCUGUAGUAUAAUAAUCCAUAGAGGAUUGGACCCAAACAUGCAUGAACAACGUAUCUAUAACAAGUGGUCCACUGUUCAAAUUUGUUUGUCAAUCCUAUGCGCACUGUGCAAACAUAUAAUCGAUCAUCUUGUAUCAAAGAAAGAAGUAGACACAGACAACCAUUAUUAAACCACUCAAUUAUCAUGGAAAUAAAAGGUAAGUUAGUCUCUUUCUCUUUGACAAUCAUGAAAACUGUUCUGAUGAAUCAAGCAGCCGACUAUGAAUCUAGAUAAUUGUUUGGUCAAGUAACAUUCACAGAGAUGACACAAAGUAGAAAGAAUUGAACAGCUCACCUGUUUUCCCUGUGUUAAGUUGAGGAGCAUGCAUAUUACAAUGACCUUCCAGGGGUCAGAAGCAUAAUUCUCCUGCAAUAGCUUAUGGGGGGAGCACGGUGGGGGCACCAGCUGAUCCAGCGGCAGGCGACGGUAUUUAUCGGAACGCUUCUCGGCAGCACUAAGUAAUGGCGAUUUCCGCCUUGGCUUUUUCUCCAUUGUCAUCAUCUUCUCAGGCUUCUCGAUCCCUUUGACCCUUAUCCCUUCUUGUGACCCUGAGGUUGAUGCUGAGGCUGGGCAUGGUUGCAUAGUGUUCGAGGUUGUUGUCCUAGCAGCCUUGGAGGACUCUUUUGCAGUAAGCAGAGAAGACCUAGAUGACGGGUGGCCUCGAGGAGGCAACCUCGCUGGGCGAUCAGCGGUAUUAGGAAGUGGCAGACCACUGCCAUCUUUCCGGCGAUCAGGUUUGUAGGCGAAUUGGGCAAAGAAUGCACCAAAAGGUGAGGAAUAAUUGGGGUCCUGAUCAGUGAAAUUGGGAUCGGCCAUGGGAGGGAAAAAGCCUUGGGGCAGUGGCUGCUGCUUCUUCAAGACCUGGGACUUCUUGCUGCUGCUCCUCUUAACACACUGACUGCCCAUGAUGCCGCCAGCAGCAGCAGCUUCCUCCCCUGCCUGUGGAUGGACAUCAAUGGGAAGUGGUAGCUGGCCAAAUUGCUCGUGCUCCACCUUCGGCUGCCUAUGCUUCUUCCUCAACGUCACCCCCUCUGCCGUCACCUUGCUUUCCCUCUGCAAGAUUUGGGCCAUAGCAGCAGUGGGCGGUGAUGGAAUCACCACUGCAGCCUCCCCAUUCUUCCUUUUCUUGUGCUUCUUUUCCUCCUUCCACACAGGCUCCUCCAUUAAUGGAGAUGCCGGCAGCGCCUCCUGAUUCUUCCUCUCACGUUCCUUAACCCCCACUAUCAUCUCCACCGAGGUUAGGGUUUCAGGAGUGACUGGGACCGGGGAAUCAGACAUGUAUUCUGGGUUUGCCACAGGACAGGGAGAAUCCCACAACGCUAUCUCCCUUGUCAUCUUAACCUUGGGCUUUUCCUUCUGUUUGAUCCUUACCUCUUCUUGUGAACCUGAGGUUGAUGCUGAGGCUGGGCAUGGUUGCUUGGUGUUCGAGGUGGUUGUCCUAGCAGCCUUGGAGGUCACUUUUGCAGUGAGCAGAGAAGACCCAGGUGAUGGGUGGCCUUGAGGAGGCAGCCUCGCAGCGCGAUCAACAGUAUUAGGAAGUGGCGGACCACUGCCAUCUUUCCGGCGAUCAGGUUUGUAGGCGAAUUGGGCAAAGAAUGCACCAAAAGGUGAGGAAUAAUUGGGGUCCUGAUCAGUGAAAUUGGGAUCAGCCGUGGGAGGAAAAAAGCCUUGGGGCAGUGGCUGCUGCUUCUUCAAGACCUGGGACUUCUUGCUGCUGCUCCUCUUGACACACUGACUGCCCAUGAUGCCACC